rnacentral:lncRNA from 1 species
CGCACAUUGAAACACUCUGAGUCUGCCUGUCUCCCCCCCCCUCUCUCUCUCUAUAUAUAUAUAUGUAUAUAUGUGCAUAUAUUAUGUGUGUGUGUGUGUGUUUACGUAUGUAACUCGUGUGUCGGCAACGGUGUGUCCUGAACGUUCUGAAAAUCCGUUUAAUGCUGUCGCUUCUACUUUGUUUAUGGUGGAGCCAGUGAUGUGCGAAUGUACAUUUCUUUCUGUUAAAGGUUUGUACUCGUGAUGUUUGCUCACGUUUCACAUAUUUUCCUUCUCUUUCCUCUUCAUUAACACAUAAUACAAACUUCCUUCUUUCAUUAUUUUAUUUCUCGCACGCUCCCUCUAUUCUGUAUUUGAAAAAAAAAAAAAAUAAUAAUGGGCAAGCGUUAUUCAUAAAUGAAUUUAUAAAGAAACAUUGCCGAAAAUAUCUUUACAUUUAACAAGUACCAUAACGGAUAAAUCUGUGAUUAUGUUUUUCUCCUGUUGAAUUUGCAUGCUUAAAUUGCUAGCCUACGAAAUAGCACCACAUAAUCAAACGAUGACAACUCCCUCCUAUGAAGAACCUGACAACUAGGGAGUCGAUAGAAAACGUACACUUAAGACUAACAUAUUCCGGCAAUGCAUCUACGAUGCGAAGGGAGUUUAUGAUAAAUAAACAUUUUCUUUAUAUUUAUUUCUUAUGUGAAUUAUAUUUUUUAUAGUUGUGCUGCCUUGUGAAAAUAGAACAAACAAACAUGCCAGUAUUGUCAAAAUUCUAUGAAAGUGUAGAGGUACCAAGGUCUCUCAGUCGCUCUUUCUCUCCCACUCGCUCAGCCCGUUUCUCUCUUUCUCACUCGCUCUGUCUCUCUCCCUAUCUAUCUAUCUAUCUAUCUAUAUAACGAGCUACAUCACCCCCAAUACUUCUAACACACACACACACACACACACACACAUAUAUACUUAUAUAUACACAUACACCCCUACAUAUACACGUGUAUAUAUGUAAAUGUAAUAUAUGUAUAAACACACUCGUGUGCAUGUGUGGGUGCACGCGUGUGUACUCGCACACACGUAUGUACACAUUUAAUAUGCAGUUAUGGGUAACUUCCACGUUAGCUUUCGUUAACUUGUGCCCAGGUGGGGGAAGAUUCCUGAUUAAUACCAAGAAUUUCCUAACCACAUAUGUUUCCAUAUUUCUACGAGAUGUGGUGGAUUGAACAAGCUGAUGUAAGGUUUACGAAUAAAAAAAAAGGCAUUUCGACUCCUGAAUGCGAUUACUUGACAUAACUUAUUUUAUGUAUUUCAUCUUUUUUUGUUUCAAAAUUGAAAAAUCCAUCACUUUCUUCCUAUUUUCCACUCUAAGGGUUUUUCUAUUGAAAAUAUAUGGAUCAAAAGAUCCUAAAUAUUUACGUAACACAUAUGAAAUAAAGGAACUGAUUCCCGUGUGAGUAUUUUGCUUAUUCUAAGUUAGUCACUGAUUGUUGAUAUGGUACAACAUAAUAUACAGGACAAUAGUGGUGAUGGCGAAAGUCAUGAGAUAAAAUCGUCGGCUGCACGUGAGUUCAAAUCACGCUGAUGAGAGAGAGAGAGAGAGAGAGGGGUAAAAGUGACUGAUCAAAUUUUUAGUUUUAGUUUGUAGCCAUCUCAGCCAAGCCGGUACUUGAGUACUCCCUUCAGGUGAAUAUGAUAAAAAUAUAAUGUGAAAAACAAUCUCGUAAAGAUACACAGAAAACCAUAUUUCCUCUUUUAUAUCUGAUGUCUAAGAAAUAAUAAUUAAUUUUAUUAUGGGGUCAAUAAAAUGAGUACCAUUUGAGCACUGGAGUAGAUGUGGUCGAUUAACCCCAUUUCCUAACAAAUUGCUGGCUUUGUGCCCAGUAGAUCGACGGGAUCUGUCAAGCAUGGGAUGAGAUUUUGUAAUGUCUAUCUCUUCUUAAUGGGGAAGAAAAUGAGCACGGCACAGAAUCGAGCCUUUUAUCUAUUUAUUUUCAUGUUUUAUACAUUUAUUUACGUUUUUAGUAUUCAUUCGCUAGGAAUUCCAAUUCCAAUUGAAUUUUGUUUUGUUUUUUUCACAAACAUAUUUCAAUUUUCAUUCCCCCACUCCGUGUUUCCUUCAUUUUCACUAUGAGGUAUAGCUAGCUCUGUCAAAUCUCCGCUAAGUAUCGGUCAAAAGACCUUGUAAUAUUUUAAGGUCAAGCUGGUGGUUUGGCAGAAACGUCAGUGUCGGGAAAAGUGCUUUGUACUAUUUGUACCGGCUCUUCACGUUCUAAGUUAAAGCCCAGUAGCAGUCAACUUUUCCAAUCAUCCCUUCGGCGUCGAUAAAUAAAUAUAUCAAUUACUAAAUUCAAUGAUAUCGACUUAACUCCGUACACUCAGAGAUCAAUUCUGAGUUAAGGUCUUUACGUUUUGGGGUUUUACAUCCGCCAAGUUCAACUUUUACCUUUUACAAUACCAGGAUCGAUAAAAUAACGCACCAGAAAGUUUAUUGAGAUCAAUAUAAUCGAUUAUAUUCUUCUCCAAAAUAUUUGGCAUUGAGUCAUUGCGAAUAUUUAUUCACUUUUAGAGUUCAAAUCCCGCCCAAGUCAACUUUGUUUUUCAUCCUUUUGUGCUUGUUAAAACAAGUCUUUGUUAAAUUAUUGGUGUAUGCAACCCACUUCACAUUCCAAUUUGUCACACCAUGACUACAUUAAAAGUCAUUGUUAGAUCAGAAACCAUUAUUUUUCUUCUAGAAAGUGGCAUUUAAAAAAUAUUUUGUACCUGUCGUCCCGGCUGGUGUCCAUUUGCAGUUUGAUACAAGGGAAUCACUAUCUAGUCAAAAAGCAUACUAAAAGUAACGAUCAAGUUUCUAUAAAAUUACAUCCCACUUUCAAAGAAAAACCAAACAAACGAGACGUUAAAAUAAUGUAGUUCUAGGCUUACGACGUCUGAACAUAUAAACGCACGAAAACGAAGGAUGAUCAAGCUUGGUUUGGAAUUCCUUAAAUCAUAGGCUGAUCUGAACAAUAGUAACUAAAAGUAAUUCUCUCUCCCCCUCUCUCUUUCAAGGUGGGUGUCUGUACCUUUCGUAUCCGAACGUUUCCAUGGUAAUAGUUGACAUCAAAGGCGGCGUGCUGGCAGACUCGUUAGCAAGCCGGGCGAAAUGCUUAGCGGUAUUUCGUCUGCCGCUACGUUCUGAGUUCAAAUUCCGCCGAGGUCGACUUUGCCUUUCAUCCUUUCGGGGUCGAUUAAAUAAGUACCAGUUACGCACUGAGGUCGAUGUAAUCGACUUGAACCGUGUGUCUGUCCUUGUUUGUCCUCUGUGUUUGGUCCCUUGUGGGUAGUAAAGAAAUAGGUAAUAGUUGACAUGAUGUAAAUAGGGUACCAAUGAGAUUUUCUUCAGCUUUUGUCCUUUCAAAAGUUAAAAUCAGAUGAAACAGAAAAUUAUCCUUGAAAACAUUCUUUAAAUCAGCAGAUUAAAAAAAGAAGAGAGUUAACGAACGUGUGAUUCAGGAAAGGAGUCACAAAAGUUUUCAUUUCUCCUCCCAUCAUCUUCAUUUUCGUGUAUCAUUUGCAGUUGGUAUGCUUCUCUAUAUAAUCUAAUCUUACCUUACUUUAACCAUCUAAUCUCCUCAAUGAAGGAGCUUCAACAUUGUUUGAUCUACUAGAAGUAGGAGCCCAAACUUCCUUAAAGCACAAUGUCAGUUCUUUAUGAAGAGAUGACAUUUGGAUAAGGUUGUCCUGAAUUAUAUGUUUGAAAAAAGAGAAGAAAGACAAAUGAGUCAUAUUUGGAACGUCUUUCCAAAGUCUGCACUAUCGGGACCGAUAUUAUGGUUAAACAGCCUCUAUAUUAAUGAAUCUUUGAAAGUAGUGUACAAGAUGUUAGUAUCAAUUAGUCAUUUUUUAAAUAUAUACUGACCAUUUAUUGAUUAUUUUUUUUGUUAAUUCCACUUCCAUAGAUUCCUUUCAAGAAUUCCUUUCGAGAAUUUAAUUAGUUUUUUUUUAAGUACAUUCACACAUUCUGUGGUGUGUUUGCACGUGUAUUUACACUUAUCAGUAUACAUACUCCACAUACGUCUACUUACAUCCAUGCGUUUACAUACAUAUAUGCAUGCAUACAUACAUAUAUACAUACGUAUAUGCAAUACAUACAAAGACACGCACACAUACAUACUGUUAGAUAGCUAUUCACUCUUUGACGCUCAAAUCCUUAUUGAGUUAUGGUGUGUUUUAGGCAUUUUAAACCUAGCAUGGCCCGAUCCUUCAAACUCUAGGAUCGGCCAUGAUUUCUUCCGAUUAGAAUGAAAAUAAGUCGCCCCUUGUACUGGUACUUUAUUUAUCGGUCCCGCACAGAAAUUCACACAUUCAUUCACUCAAGAUAAGAGGGGCAUUGCUUAUGACCUUUGUAACUCGCGCCGCGCCAAAAAAUGGAAAAAAGCAGACGAUAGUAAUAUUAUUGAUGUUCAGCUGGAACAUUCGAAGCUAGGUGUGUGGCGGUUGGAAAUUUCCAGAGGUUUUUUUUAAAAUUUUUAUUUUAGAAAGGAAGAAUUGGAUAAAUCACAUCAGUGUAUGAAAUGAAUUCGUACACGAUUUAAUUCAUCACCCUGUUUAACACCCACGAUCUAGUCUUUGGGUGUCCUUGUUGGCUGGAGUCCACUCUUUUGCAAUAAUCUUCUGUGAGAGCAUUGUAGUAAUAGUGUUUCCUAUAUGACUCGUGGUUUCCUUUUUCCUGUCUUCCUCCUCUGUACCAAUCUCAAGUGUGGUUGCAAAGGUCAUGAAUGCUGCUUUGAGUAAACCAUACGCGCACACAUACAUACGGAUGCAUGUGUGCGUAUGUAUAUUCAUAUAUAUGUGUGUGUGUGUAUAUAUAUAUUUAUGUAUAUAUAUAUAUAUAUAUAUAUAUUUAUGUAUAUGCUUGUUCAUAUAUAUAUAUGUGUGAUAUAUAUAUAUUACUGGCGGUGCUGCAGCAUGGCCACAAUCAAAUGACUGAUGCAAGCAAAAGAAUGUGUGUAUAUGUAUGUAUAUAUAUAUAUAGGUUAGGUAUGUAUGUGUGUGUAUGUAUAUAUAUAUAUAUAGGUUAGGUAUGUAUGUGUAUAUAUAUGUGUAAAAUCAAAAUAAGCAACAUGAUAUCCAGAUGUAUGUAUAUGUAUAUAUAGGUGUAUGUAUAUAUAUAGGUAUGUGUGUAUAUAUAGGUGUAUGUAUAUAUAUAGGUAUGUGUGUAUAUAUACGUAUAUAUAUAUAUAUAUAUAUACACACGCACACGUAUUUACAUUAUGUAAAUAUAUAUAUAUAUAUAUAUAUAUAUAUAUAUACAUACAUACACACACACACACACACACACACACACACACACACACACACACACACACACCAUGUACACGUGAACCGGCAUGUUUAAGUUACUGACUAGAUGCUUCUUCAGUCAUGUGGACGGGUAUCCCAUUUUCUGUUUAAGCAGGUGAAUCUGUUGUGUGCAUGUGUAUCCGUAUUAAGCUUGUAUUCUCAUACAAACAACACCUACUUGUCUGUAUGUCAACUUUUCCUAGUUUAUCAUCUUUCGUCCGUUAUAUCUCCAUCAGCCCCCGCAGUUUUACCCCGCAGCGACACUAAUAAUUUUUCUCUGUAUUCCCCUACUUACUCCCCUAAUAUUACUAUACCUACCUACCUCUUGUACCAUCAUCAUACUAUUCUCGUACAAAAUAUCUGAUGAUGUCAUCGGUUUUCUACUCCUCCUCAUCAUCACCCUUCUCUCUCUCUCUCUCUCUCAUACUCUCGUACCCUCUCUCACUCUUUCAUACCCUCUCUGUCCUCUUUGUAGUGAAACGAAGGCGGACGUCUUAUAUGUUGCUGGUUGUGUGUCUAUGGAAACCUAACCAAUUCUUUUCUGACAUUCAUCUUUACUGUAUUUUUCUUGUUAGCCUGACACAUUCUCUGAUAAUAAUUACCUCUAUUUUCUUUCUUUCUCACCUUUUCACUUCUCUCUCUUCUUCACUUUAUUUUAUUUUUUUGUUUCCUUCUCUUUCCUCUAACCACUCUUUGCACUAUAUGUAUAAAUGAUGUUUCUCUCUUUCUUUCCUUCUCUUUACCAAUAUUCUUUCUUAAUUGGUUUUUUCUCGUUCACUUCUCCUUUUCCCUCUCUGCCCUCUGUAUUUCCUUCCUUCUUUUCUCCCCCCCCCACUUACUCCAAUUAAUCCUUUCUUUAAUCCCACUCCGGUCCAAUUGCAUCUCAUUUUAUACAUCCAUCUCGAAUUCUCCCUCUGUUUUUCUUUUAACGAAGGGGCUUCUAAAUUGUUGGUCAUUCUAGAAAUAACAACCUUAUUCUCUCAUAUAUAUCCUAUUGUCUUAACAAAAAUAGACAAGAUGGUCAUGUAAGGAAUAACAUUGAUCACGAGUUUAUUCAGAGCAAACCUGAUGCUAAACAACAAUUUGCUCCUGUCCUGUUUCUCCCACCCGUAGAUCUCUAUAUUAUCUGACAUUUUCUGAUUUCCUUUCCUCUUACCUUCCCGAUUCUCAUGCCUCACCACCCUUCAUUCAUUUCUAAAUACUCACCCACCACUAUAGAUUAGCUUUCUUAAGGAGCGUCUACGUCAAUGAUGGACAUAUUGCGGCCCGCUGGACUCAAUGAAUGACACGCCUGACGAAAAAUUCGAAUUUUUUUAGUCAUGUUGUUCGCCUGAUGAUGACCCACGUCUAAUGUCACUUCUCGUAAAAGAUUUUCCAUGUCUGAUCUGCGUGUUCACUCGCAGCUAGAAACAGUAGCUAAAUUUCCAAAUCGUGUUAAAAUAUGAAUGACACAUGUAGUUUUAGGUAUACUAUGUAUGAAAAUAGAGUGAUAUGAGCAUAAGUGGAACACCUUUGCUCAGGGGCAGACCUAAAAGGGGUGUCCCCUCAAGAAAAAAUUGCACCUUUCUAAAUAAUGUUAUUUUGCCCGUUUCUCCUGGAAUUGUAUUCCCUUUUAACCUUGUGCCCUUUCUUCGAAAAAUUCCUGGGACCACGCCAGUUUGCUCAUACACAGCUGUGUCUUUGACCAGGGCAGACUUGGAGGAUAAACAAGAGCAAUUAUUUUCUUUGUUCCAACUAACAAGUGAGCUUCAUCAUUGGUUGUUUGAGCUGCUAGAAAUAGCAGUAGAUGUUCAUCAUGUCACACACCCUACUGUCUUAAAAUGAAUUACAUUUUUAAUAUAGUCUAUACACUAUACUAAACAGGACUGUUAUAGCACUGUCUUCUGCUCUGUCCCCUUUGCUCAUUUUCGCUAGUUUAUUAUAUAAACCAGUUACUACAUUUCAUCCUUACUCUCUUUGAAUUCUAAUUUCUCAAAUUUCUUUGUAUCCUCUUUUCUUUCUGUCCAUCUCUCCUCUGUUUUUCUUUUCAACACACCUUGUAUUCCUUUUACUUUCUCUUCUUUCCUACUUUAGUCUUUAUGUGUAUUGUGGACUAGCUCUUCUAAAGUACCACCACCAUUAUCUUGAUCACAUUUAACCUAGGUAGGAAUUUCCAUGUGGUUGCUGAACCUGCUAGAAAUAGUAGCUAAAACUUGUUCAAAUCGCUGCGUACAGAAAGGAAUACAUCAAAUAGUGUAAUUUUAGAUAUAUAGAAAAAGAUGAAUUGGUCGCAGUUGGAAUGCCUUUGACGACAGAUAAGGCAUUUUGUCUGAUAUCUUACAAAUUCUUCCAAUCUACUCUCUCAUGUUCAACCUGCUAGAAACAACAGUUGAAUUUCCUUAAAAUCACUCCCUAGUAUCAAAAAUACAAAAAGAAAGAUAGGCAGGUUGGAUGUUAUGGUCCUGGAUAUUGAACCUCAGAAUAGAAUGUUCAUGGUUUGAACAUCUGUUAUCAUUUGUUUGCUUGAUCAGAGCUGAUCUGAGACUAAACAACAGCCUGAAAAUAUGCAGUGAAAAUUUCUUCCCGAUUUUUAGUUCAUAACUCCAAAGUGCAUCUGCUAUUCCAGUGCAUUUGAUGUACCAGUUAGUGUUGCCAGUGACAUGUAAAAGGCACCCACUACAACUCUUGGAGUGGUUGGCAUUAGGAAGAGCAUCCAACCAUAGAAGCCAAGCCAAACUCGACUGAAGUCUGGUACAGCUCUCUGGCUUACCAGUUCCAGUCAAACUAACCCAUGCCAACAUGGAAAACGGAUCCUAAAUGAUGAUGAUGAUGAUAUAUAUUUAUGGUUUACUUUUCUAUGCUUGCAUGGGUUGAUGGAAUUUGUUGCAGUGCAUUCUUUAUGGCCUAUUACAAACCCUCACCUGUUUCCAAGUAUGGUAAUAUUUCCCAUGACAACACGUGUUUUCCUAUGAGAUUGGAAACAAAAGACACUGUGUACAUGAUGGUGACACUCAUAACUAUCACAUGAUGUCAAGCCAAGGAGACAAAUGCACACAUACAUAUAUAUAUAUACAGCGAUGGGGAUGUUGGUCACCAUCUUUCUCUCUCACUUUCCCCCUUUCUUUCACACCUUUGUGUACCAACUGGGUAGCCAUGUAUCUCCUCUACAGCAAGAUACCUAUCUUUGUUCUAUUAUGCUUCUGAUCAACUGGCACAAAGCCACUUCUCUCAAUACUUCUCCCCCUCCUAGUCCAAAUGUCUGUCUUGCAAGUUACGUGGUGACCCUGACAGUGCUGGUGCCACAUAAAAAUCACCCUGUACACUCUGUAAAGUGGUUGGUAAUAAGAAGGGCAUCCAGCUGUAGAAACCAUGCCAAUGCAAACUAUACAGAGCUUUGUGUUGUCGUCUGGCUUGCCGACUCUUGUUGAAUCAUCCAACCCAUGCCAGCAUGGGAAAAUGGUCAUUACAUAUAUAUAUAUAUAUAUAUAUAUAUAUAUAUAUAUAUAUAUUAUUAUUUAAUAAACACAGUAUAUAUAUUUUCUAGGAGCUACCGAUAGUUUCAUGUGAUGAAAAUUACCCUGACACCAGAUGCUGUUGGAGUUGUUUUCCUUGCAUGAAACUAUUUGUAGCUCAUAAAGAAAUAGUUUGUUUAUUAAAUAAUAUUUAUCUCUCACCAAAUGGAGUACUUUUUUGUUGAUCUUACCACCAUGGAACAGUAUAUAUAUAUAUAUAUAUAUAUAUAUAUAUAUAUAUAUGAUAGACUUCUUUCACCUUCCAUCUACCAAAUCCACUCAAGGCCUUGGUUGACCUUGGGCUAUAGUAAAAGACACUUGCCUAAGGUGCCAUGCUGUGGUACCUAACCCAAAAGCAAGUUUCUUACCACAAAGCCACACCUAUCUGGGCGUGGGGGAGAAGCAACUCAUUAGCUGGAAUGCUUUUUUGAUCAUAGCUCUACUUGACCAGAAAGUGCAUAAAGAUCACUGCUAAAAUUAGUUUCUGUUGAUUGGAUAUUUGGCUUUGUUUUUAGGGAAAGAAAACAGUCUUCUUGUGUGCUAAUAUUGGAUUUUUUUCUUAACAAGCCAGCAAAGGAGUAUCUAUAUUUUUGUUUGUCCUGCUAGUAUAUAGCUGCCAAAUCUCAAAUCACACACUACUGUCUUAAAUAAGGAAAGUACACUUUUGAUAAUAUAGUCCUUGAUACAUCUAGAAGGUCACAACUGAAAUGCAUUUAAUCAUUGGUCUGCUCACUCAGAAUCGAUAAGGGACUAAGCAAUAAUAUUUAGCUCCCUCAUAUAUUGCCAUAGCAAUCUGUUGAGAUACUCAGUGCUUCAUAUAUUUUUCAUGCCUUAUCAAUUUAUGGAAGAUGGGAUGGUGUUAAAGAACUUUGUAGAUCAACAUGUAUUAGGCAACCAGAUAUUUUGGAAUUGUUUCAUCAGGAGUAUAGAAUCUAUGGUCCCAUUAUUUUUAUAUGCUCGCAAACUCAAAAUCAAAUUUAUCCAAUUUGUACUUCACUAUGAUUAUUUCUACCAAUACCAAUUCUCUGACCUGUAUUAUUCACUUAGUACUAUCUAGUUUAGCUUGAUGAUAGCUGCAUAAUCUUCUGUGAAGUUUCUAGAUAAUCUAUUGUGUAGUAGCUGGAUAAUCUGCUGUGUAGCAGCUGGAUAAUCUUCUGUGUGGUAGCUGGAUAAUCUUUUGUAUGACAGCUGGAUAAUCUUCUGUAUGAUAGCUGGAUAAUCUGCUGUAUGAUAGCUGGAUAAUCUGCUGUAUAGUAGCUGGAUAAUCUGUUGUAUAGUAGCUGGAUAAUCUGUGUAGUUGCUGAAUAAUCUGCUGUGUAGUUGCUGGAUAAUCUGCUGUGUAGUUGCUGGAUAAUCUGCUGUGUAGUUGCUGGAUAAUCUGCUGUGUAGUUGCUGGAUAAUCUGCCGAGUAGUUGCUGGAUAAUCUGCCGAGUAGUUGCUGGAUAAUCUGCCGAGUAGUAGCUGGAUAAUCUGCCGAGUAGUAGCUGGAUAAUCUGCCGAGUAGUAGCUGGAUAAUCUGCCGAGUAGUAGCUGGAUAAUCUGCCGAGUAGUAGCUGGAUAAUCUGCCGGGUAGUUGCUGGAUAAUCUGCCGGGUAGUUACUGGAUAAUCUGCCAAGUAGUUAUCGGAUAAUCUGCAGAGUAGUAGCUGAAUAAUUUGCUGUGUAGCAAUAGCAGCAUAAUGUGUUGUGUAGUAACUGCAUAACAGCUGUUUAAUCUGCAAUAUAAUAGCUGUACAUAGGCUACGUAAUCUACGCUAUAGUAAUCUGUAUAAUCUGUGGCAUAGUAUAAUAGAUAUAUAACAGCUGUUAAACCUGCUGUGAAGCAGCUGUAUAAUAACCAUAAUCUGCCGUAGAAUAUCUGAAUUAUUGAUGUAUAAUAACUGUAUAAUAGCUCUGCAGUACAAUAGCUUUAUAGUCUGCUGUAUAAUUCCUAUAUGAAAGUUCUAUAAUCUGCUGUAUAAUAACUGGAUGAAAGUUAUAUAAACUGCUCUAUAAUAGCUGUAUAGUCCGUUGCCUAAUAGCUGUAUUAUGAGCAGCUAGUGCAAAGAAUAAUGCCACCAGUGAAGCAGUACCUAGAAGAUAAUCUUCUUGCUGUUGUAUAACAUGGUAAAAAUAGCAGCCAAAUCUUCUAAUUAGAUCCCUCUAACAUCUUAAAGAAAGGAAGGGAUGAAAGAUAAUGUCUUAGAUAUACUAUGCUUUAAAAUUGUUAUAUUUUGAGCACCUUUUGAUCAUAAAUUUGUUGGAUAAAGUCUGACCGGGGCUAAACAAUAACAAUACAAAUGGGCUCUUGACAAGUGGCUUUCAACCAUUUUUUUGCUUAUCGGCCCCUUUGAUUCCUGUUUUACUCUACAGGAUAUACAUAGCCAUUUGCUGUAUAUAUCAUCAUCAUCAUUUAGCGUCCGUUUUCCAUGCUAGCAUGGGUUGGACGGUUCAACUGGGGUCUGUGAAGCCAGAAGGCUGCACCAGGCCCAGUCUGAUCUGGCAGUGUUUCUACGGCUGGAUGCCCUUCCUAACGCCAACCACUCCGCGAGUGUAGUGGGUGCUUUUUACGUGCCACCCGCACAGGUGCCAGACGGUGCUGGCAAACGGCCACGAACGGAUGGUGCUUUUAUGUGCCACCGGCACGGGGGCUAGACGAGGCUGGCAACGGACACGAACGGAUGGUGAUUUUAUGUGCCACCGGCACGGAGGCCAGUCGGGGCGGUGCUGGCAAUGGCCAUGAAUGGAUGGUGCUUUUUAUGUGCCACCGGCACGGGGGCCAGGCGUGGCUGGCAACGGACAUGAAAGGAUGGUGCUUUUAUGUGCCACCAGCACGGAGGCCAGUCGGGGCGGCGCUGGCAACGGCCACGAACGGAUGGUGCUUUUUACGUGCCACCGGCACGGAGGCCAGUCGGGGCGGCGCUGGCAAUGGCCAGAAUCGGAUGGUUCGCUUACUUGUCACCGGCACUGGUAUCAAUUUCCAUUGAUGUUGAUCGACUUCGAAUUUGUAUAUAUAUAUAUAUUAAAAUCUUACUUUAUUUUUAUAAUUACAUAUUAAGAAUUGUAUAAAAGAAAUUAAAAUAUUGCGCAUAAAUUUUAAUAAUAAAAUUUUAUAUGGAUCCUGGUUGAAAACCACUGAUUUAAGUGGUAGCUCAUCCUGCUACAUAUAGCAGCUAAAUCUCUCGUAAAUGAGAUCCUUUUUUCAACUUAGUAAAGGACAGAAACAUCAAAUAAUGUGGUCUUAGAUAAACUAUAUCUGAAAAAAAAAAUAGCGAUAACUUUGACUGGCCUGCCUUUGUUCAUAGGUCUGAUGAAUUAUGGCUAACAUAGGGUUACAACUUACUGUUAGAAACAAUAGUCAAAUCUUUCCUAGAUCAUACUCUACAAUCACAAAAAAAUAAAUAAAGAGAAAGACACUUGGAUAAUGUACCUCUUAAAAAUAAAAUGGAAUGGUCAUGGAUGGACUGCCUUUGACAGUAGAAGCUAAAGAACAACAUCCUUGACAACAAAGGCUAAAGAACAUAAACAAGAGCAGUUAUAAUAUUCACAUGAUCACCUCUGUGGUUGCUGAAUCUGCUAGAGAUGGCAGCCAAAGUCCCUCAAGCCACUACACUUCUCCCUGUUCUUUUUAAGAUGGAAAUAACACAUCAGAUAAUGUAAUUCUAGAUACUAAUAAAAUAAUGACAGGGUGGUCAAGGUUGGAUUGAUCUUGUUUAUAAGUCUGCUCAGCGAAGGUUGACGUGCAGUUAAAUGGCAACAAGCUCGUCAAAAAGAUGAAAACAGCAAUUGCCAUUGAUAAUUAACUUCAAAGAGAGUUUGCAUUUCUGCUAGUAUUCUAACAAUUGAUGUAGCUGCUGCUGCUGUUAUCAUCAUCAGGGAAUCAUUUUCUUGAAAGCUAAACAAGGAACAUCAACUUAAAACAGAUGUUUCUAUGUUAUUUCAGCAACUGUUUCCUAAAAUUUCAGUAGCAUCUUCUGUCUUUUUAUUCUUACUGUCUAGCAUCUGCUCUCUAUGUCUACACACAAACACUCUCUCUCUCUCUCUCUCUCUCUCUCUCUCUCUCAUAUACAUACUGACUCAUACAGAUAUACAUAAAUAUAUAUAUCUCUCUUUACUCUCUUUUACUUGUUUCAGUCAUUUGACUGCGGCCAUGCUGGAGCACCGCCUUUAGUUGAGCAAAUUGCCCCCGGGACUUAUUCUUUGUAAGCCCAGCACUUAUUCUAUCGGUUGCUUUUGAUGAACCGCUAAGUGACGGGGACGUAAACACACCAGCAUCGGUUGUCAAGCAAUGCUAGGGGGACAAACACAUACACACACAUCUCUCUCUAUAUAAACGGCAGUUUGUCUGUGCGUUUUCUGUGUGUCUGUUUUCUCAUACCCUCACUCUGACCACGGCUUUCAACCGAUUCUGAUGAAACUUGACACACACAUAGCCCAAUGUCAUAAUUCAAAUCUAACGCAGCGAAAAUUUUGAAAAGUUCCCCCAGUUCUGAAAAAAAUCGAUAAAUUCGACAUGGGGUCGACAAUCAGAAACCCAAACCACAGACCGUCUAGGGGACGCAACUCCACCUUUUUUAACUCUCAAAAAAAAUUUACCAUCAUUUUUUUUCCAUUUUUUUGCUAUUUUUUGGCUAUAACUCUCUAAAAUGCUUUAUAGUUAUUUUCCUUACCAACCUGAGCAACGCCGGGCGAUACUGCUAGUACAUAUAUAUAUAUACAUAUAUACGACAGGCUUCUUUCAGUCUCCGUCUACCAAAUCCACUCACAAGGCAUUGGUCAGCCCGGGGCCAUAGCAGAAGACACUUGCCCAAGAUGCCACGCAGUGGGACUGAACCCGGAACCAUGUGGUUGGUUAGCAAGCUACUUACCACAGCCACUCCUGCGCCUGUAUAUAUAUAUAUAUAUAUAUAUAUAUAUAUAUGAAAUUAACAAAUAUUCAAUUAAUUUAGCAGAUGCUAGUCAUAGUUAACCUGACUGUAACAUGGAUUUCUGUUUAUGCAUCACAAUUGGAACUAGUGAGCAAAAGGAUCAGUUCUACGAUGAGGCUGUCUUGCAGACUAUAUCAUCAUCAUUUAACAUUUACUUUUCCAUACUUGCAUGGGUCAGAUAGAAUUUGCUGAAAUGGAUUUUUUGUACAGCUUGAUGCCCUUCCUUUCACUGACUCUCACCUAUUUCCAAGUAGGGUAAUAUUCCCCAUGACUUGACAUGUUUUCACAAAGCAUUGGAAAUGAAGGAUACCACUCGCAUGAUGAUGACAUUCAUUUGCAACUAUUGCAUAAAAUCAAGACAAGGAGACAGUAAUACACAUGCACACAUACAUAUGUAUACAACAGGCUUCUUUCAGUUUCUAUUUACCAAAUCCACUCAUGAGGUUUUGGUUGACCUGGGGAUAUAGUAGAAAAGACUUGCUGAAGGUGUCUCACUCAUGAUCAUCAUCAUCAUCAUUGUUUAAUGUCCGUUUUCCAUGCUGGCAUGAGUUGGAUGGUUUGAUGGGGCUGGCCAGCCUAGGAGCUGUCCAAACUCCAACUAUUUGUUGUGGAAUGGGUUCUACGGCUGGAUGCCCUUCCUAAUGCCAACCACUUUACAAAGUGUACUAGGUGCUUUUUCCAUGCCACUGGAAUGGGUGCAUUUACAUAGUACCAGCAUGAGUGUAUCAUCAGCAACACUUCCUUUAGGAAACUGGUCAGUCACCUCAUCAUUUGCUAAUUAGGUGAACACACAAGCCAUAAAAGCUUCAUAUUUACCAUGAAGUGGAAUACAAAACUGAUUGCAAAUACUAAGUCCUUUCCCAGUGAAGAACGUAUCUCUCAGUGUACUCUGGGCUUGUGAUCAGAGACUUCAGUGUAAGAGUAAGAUCAUUAGAGAAAGGAAAGUAUGGAAGCUGAAAAAUCCUUCAGUAGUAUGUAGGAUCCAGGAAGUGCUGGUUGAUAUGUAUGACAAGAAGGGUAAGGAGGUAAAGACUUAUUGGCAGAGGAGUUGCUAUGGGACUGUCUGCUACAAUCUACAGGUCAGAUGUCUGGUUGGAGCAAGGCUCCAAUUAGACAGAAGGUGACAUGGUGAUGGAAUGGUAUAGUAAAAAGAGACAUGAAGCUGAAAGAUAGGCCUGUGGAUAUGUGUGUGUAUAAAUAUGUGUAUUUAUAUGUGUGUGUGUGUAUAAAUAUGUGUGUGUGUAUAAAUAUGUGUAUAUAUGUGUAUGUAGAUGAGUGUGUAUAUGUGGUUAUCUAUGUAUGUGUAUAGAUAUGGGUGUGUUUGUGUGUAUGUAAACAUAAAUCUAUAUCUAUCAUAUAUGUGUGUUUGUGUGUUCAAGCAUAUAUAUUUUCCUUUACUGCUAUGUGAUAAGUAGCUUGUAAUAUUCAAUUUCCAGCAAUUUAUCUUGAAAGCCUCAAAACCGAAUUUUUGUAAUAUAAAUGCAUUUUCUAAAAUGGUAUCCAUAUUUUCUGGCUAUUUUUAACUUGAGUUUGUCUUUUAAUAGAUGCUGAUGGUAACAUUUGUGUCAGAUUGUUUCCUAUUAGAAAUUAAAGAGUUCAAGACACCUUCUGCAUUCAUCUGAAAAGCAAGAGGUAAAUUUUAGUGUUAACAUAUGUGAGCAAUAAUACUUCAUAUGUUUAAAUAAGUUAACAGUAACCUACCAGUUGUUUUCCAGGUGGAUGGAGUCUUUGAAAUAUUAAAUCUUUAAACAAUUCUAUUUUGCUUUGUUAACAAUAUAUACAAUAUGGUACAUUUAUUUAGUGGUUCUUUGCAAAAUCUGUUCCACUGAGGUCUUCUUAGACCAAAGUGUACUCCCCACUUUAAAUAUGUUCACACUGAUUUAAUUAGUGUUUUUCAUGCAGCUGACACCUCUGAGUAAUUAGUCUGUAAUACAUCAAAAUAAAUAUCGAAUGGAACUUGUAGUUGUGAUACCUGUGCUGGUGGCACGUAAAAAGCACCAUCCGAAUGUGGCCGAUGCCAGCGCCGCCUUGACCGGCUUCUGUGCCGGUGGCACGUAAAAGCACCAACCGAUCGUGGCUGCUGCCAGCCUCCCCUGGCACCUGUGCUGGUGGCACGUAAAAAGCACUCACUACACUCACAGAGUGGUUGGCGUUAGGAAGGGCAUCCAGCUGUAGAAACACUGCCAGAUCAGACUGGCGUCUGGUGCAGCGUCCUGGCUUCCCAGACCCCGGUCGAACCAUCCAACCUGUGCUAGCACGGAAAAUGGACGUUAACCUAUGAUGAUGAUGAUGAUACCAAUUUUCUCCAUUGAUUAAUGUAGAAUAUUGUAGAGUUACUAUGUGAUUACUUCCCUACUUUCGCAACUAGGCUUUAUCAAGAAUAAGACUGAAAUAUGCUUGGAAUUAUCUUCCUUGUUCUCAAUAAUUGUUUCUUAUUUAGGCACAAGGUGAGCAGUUUUAAGGAGAGAUAGUUGAAUCCAUUGAUCCCAGUUCUUGACUAGCACUUUAUUUUGCCAACCCCUGUGGGAUGAAUGUCAAAGUUGACCUUAGCAACAUUUGAUCUUAGAAUGUAACGAGCUAGAGGAAUAUCAUCAGAUAUUUGUCCAAUGCUCUAAUAAUUCUACCAAUCUAAUUAUCCUCUUGUGCUCAAUAAAGGGAAGAGGUUCUAUUUGUCAUUGACUAAAAUAGUUUUUUGUUGAUCUUAUGGAUAUUUCUAAUAAGCUUUUUAAUUCUCCACUUAUGUUCAAUAUAUUAAUAUUUACUUGACCAUUAUAGGGUAGUAAGCUAGUAGAAUUGUUAGGAUACCAGACGGAAUGUUUAGUAACGUUUCAUCCGUCUUUACAUACUAAGUUCAAAUUCAGCUGAGGUUGAUUUUGUCUUUUAUCCUUUUUAGGGUCGAUAAAUUUGAGUACCACACAAGCACUGGGAUUUAUGUAAUUUAUGAGCCCAACUCUCUCAAAGUUUCCAGUCUUAUGCCUAUAGUAGAAAGGAUUUAUUUCACUAUUGUACCUGUUUCUCAUAGCAAUACUGUAUAUAUGUUUAUCAAAAAUAUACAUGUGACUUCUUAUUCAUGCUGUUUGUAACCCGUGCUGUACAUUCUCUGUAGUCAUUUGUCUUCAGUUGUCAACCAUGCACCAUUAUUUAAAUGAUUUUUGCCAACCACAAUCUUCAUAUUUUUAUUAAGCAGCUCUGUUAGUUUUCUUCAGCAGUUUGGGAGGCAGAGGUAAGCGGUCCCUGGUGAGUUUUAAAUGUAAGAUGAAACUAGUUCAUUUGAUCAUCAGUUCAAUCUGCCACUAUAGGACCUCAUUUAUUUACUCAAGUACUAUAUUAAUUUAUGUUGUAGAUUGGAAUGCUCCCAAGCAAGUUGUUUAUAUACAUAAGCUUUUGUAUAGCUAAGACUAAAUAAUGUAACACAUCUCCCUCAUUUUACUUGUCCCUACUUCAUCUCCCAGCCUAGAAUCAUUGCACACUUUCUCUUCUGUUUUCACUUGGUUUUAAGAACAUUUUAGGCUCUUAUUCUUACACGUUACAAUGUGGUCUUUACUCGUACAAGUGCCCUGAAAAAGGCAACCGGUACACUCUGUAAAGUGAUUGGCAUUAGGAGAGAAAUCCAGCAGAAGUAGAAACUAUGCCAAAGCAGGCAUUAAAGCUCAAUGCAAUCCCCCAACCUGUCAGAUCCUGUCAAGCCAUACAAUUCAUGUCAAUACGGAAGCCAAACAUUAAACAAUGAAGAUGAUGAUGUCCACCUUUUGUCAAAACCAUAGUGUGCGAUUCCGAGGAAAAUUUGACUGCUAUUUUUAGCAAAUCAAACAGCCAUACAGUUUCCUUCAUUGUGGAGUUGGUUGAUGUUAUGACAUUCUAGUGUGUUGUGGUUUAACCACAGGUCAGCUUUUGGUGAAUUUAUGACCAAAGCUGUUCUGGCUAAGCCAGAAAUUAUUUUUCUUACAGACAUUGUGUUUAGAACUCUAUUAUUGAUUAGUUCCUUUCCUUUUUAAUACAAAAAUGUUGAAUUUUAUGUAAAAUUCUUAGUUGCUAUUUCUAGUAGGACAGGUGACUGAAUAGAGGCUUUGGCAUUGGUUUGUGUUUGUGUUUUAGAUGCUGUAAUACCUACCAUAGCAAUUACAGUAAAAGCUAUGACAAGUUAGCAUGGAAGCCUUGAUGUGGUUGCUAUAACUGCUAAAAGUAGCCACCACAUUAUAUCUGUUUAAAAAAAGUGUGGGACACAUUGCACAAUUCAGUCUGUAAAAGUAAAAAAAAAAUUUCAAUGGACUGUCUAAGCUAGCAUAAGUGCCUUUAAUUAUAUAUCUUUGUUCAUUGUAAACCUAAGGCUAAAAAAUAACAUCUACUUUAACAGAAACUGCUACUGUAAUGAGUCUAUAGUGGAACAUCAGUAUGGUUGCUUGACCCGCUGGAAAUAGCUGGCAAAUUUCUCCCUUAAAUGGUACCUGACUAUCUUAAAAAAAGACAUAUUGGACAAUGUAGUCCAUAUGAUAUAAAAGAAAUUGGAUUGCCAUGGUUGGAAAGCCUUUGAUCACAGGUCUGCUCAAUGAGAGAUCUAGCAAUAAACAAACAACGGACAGUUGCUACAGAUACAAAGGCAACCAUUACCACAGUCGCUAGGAUAUCAGCUAUAACAGUUGCUAUGAUAGCAGUAACAUCACUGCUUGCUUCAGUAGCUCUUCAGUAGUUACCAUAGCAACAACAAUAACAAUCACCUCUAGAGAUUGUAACUCAAAUAAGUAAAUAAAAUGCUUUCUUAAUUACAUUUAUAAAAUUGAAUCUGUAAGAAUUAUUAAAAAAAACAAUGCAUGAGAGUGUGUAGUUGUUUGACCUGCUAGAAAUAUAGAAAUAGCAAUCAAACUUCCUUUAAAUCAUUCUUGACAGUCUGAACAAUAGAAGGACAAUGAAUGAUUUAAUCCUACCUAGAUACACAAAAAGAUGGCAUGGUAAUAACUUAAAUGCCUUUGAUAUUUGCUUGAUUAAACCUGACUUGGAGCUAAAUAACAAGUUACACACACACACACACACACAUACUUGUGUGUGUGACAGAGAGAGAACAAGAAUUAAUGAAUGAAAUAGUUUAUUAAAAGCUAUAUAUAUAUAAUCAAAAGGCAAACUAUUAACUGUUUAGGAAUAUUCCAGUCUAUUAAGUAAACUAAAACUAACAAUAAAUAUAUACUGUCAUAUUCAUGUGUAAUUAACAUAUAUAUUUCGGCAAGCUGUAAAAAUACUAUAAUGUGUAUACUUCGAGAAAUUUUGAUAAAAGAAGUCAAAAGUGGUGAUAGUGGUGGGAUUUGAAUAGCAUUAUACUCAUGCAUAAAAUAAAAGAUAAGAAGAUAAAACUGAUUACUGGUUUUUAGGUACAAAAUAUAGGGUCAUAUUAUAUUUGAGGUCACAUUGUACUUGAGUAUAUACAUUUAAGUCCAGUGAUUACAUCAUUAGGCUUUUGUCAGCCUAGAGUGACAAUCAAACAAACUAGUUUCAUCAUAUCUUAAAACUCAUCAGGGAUCUCUUACCUUGAUUUUUUUCUUUUUUUUUCUUUCCUAAUUUAUCAAUAUUAUUAUUGAUUUAUCAGGACUGAAAAUGGGUAGAAUCUGCAGAGGAGAAAAAAAAUGCAUCAAAGUGUUUAGUUGCAGUUUUAUGAUUUGUGUUCACAUCCUGCUAAGGUCAAGUUUGCUUUUUAUUCUUCUCAGGUUGAUAAAAUAAGUAUCAGUCAAGUAGCUGGAUUGAUUAAAAUAGUUGUGAAAAUAAUUAAUAUUAUCAAAUCCUGUCGAGGUUAACUUUACCUUUCAUCUGUCUGGUAGGGUCGAUAAAAUGAAGUAUCAAUCAAAUACUGAGAUGAAUUUAAUUGACUAUUCCCUAUUCCAAACGGUGUGGCCAUGCUAAUGUUAGAAAUCAAUUUAAAAUUAUUGAUAAAGAUGGUGGAUUGUCAAAAUUGUUAGAGCACUAGACAAAAAUAUAUGUUAUUUAGUUAUGGUUUUUCUUUCUGAGUUCAUAUCAUACCAAGGUCAACUUUAUUUUUUAUCUCUCUCCAAAUGAGAAACUAUAGUAUCAGUUGAAUAUUGAAGUCAGUUUAGUUUAUUAACUCCCUCCUCUGAAAUUUCUUAGCCUUGUGCCUAAAUUAGGAUUUUUUUAGGUUGGUAGAUUGAAAGAAUUGUUGGACGGUCACCAAAUGCUUUGCUGUUUUUAUUCUGAAUCGUUACUUUCUGAGAUCAAAUUCUGCCCAGGUCAGUUUUCCCUUUCGUCUUUUGGGUGUUGAUAAAGCACCAGUUGAGUCCUGGGAUCAGUGUAAUCAACUAACUCCUCCCCACAAAUUUCUGGCCUUGUGCCUAUAGUUGAAAGAAUAAUGAUGAUAAUGAUUAUGAUGAUGAUGAUGAUGAUGAUAAUGUAAGGAAAUAGAAAAGAUUGAGAAAUGCCAGCUACUGUGGAAUGAGAUAGGAAAGUUAUGGGGCAUGAGUAAAGUAAUGGUGAUACCGGUGGUAAUUGGAGCAUUGAGAGCAGAUUCCAAGGUCUUUGGAAAACAUAUUAAAAAUAUUGGAGCUGCUGUGAGGCUCGAGGUGAUCCAGAAGACAGCAUUGUUGGGUACAGCUCGCAUUCUAAGGAGAGAAUUGUCUCUUUGAGUCACAGUAACCACUACUUGAAACCUUUGGUGAUUUGUUACUGCCUGAUUUCAAGUAAAGAAUAACUGGUAAUUAAGAACUAUCCAAGAGUCUUUUUAGAAUAACAACAACAACAACUAAUAAUAAUAAUAAUAAUAAUAAUCAUUAUUAUUAUAUAUUUCACUUUUCAGAGCUCUUGAUUUCACUUUCUCCGGCUAAUUCUGUAAGAACAGACAACCUGUUGCCAAGGGUCUCACAAGGUCUUCUCCCAUGAUAAUUAACAUCCAAGCAACAUAUUAUUAUUAUUAUUACUAUUAUGGUGGUAGCUGGUAGAAAUGUUAGAGAGUUGGACAAAAUACUUAGCCAUAUUUUUUUGAGCUCUUUACCUUCUGAUCCCAAAUCCUGUCAAAGUCAGCUUGCCUAUCAUCCUUUCGGGAUUGAUAAAAUAAAGCACCAUCCAAUUACUAGAGUCAAUGUAACUGACUUCUCCUCUGCCUCUAGAAUUGUUAGCCUCGCCACAUAAAAAGCACCAGUGCUGGUACCACAUAAAAAGUACCCAGUAUGCUCUGUAAAGUGGUUGGUGUUAGGAAGGGCAUCUGAUUGUAGAAUCCAUGCCAAAGCAAACAAUGGUGCUUGGGGCUAUUCUCUGGCUAUCAAACUAGCCAAUCCAUGCCAAUAUGGAAGAUCGAGGUUAAAUAAUGAUGAAGGUCAUUGUUGUUGCUCUUAUGGUGAUGGAUUGACAAAUUAUAUGUCUUGAGAUAUUUCACUAUGUCCUUGUACAUUCUGAGCUCAAAUCUUACCAAGGCUAACCUUGUCUUUCAUCUUGCUGACUUCGAUAAAAUAAAUUACUUGUCAUGUACUGGGAUUGAUGUAAUCUAUAAUUGUGUCCCACUCCCCAAAGAUUGAGUCCUUGGACCUGUGUUAAAAAUGAUGCUUAUUUAUGCUGUUAAAAUAAAUACCAGUUAAACCCAGAAGGUCAAUGCAAUAACAAUAGCCACUUCCUUCAAUUAUUUACUGCCUUAUCCCUAUGUUAGAGAUUAGAAUAUUUUAAAACUUGUGUGUGUGGGAGUGUGUCAAAAGUAUACCAGAAAAAUUACCUUGCAGCACUCGUGUAUUUUUACACUUAGAGAGGAAGGUGAAGGUUGCUGCUCUCUAGUUAAUUAGCUGAAAGGUGUGUAAAUGUAGUGAGAUUGGUAUGGGUGAAUGGACUUAUUCUAUGCAUGCACUUGUAGGCCUAACAAUACAACUGGGAGGUGGCAAUCAUCCUUGGUAGUCAAGUAAUCUUGGAUCUCUGAGGUUCUGAAGUAAUUUUAGGCAUUUAUCCCUCUAUUUGAACACCUCAUUUUAUUUCUUUGUGUUCUAGCUUUUGCAGUACAUAUACAAAAAUUGGAACAGUACAGAGAAGAUUUCUUUUGUGUAUUAUUUCCCAUGCCUGUUUUCCAUAAUUGAUUUUGUAUAAACUCUCACCAUUUUUUUGUCAUUUCUCUUAAUGAUGUAUCCUCAUCCAUCAUUCCUGUGGCUAAUAAAAAAUUCUACUCCUUGGUCAGACUAAAUGAAUACUUGUUUGAGCCAUGGUUGCAGAUCCCAGAGGCAGUAGCAAAUAUUUUGAACUGUACACCUUGGAGACCUGAACUGUUUCUGUUGUUUGGGGGGCAUGUUUGGUCUGUACCUCCAGGUAGAUCAUAACUGGGGUAAAGUUAUGAACUGGAUGGCCAGUCUCACUCAGAUACAGAUUGAGAGGACAUGAUCCCUGAGCAUGUGGCAGUGAUAACAAACAUUUGUAUCACAUUUCACCUGAUUGUUGUGCUGUUCCCCUUUUUCUCCUGACUAGAUCAAAGCACUUUUUACUUGUAGAUAAGAUGUAGUCCACCGUUCAUGUGAUCUGUCUGCUGGUACCUCCUCUGCUUAGAGAGUUGGGUAAUAUGAACAUGCUGGGUUCCUUGAUUGACUCUUAGGAGUGGUUCUGUACUCUUAGAUCUAAAAUACACUCUUGAAUAUUGCAUAUACCACUUUUCCCUCUUUUCUUUCUUUUUAUAGCCUGUCUUUGUAAUCUCUCAUCAUCUACCACUUUUUUUCAGGUGGAGUGGGGUACUCCUUGAGUUUCCCCCUCACUCUGUUAUAUAAUUCCCCUCAAAUUAUAACUUGUCCCUGUAAUGUCUUCUUUAUUCAAUACCCCUGUGGCAAAUAAAAGAAAAUUGUUGUUGCUGUCAUUGCUAGUUUUUACUGUAUUUACAAAAUUCCACAACUUCCACAAAUAAUUAAUUUCUAAUGUUUGACUAUUCACUGACUUCUUUUUGAAGUUCAAUUUCCACCAAAUUAACUGUAUUGCAAGUCAACUUUGGUAAAUGGUCCAUUGUAAAGAGUGGGAUUUAGUUUAGCUGAUUAAUGAACAAUUCUUAUUUGCUUUCUUCUAACCAUAUAGCUAACCCACCAAAAUGUAAUUUGCUGAGUUUGUACUUGUGUCUAAUUAAGAGCAAGGCCAACCAUUUAUAUAAAUAGCCACUUGCUCUUGUGAAAAGCCUUCAAUGUUUGUAUUUUUCUUUAUAUUUUUUUCCUGUCCUGUCUAUUUUUUCUUUUAAGAAUUUUCUUUAUAUUUUUUCAUGACAUUAUUUAUCCUAUUAUUUAAUUACGAAGUUCAGAAUAUUUGCUUCCAAAUUGUCAAGUGAUAGCUUGUGUGUGUGUGUGUGUCUGAAUGGGUGGGUGCACAGUUGUUUAAGAAUGUAUGUGUGUAUUGUCAGUAUUGUUUAUUUCCAUCUCAGUCCUGACCCUGCAGACCUAUGAUCAAAGAUAUUUUACCCAUGGCCAACCUUUUUCUUUUUUCUUUUCCUAUGUACAGGGAACAUAGCAUCAUGUUAUCCAGCUUGUUCUUUUUCUUAAGAUGGUAUUGUAUAAUUUGAGGAAGAUUUGACUAUUAUUUCUAGCCAGUUUGGUUUGUGGAGUUGAUGAUAUUGUGAUGUAUAGUUGUAACAAUAAGUAGUCUGAUGUAUAUUGGAUAUCUUGUCCUUCCCUGAGCAUCUGCUAAUAUUUCACAUGUAUCAUGUCCUCGCAUUGUUGUUUUUUUGUGUUUGUUCUUCGUUUUUGGGAUUUACUAUAUAUAUAUAUAUAUAUAUAUAUAUAUAUAUAUAUAUAUAUAUAUAUUUACAUACACAGCCACAGCAGGAGAUGUAUUAGGACAUGAAAUGUAAAAGCCAGACUAGAUUAUUUUAUGCGCAACUCCAUUAUCUUCCAAGACAAAAAGGAUGCCAACAACAACAACAACAAUAUAUAUACAUAUGUAUGUAUAUAUAUAUAUAUAUAUAUAUAUAUAUAUAUAGGUGAAGGGAUAGCUUUGUUGUUGAGAAGUUUGCUUCCCAACCACAUGGUUCCAAGUUAAGCCUCACUGCAUGACACCUUUGGCAAAUGUGUUACACUGCAGCUCUGUUUGUUUGUUCCUUCUCAAGCCAUGCCUGGCUCAUAAGGGCCAUUUUCCCGGUUUCUUGGCGUAUAGGUUCCCCACCUGGACGGGAUACUGGCCCAUCACAGGUGAGCUGCAAGAUGCAAGAGUGAGAGAAAGUUGUGGCGAAGUUCGCCAUUACUUUCUGCUGGAGUCGCGUGGAGCUUAGGUGUUUCGCUCAUAAACAAACACAUCAUCCGGUCUGAGAUUCAAACCUGCGAUCCCUCGACCGCAAGUCCGCUGCUCUAACCACUAGGCCAUGUGCCUCCACUACACUGCAGCUCUGUGCUGACCAAAGCCUUGUGAGUGGAUUUUAGAGACAAAAACUAAAAGUAGCUCAUCAUAUGUGUUCAUGUAUGUGUUUAUGUCUCCUUGUCUUGACAUCAUGUGAUUGUUGAUGAAUGUCAUUCGUUUCCAAAAUUCUGUAAAAACAUAUCAGGUCAUGGAAAAAUAUUGCUUUGCUUGGAAAUAGGUAAGCAUCGAUGAGAAGAGAAUCUGGUUGUUUAAAAUCUACCAAAAAAACCUCUAUUCGCCUAAUGAAAGCAUGGAAGUGGAAGCUGAAAUGAUGAUAUAUAUAUGAAGCAAAAAUAGCACUCUUUAUAAAACAGUAUUUGUAUAUUUGUUACUCUUUGUACUUUAAUUCUCCAUUGUGUAUAGCAAAGGUUAAAUGUUGGUCAAACCUGCAGGUCAUAAAUUCAAGCUUGAUUAAUUGUUUCACACAAAUCUUCCUUGGCUCCAUCUGCCUGGUUGGAUUCUAUUCUUUUUGUUUCGCAGAAAAAAAAAUGUUAUUAAUAUCUUGCAUGAGAAUAGGCGUAGCAGUGUGGCUAAGAAUUUCAUUUUGAACCACAUGAUUCUAGGUUCAAUCCCUUUGCUUAGCCCCUUGGUUAAGUGUUCUCUUCCAUCGCACCAGGCUGACCAAUGCUUUGUGAGUGAUAUAUUAUUGGCUAAUAAGUCCAUCAUGUGUGCGUGUCUGAGAAUUUUUAAAUUUCAAGCAAAUCUUUUCAUCAAACAGAAAAAAAUUUGCUAACUUCACUAUACUCACUUAGCAACCACUUGAAUUUGGUAGAUGGAAACUGUGGUAGUUGUUAGAGGAUUUGCUAGAACCAGAGUUCACUUGAUGCUCAGGUGUCUUGGACUAGCAGCUAAGGAGAGAAAAGAUGCUGCCUAAAGAUUGUUAGAAGCCACUGAGAAAGCAAUCCAUUACAUCUUGCUCAAGAGAGAGAACAAGUGGUGUAACAAGACUGAAUAUUUGAGGAUGGAAGAAACAUCUAGCCCAGAGCCACAUCAUCUGACUCAACAAAGCUCAUGCUGGUGUUUUGUUGCCUACAUAUUGGUGGGUGGCCCCAGGAAGGAGUCAACUCACCUAGAAAGCUGCUGCACCUCCUGGUGAGACAUUGAAUCUUGAAUUCAGAGAUGGAGAAUAGCAACACCCUCAGCACAUAAGUGGCACCCUAAUAUAUGUGUGUGUGUUUGUCUCCCACUGCUUAAUGGCUGGUGUUUGUUUGUUUACACCCCCAGUACCAGAUUAAAGAAUAAGUACUGGAGUUGAUUUUUUUUUAUCUAAACCCUUCAAGGUGGUAUCCCAGGAUAGUAGAAGCCCAGUGGAUGAAAUAAGUAAUAAAUAAAAAUAUGAUGGUAUACUGAAUUAUAAAUGUAUAGAAACAAGAUCUUUUUGAUAUCUGAAGAAAUGUAGUGUGAGAAACUCAGAGUAGCAAUAGUGAAUCUUCAGGUUUGAGCAUAAAUCUGUUGGUCAGCCUGCCUGCAUGUGUGUGUGUAUUGUGCCAUUACAAAAAAAUAUUCACAUUUUACAUUUGUGUAGGUCUCUGUUUAUGUAACUAAAAUUUUUUUGUUACACUCUCUACACUUCUACCUGGUGAUAUUUCUUUUCAAUUCCUUUCACUGGGACAUAUAUGUACUUCACCUCAAAAUUGUGUGCCAUUCUGUUAAAGGUCAGUCAGCAAAAUUCAAAGGUCAUUUCUAUGUUCACAUCAAAGAAGAUAUGUGGUAAAUUGUUUCAUGUCACUGGGGUUUAUCACUCAAGUGCUGGUUUUCUUUUCUGCCUCCCUUACUUUACUCAUGUUAAAGAAUGAUUCCAUCUUUACAUUAUUGUUGAAGCAGAAUAUUUGGAGAUAAAGUUUAGACUUCCAUGUAUAUAUAUUUUUAGACUUGAAAUUUUCAUCUAUAUCUUGUGUGUUCCACGAUGUAGAAAUUAUGCAGAAUAUUUUUCUUGUCAUUAUCGUCUUUGCUUUACUUUUUGUUCUGCUGUUCUUUUUUUUUUUUUUUUAUAUAUUAUUUUUGCAUGUCAUAUUUCCUGUUUUUGCAUGGCUUUGCCAUUUUUUUCCCCUUUUUGUUAUUCCAAAAAUUUUUAUUAAUAUUUAUUUUUUCUAAUAUUUCUUGAUCUGUUUCUAGUUUUACUUCUUUUUUUUUUCUAAUAUGUAUUUUAUUUCUUUUACUUUUUCUGUCCUUGUUUUCAACUGAUUUUCUUAAUAAUUUUUUUCUUUAUGUACGGAUGAUAGCUAGAAUAGCAAAAUACUAGCUAAUUAAAUAAAAUAAGAUUCACAUUAAAUUUUGUUAGAUGGGGGUACAUUGAGUCUCUCAAGCUACUCAGGGAAAUCACCUCUAGUAUCUUACUGGUACUAAUUUUAUCAAUCCGGGAGGACUAAGUGCAUUGCUGGAUUUAGAUUUGGUAAGCUCCUAAGCUAUAUAAAAUUUGGCCCCAUUUUUAAAAACAUUAAAGGUUUUAAAAAUUGAAAGCAUAUUUUCCCUCCUGUCUGUCAAAGGAGGCAUAAACACUUUCUCUCACAUGCAUGCACAUAUUAUGGAACUUUCAAAAGUUUUCCAGUCUCUUACUCAUAACCUCUUUUAUGCAGAUGACUGUGAUUUAGUCACUCAUACAGUGGAUGACAUUCAAAUACUUAUCGUAUUUCUGUUUCAUUUGGACUCAGCAUUAGUCUGGACAAGACUGUUGUAAUGUUCCAGCCUGCACCAGGAAAUCAAUAUGUUGAACUAGCUAUCUUGGUUAAAGGAACAAUACUCAAAGUGGUAGACAAGUCUAUCUACCUGGGCAGCGCAUUCAGCCAUUCUUGCUCCCUGGAUGAUGAAAUAUCUUUCAGGCUGCAGAGUGAAACUGAUUCCUUCCAGUCUCUUGAAUCUCAUGUCUGGUCCCAGCAUGGCAUCACAAGAAAAACAAAAAUUGCUGUGUACCAUGCACGUGUACUGACAUUGCUCCUUUACUUAUAUGAGACAUGGACCCUUUACAAAUGUCAUGUAAAGAUCCUUGAACAAUUCCAUCGGAGAUGUCAGAGACACAUUCUGAAUAUUGGCUGGACCUUAAAAACUGUAGGUCUUGAGGAAGCUGAUAUCUUGAGUAUCGAGGUAAUGGUGCACAAGCACCGGUUAUGUUGGACUGGACACCCUAUUAAAAUGAAGGAUAGCAGGAUCCCAAAACAGAUGCUAUAUGGGGAACUUGUUAGUGGAAAAAGAUCCGGCAGAAACCAAGGCUGUGAUUUAAGGACUGUGUCAAGUCCUCAUUAAAGGCCUCUGAUAAGCAAGAGACCGACUGAGAGAGUAGUGCCUGUUAUCACCACAGAUGGAAGAAGCAGGUUAAGAAGGGGGUUGACAUCUUUGAAAAAGCACAUAUUCUUCAUGAAGAAUUUAAAUGUCCUGCUCAAAAGUACACUGCUGGCAUAGUGAAUGGGGAAAGCUUGGUAUCCAAUGUUUGCAGUUGUAUAUGCUUGUCAAGAGCAGGGCUCUUUAGCCACUAACGGAGCUGCAAAUGCAAAAUAUAAAUUAGUUCUGGAGCGCACAAUGUUCCUGAAGGUCAGCAAUGGUCUUCCUCAGUCACGAGUGUAUAGCCAUCAUCAUCAUGUAUAUACACACACACAUAUAUAUAUACACACGCACACAUAUAUAUAUAUACACAUGCACACAUAUAUAUAUAUACACAUAUACAUGCAUAUGUACAUACAUCUUCCAUGCUGGCAUGAGUGGAGCAGUUUGACAGGAGCUGGCCAGGCAGAAGCCUGCACCAGACUUGUAUGACUGUUUUGGCAGGAUUUUACUGCUGGAUGCCCUUUCUAAUACCAGCCACCCAGCAGAGUGGACCUAGUGCUUUUUAUGUGGCAUAAACACAGGUGAGGUAAGUUUUGGCAAGAUUUUUACAGCUGGAUGCCCUUUCUAAUGCCAAGCAGUUUACAGUGUGGACUGGAUGCUUUUUAAGUAACACCUGCACUGACAGGGUCACAAAGUAACCUGCAAGACAAAAAUCUUUUGAGAAGGGAGGGGGCAUUGGAGGAGGUCAUCUUGCAUCAGAUGAUAAAAGGUUAUAGUGAAACAGAGAGACAGAAAUGAGUAUCUUGCUGUAGAGGAGGUACAAAGUUACCUGGCCAGAGAGAGAGAGAGAGAGAGAGAGAGAGAGAGAGAGAGAUCAGGAAUGAGGACAGAAACAGGUGUACUGCCGCAAAGGCGAUACAUGCUUACCCAACCUGAAGGAAGUGCAGAAGAAGGAGAGAAAGAGAGUGGGAGACAUCAGGAUAGAGAUGGUGGAAAAGUGCCAGGCAUACUCACAAGGGAUCAGAAUAUAAAUGGUAUGGUCGAGUAAAGGCAUAGAGAGAUAUAGGUGGAAAGUGCCAGGGCAUAUCCUUGAAGUUCGAAGGUCAUAAUAUAUAAGUGGCAAGAUAUUGCCAAAGAAGCAUGAUUAGAGAGUGGGGAGGGGAAGUGAGUGGUGAAAACCUGGGUAUAUAGAGUAGGGUGGGGGCUACCAGAUAGCAAUGAUACAGAGAAUCAGGGCUGUGAGGAUAGGAUUGGAGAGUGAGAAGUAGGCGUAGUACAUGAAAGAGAAAAUGUGAGGAAGAGAAGAGAUGUAGAGAUGUAGAUUGGUUUGUUUGGGGUAGGGUAUGUGAAAAGCUUUCUUGUUACCUGUGGAUGGAACACACAGAUUGGGGGCUAGCAGAUAGCAGUGAGACAGAGGCAAGAGAACGGGAUUUCGAGUGCGAGGUAAGCAUAGUGCAUAAAGUGGAAGUGUGAGGAAAAGAAGAGAUGUAGUUUGGUUUGUUGUGGUAAGAUGUGUGAGGAGUUUUCUUAUGUGUGGGUGGUACACACAGCACUUCUAGAACUCAGUUUCGCUGACGUGGACAGGUCUUCUCAAGAACCUCCUGUUGCCAGGCAUCUUGGUCCAUUGUCAUUUCCUCCAUGGGGCCCAACAUCCUGAGAUCGGUCCUUACCACUUCACCCCAUGUCUUCCUGGGUACCAUCCACUUUCAGUGAUUGAUACUUCUUGAGAGAGAGAGAGAGAGAGAAAUAACGGGAAAUAGAUAAUGUGAGUGGGAUAGAGAGAGGGGUAUUGCCCGUUAGACUUCUAACCUAUUUUUACUGACAUAACACAUAGUUGCACAGCCUGCUCAAAAUGGUGGCCAAACUCACAAAUCACUUUUUCCUAUCUUAAAUAAGUUUAUACUGAAUAAUAUAGUUUUUGAUAUAGAAAAUGAUAGGAUUGGUUUGACUGGAAUGUUGUUUGUCUUAGUUUUCUUUGAUUGUGAUUGACUUUAGAACUAUACAAGGAAGUUAACUUUGAGUCAUCAAAAGAGGACUUUUGCAUUGUCACUCAACCAUCUAGAAAUAGCAGCUACAUUUCCAUCAUAUUACACUUGAAGCUUCUUAGAUUAGGACAAACACUGGAAAAUGUAGUUUAUACAUACAAAAAUAUGAAAUAAUGUACUCACAUACACAAUUACAAAAGCCAUUGUGACUGGUCUAUUAUAAAUAACAGCCAAAUUCCCAUCAAAUCCUACCAUACCAUCUUACAAUAGGAAAAUACAAAUUGGACAAAUCUGUCUGUCUGUCUGUCUGUCUGUCUGUCUCUCUCUCUCUCUCUGUUUGUCUGUCUGUCACUUUCUCUGUUUAUCUAUCUGUCACUCUCUCUGUUUGUCUGUUUCUCUUUCUCCCCCCCUCUCUCUUCCUCUGUGUGUGUGUGUUACAAUAUGACUAUGUAUUACAUGAAAUAGCGGAAAAUCUACCUGGAGGGUGCUGUUUCUGCUAUUUUAUAUAAUGGCAUCAUACAUGGGAAAAAAUCACGUUUUAUUCAAUAUCUUAAAUAAAAAACAUUGAAAAGAAAACCCCAUUAAACCAGUCAUUUAUCAAAGUUUUCAUGUGGUUUAUUGCCUGAAAUCACUGGCAUUUGCCAUAAAACUUAUCCAACUGAAAAAUUGAGACAGUCAGUCUUGAUUCAGGAUUUAAAUCCAUUUUUACUUCAGCUUUCUGACUGACAGAAACAGGUUUCAUAUUUAUUUGCAAUUUAUUGUUGUGGUUUAUUUUCAGAUUACCAUUGACUGAGCUUAUGUUUAAUCAAGGGAUGAUCCAUCCACAACUAUCCUAUCUUAAUUAUCUAUCUAGACUACAUUAUUCAAUGUGUUCUUGGUUUUUUUAAAAAUGGUAGGAUGUAAUUUGAUGGAUAUUUGGUGUAGAAGUUGCCUUAUUAACCCUUUUGUUACCAUAUUCUUGUCAACAUCUGCUACCUUUGUUUCAAUUAAUUUUUAAAACAGUGAUGAAUUUAUUAAAAUAACUUUCUUAUUAUUAAGCUGGGGUCUGGAACAAAUUAGCAUAAAAUUUUAAUGGAAGAUUAUAAUUUAGAUAAAUCUAAAAUACUAAGUUGAUGUCAUGGGGUAGUCUCAGACAGAUUGGUCUUAAAAGGGUUAAUCUGUAGAGGAGUCCCUAGGGUUAAAGAGUAUCAACAAAAUGUGAGCUAUGAAUUUAUAAUGGUGUUGUCAGCUGUCAACACUUUGAGGCUUCACUAGAGAGUUUCUAGAUUUAACUCUAGUGGCAGAAUUGUUAGCAUGCUGGAUGAAAUGUUUAGUGGUAUUUCUUCAGGCUCUUUAUGGCUGCAGUUUAAAUCCUGCCAACCCCCUUUCAGAGUUGAUGAAACAAGUGCCAUUUGAGCACUAGGGUGAACUUACCUGCUCCCCACAAUUGCUGGCCUUGUCCCAUAAUUUGAAACCAUUAUUAUUAUUGAGAGCGAGAGCAGCACACACCAUCAAAGUGAUACUGAGGUACAAAUACAUGAAGCCCAGUAUACCCAACAUGACUACCUGAUUAGGGUACACCAGGCAUAUGCAAUACAACCAUAUGUGCGCAACAUGGUGACCUCAUAUCAUAUAACAAACAGCACAUGACCUUGCAGGUGGGGCCCAGUUAGAAUUUCUUCAGGUCAAGUAGCCCAUCAUGCUGAAAAGGCCUCUGAAUAAGGGUUGUUUAAGAAAGAUGAAUGAAAUACCCAUGUUUCAAGGGAUGAAUUAUUCAAACCACAAAGAAUCCUUUUCAACACAUGGCUGUGAUGCUCCCUGACUACUGUAUAUACUCAACUAUAAAAUGCCCUUGCCUACAAGAUGCACCCCCGAUUUACAUGGUUCAAAUCGGGAAUUUUAUCAGUGACCUGACUAUAAGUCACAGCGACUUCUUAGGCGUUUCAUAAACCUCAUACACCAAUGAGGGGAUGCUUUGAAGUUGGAUAUACCAUGUUCUUAAGUCAUUUGGAGAGCCCACAAUCUGAUGAUGUUUCUUGUGAUGACAUCCAUUCGUUCGUAGUUCAGUCACAUAAUCUCUCAAAAUAGUCUCCAUCUCCUCAUUAGGACUCAUUCCUAUCCUAACUUACUUAAACGAAUUGAUGUCAUUUCAUUUUCUCCUCUUUCAAACGCCAAUCCCUGACUAUUAUUCUUCACAUAAUCAACAACUUUCGGCUUGAAAGUGAUAUGAUACGAAUUCCUCUUUCUGUUCAUGUUAACAAAUAACAUGGCAACGAAUUAUAAAAGACAGGUACGGUACGAAAACAAACAAGCAUUAAACUCACUUUUAAAAAUUAUUUCAUACUAACAAAAGUGAAGAAAUAUAUAAAGAAAUAUCUGAAGAUCAUAUUCUGUGUACUUCAUGGCUUUGGAAUUAGCGAUUCAGGAUUUUAUGGUUAUUCCAAGUGUCUAAACUUCAGUCGUCACUUGUACCUAGAAAAUAUCUGAAGAUUUUUUUUUAUAAUUUGUGCUUAUAAGUCACAACCCCAACGUCAGAUGAAAAUUUCAGGGAAAAAAAAGUGUGACUUAUCGGCAAGUAUAUACAGUACAUCUGUCAUCAGCCACUCAGAAACAUGCUCAACAGUUAAGGGCAAGCAACUGACAGGCAGAUCUGUAGUAUUGAGCAGAAUAUUUGUUGCAUCCCAUCUUUUACAUCAAGGCAAAACAUAUGCAUAUUAACACUUCCAAUAAGUUUAGAUCAGAAGCCAUGAGAGCCACUGCCUGGUAUUGCAUCAGGGCAUUUAUUAUGCUUAUUAUUAUUAUUAUCAUCAUUAUUAUUAUUUAUCAUUAAUAUUUGCAUUAUUAAUAUAUAAAGAGAUUCUUACCAUUUUAAUGUUGAGGAAUUUUUAUCUUUCAACACGUCCAUGCAAAAACACUUGAUACACUUGUAUUAUUGACUGUUUCCAUAAUAAAACAGGAAAGAAUUUUUAUAUUUCCUCUUUCUACUAAUCUAAUAACACAUCACUGCGCUAAUGUGAAUUUUUUUGUUUUGUUUAGUCUUUUGUUAUUUAUUUUUUUUUACAUGCGUCUUGUAUUCUUUCUGAUCUUUUAGCUUCCCUUCUUACUUUGUUUUGGGGAUAGGUUGGUGGAUGGAAUGGCAUUCAGAAGCUUAAAGCAUGUGGUGGGUGCAUCAGAAUGUGUAGGGGUUGGUGGGAAGGAGAAGAGAAGACACAGUUUACCCUUAUAGUGUCCCUAGUUAACUGCUGCUCAGAUGCAUAUUUCUUCUGUGAGUCACUGCAGCAAAUACAAAAAAAAAAAAAUAAAGAUAAAAAUAAAUAACAGCAACAAGAAAAAUGCUGACUACUACAAUUAAUCAGUGCUGGAAUUUCAUAGUCCAAUAAUUUUCGAUACAGUUACUACAAAGCAGCACUCUCCUGAUUUCUGACUGCUGUGUGUGUGUGUGUAUGUGAGGAGAUGACAUGGGGUAGAGGGGUUAUUGAAAGAAAAGAGGACAUAUUUCCAUAAGGAAUCAAUAACUGAUACCGGAGAGGGAGAAAGACAUGAAAUAACCAAAUUUUUGAAAUACAUUUUAUUCAUCCUCACUAUAUCGAAACCUUUAUUAUUAUUAUUAUUAUUAUUAUUAUUAUUAUUAUUGUUAUUAGUCAUUGUAGUGGUAGUGAGAUAUAUUCUGAAUAUGGGUAUAUUUUUACUAUGCCACGAACUGUGUCUACAAGGAUGUAUCAGGUGUAUAUCUGCAUCUAAGUGAUUUUGUGGGUACUGUAUAUUGUGUGUGUGUAUUUGUAUCUAGGUGUGUAUACAUGCUCACCUAUAUAUGUGUAGGUAUAUAUGUGCAUUUAUGUGUAUGUAUGUAUGUAUGUGUGUGUGUGUGUGUGUGUGUAUAUAUAUAUAUAUAUAUAUGCAUUUGUAUGUACAUUUAUUUAUAUGUAAAGACAAGGGUAUGCAGAUACCCAUAUAUAUAAAUAUGUGUGUGUAUGUGUGUGUAUAUAUAUAUAUAUAUAUAUAUAUAUAUAUAUAUGAUGGCAGGCCUCUUCCAGUUUCUGUCUCCCAAAUUUAUGCACAUGUCUUUUGUUGGCUCCUAGGACUGUAGUAGAUUGCAGUGGGACUGAAAUCGAGACCACUUGGUUGGAAAGCAAGCUUCUCAGCCACACAGUCAUGCCUACACUUACCUAUCUGUGUACAUAUGUGUUUGCACAUGUGUAUCUAUAUUUAUCUCUCUCUCUCUCUUUCUCUCUGACUCUUUUGCUCUCUCUCUUUCUCUCUCUCUCACAUGCACACACACACACGUUUCUUUUUAUGUUCAGUUAUGAUAAAACAAUUUAGCAUUAAGCUGAUGGGUUACUCCAUAGAGUAUGAAUAUGAUUCUUUCACAAGAAAGUUGUGGACCAUGUCUUCAAAGUUUUGGCCAAUUAAGCUAUCAUCAGACUGUCAACAGAAGCUUCGCUGGUUAAAACUUCAGAGUCACUGUCAAUAACAUUCUUGUAUAAGAAUAAUGAAUAUGGAAAGUGGCCAUGGGUAUGCUUAAUGUCUGGAAAUUGGCCAUUUGCAGAAGAGGUGUUCAGUAGCAAUUCCAUAUGGUGUAGCUGUUGUAUGCUAUGGGUACACAAAAGGUCUAGUGGGAUCACAAGUAGAUUGACAAAGAAACAUAAUUAUGUAGAAGAUGCACAGAAGUGGAUACUUGAAAUUUUUGUUUGCCUAAUUCUGUAUUCAUCAAAACAUUUCAAACCCUACUGAACUGGAGCAAUUCCUUUCCUUUUCAUUAAGAUAAUGAUUGAGUUACAGGUAUCCUAGCUGUUUACUAAUUAGUUACAGUUAGGUAGUUGUUUAUUUGCAGGUCAGCCUGAUUUUUCAGCCCUAUGCUCAACAUUGUUCCACUUGUGACCAUCCCAUCUUUUAUUCAAGAACAGUGUAUCUAGGAAUACCUUAUUUAUACUUACUUUAUUUUUAAUAAUAGAUUUGAGGUAGAUUUAGCUACUAUUUCUAACAUGUUUGGCAACCACAUAGUGGCUCCCUAUAUUUUUGAUUAUAGUAGUUUUAGUUAUUAGAGACAAAACAAUGUUACUUACUAUGGCAGCUGUAAAUGUAGUGAUUGAUUUUCUUUUUUUUUUUCUAGUGAAUCUUAUUUUUAAUCAACAUAUUUUCCACCAAGAACAAUACUUAUUUUCCUUGGUGGUGGAAAAUAGCUUUGUUUCUACUAUAUAUAGCAGCCAAUUGAUACUAAAAAUGCCUCUAGUUAAUCAGGCAAUCUUUAUUUAUUCAGUGAUUCUAUUUUGGUUGCAACUGUUCUGCUAUGGGUAAUACUAAUGGUUCGUGAUUUGAUUAUCUCUAUCACUGUUCUUUGCUUGCCAAUCUGUAAAUAAGCAUAAAAAUCAGAUGAUUAAACAUACAGUUACAGCAUGAAAUGGUCAAUUAGUUAGCGUUUAGUAAAACAUUGUUGCACAUAUUACAGUAUUUAUUGCAGAAAGAUAGAGUUGAUCUAUAUCAUUUAAUAUUACACGAACUGCUGAUACCAGGGUAUGCUACUUGAACUGGUUUAAAAAAGCAGCUAAAACCUGUAGAGAAAUGGCAUGAAUUGUAAUCCUCUAGAUGGGACAAUAGCUCUGAUGUCAAAAAAUUAGACUACUGUCUUCAUAGUCAGGAGUUCAAAUCAUUAUGGUUACAGUGAUUUUUUUUUUUUCCUGUUUAUGAUUUUCUGAAAAAAAAAGAAAAAAAUCAUUGUGGUUAUAAGAUUUGAACUUCUGACUAUGAAACCAGUUGUCUAAUUAAUCCCUUAGCAUCAGAGCCACUAUCAUUUUCUGAAAUGAAGAAAAGCAGCACUUAUGAUCCUUUUCAGCCCCUCAGAAAAUUGGUUAGAAGAAGAUAUAUCACUCUAAAGACCUAGUCUGAAAUUUUGCAACAGAGUGAGGCAACUGACUUAAACCAAACAGCUGAUUAAGCCUACCAUCCAGUUUCUUUCUACAGAGUUUUACUGGAAAGUAUUUAACCCUUUUGUUACUGUAUUUAUUUUGAGAGGCUCUGCAUUUCUUUCAAUUACUUUAAAUAUAGCAAAGAAUUUAGUAAAAUAACUUAGUUAUCAUUGAGCUUGUGUUAGGAACAUAAAUUGUGACUAAGGUUUGAUGGAAGAUUGUAAUUCAAUACUUAUGAAAACAAGAGAUUUGUGCUCAGCCAGAGCCGGUUUCAGCCAGGUUGGUAACGAAAGAUACUUGCUCAAAAUGUCAUGCAGAGAAAUUGAAACUAAAACUACGUGGCUGCAAACCAAAUUUCUUCCCCACACAGCAAUGCCUGCACUGACUAUGUUGUCCCUCCAGACACUGUAUGACUGUCACUGCUUGACUGGACAUUAUAGUAUUAAUGGGUGCAAGUGGGAGUCCCUAGACAAUGCCUCUCAUUAACUUCCCAUAAUUAAUUAUGCAUAAAUGCAGGCAUGACAAGUGUGGUUAAGGAGCUUGCUUUGAAACCUCAUGGUUUGGGGUUCAGUCCCACUGCAAGACCUUGGGUAAGUGUCUUCUGUUAUAGCCCCAGGUUAACUGAUGCCUUGUGAGUAAAUUUUAUAGAUGGAAACUAUAUGAAAGACCAUCGUAUAUGUGUGUGUUUGUCUUUGUGUUUGUUGUCCCCACUAUUUGACAACUGGUGUUGGUUUAUGUCCCUGUAACUUAGCAGUUGGGCAGGUUCAUUUAUUUGGCUAAAUUCUUCAAUGUGGUGCAAUGACAGAAACAAGUAAAUGAUAACAGAUAGAUCUGAUAUUUUGACAUGAAAUACCUUAUUGUUAGCUUGAAAAAUUAUAAUGGAACUCAAGACAUUCAUGGAUUUCUGCCUGUCAUUAAAAUCAUAGUAUAACAACCAUUCUUGUUUUCCGUGCUAACAUAGGUUGGACUGUUUGAUAGGAUCUGGUGAUCCACAGGGCUCUGCAGUGUUCCAAUGUCAGUUUUGGCAUGGUUUCUAUGGCUAGAUGCCCUUCCUAUUGCCAACCACACUAGUGUGUUGUGAGUGCUUCUUUUAAAUACCACUGGCACUAGUGAGGUUGCUAAGUAACUUUCAGGAUAAAGAAAAAGAAUAAGAAAAAGGAAACGCUCCUGCUACUAAGUGUGGGGAAGCUCAGGUGUCUUACUAUGGAGCAGAUACACGACUAUUCUGCAUUAUAUAGGGGUGGGAGAAGUUGUGAAUGAGGUGAAGAAGGUAGUGAUUGAGUGCCAGGGAAAAACUUGCUAAUUACAAGAAUAUGAGCAUACAAAAACACUCAAGGUAGAAAACUCAAACAGAAUAAAGAGCCAUGAAUGAAGUGGAAGUGAGCAUCUGGUAACUGGGAUAGCAAAUAUUAGUUCAUUAAAAGAAAACUUGCUUAGUAGAGAUGUGAACAUUUGAAUGAUAUUCUUAUUUGAAGUUACAUUUAUUGGUUUUUAACUUUAUAUUAGGUCUGAUCAAGUGGACAUGACCAGAGGCAUUGCAGCUGUGACCAUUUCUUUGAAGUAUUGCAUUAUCUUAUGUUAGUUCCUUAUUCAAGCAAGUAGGAUUAGAAUAUGAUUCGAUUAGGCUUCAGUUGCUAAUUCUAGCAUGGUGAGUGAUCAUGCUUAAAGGUUUCCUCGUUGACUCCAAGCAUGGCUGUAUCAUUAAGAAGCUUACUUUGUAACCAUGUGACUUAGAGUUCAGUCUUUCUAUGUGGAACCUUGGGCAAAUUUUUUCUUUUAUAGCUCCAAGUCAACCAAUACCUUGUGGGUAUUGGUUGUUGUUGUCACUGCCACCUGUCUGUCUGUCUGUUUGUGUGCCUAUUUUGUGUUGGUCUCCCGCUGUUACUUGAUAACCAGUACUGGUUUGUUUAUAUCCUUGUAAUAUAGCAGUUUGGCAAAAGAGACCAAAAGAAUAAGUACCCGGCUUAAAAAUAAGUCCUGUGGUCAAUUUGUUUGACUAAAUCCUUCAAGUUGGUGCCCCACCAUGGCUGCAGUUCUGUGACUAAAACAAGUAAAAGAAAAAAAAUUAAUAAAUGUUACAGGUGGUGGUAUUGGGGGGGUGUAAACACAGCUGGUGGUCUAUUGAGAAAAUGUGGAAUGGUAUAAUUAAGGUUUAUAUAAAAAAAUAUAAUGGAAUCAGGAGAGGAAGUGGCAAGAGUGAGAGAGAGAGAGAUGCACAUGCAUGCCUCACACCAACACUCUUUCUUCCCUCUCUUUCUCUUUUCCUCAUGCACACACAUACAGACAGACACAAGUGUGUUGAUGAUGGUGAUAAUGACCUUUAGGUAAAGAGAAAUACUGAAAUGUCAUUAUAAAUCAUUAAUGUGUUGAUAUUCCCCAUAGACAGAAAGAUUCAUCAUUAUUUCAUAUUGUAUCUGCUUUUCCAUGCUUGUUUGACUUUGACUGAUUUGCCUUCCUCUCACAUCUGUCACUAAUCAGUCAACUAUAUCAAACUAUGUAAUCCACAUCACGUCUAUCAUUCAUCAAGCUUUUAUCACCUACUCCACCAUCAGUUUCUGCUUCAGUUACAAGUUAUAAUCCAUACAUUUAUAUUUUUACCCCCCCCCCCCCCCAUCCACCUUUUGCCCUCUUUUCUUCCUCUUUUUCUAGGUAAGCAUGGCAUAAAAAAACCAGGAAAGAAGAAUAUAUGUCUCAAACUGUCUCAUCUCCUGCUGCAGUCCUUUAUCAUUAGGCGUGUGCAUGCAUGCAAGCGUGCGCACACAUACAUACACACACAUACAUGCACAUGCACUGCAACAAAGAGGAAAUAAAUUGCCUUGUUUUUCUGAUAAGCUUUCUACAGCUGAUGCCUUUCCUAUCACCAACCAUUUUGCAGCAUGGAAUGUACGCAUGUUAUUAAAACAACCAACUGUAAUGAUGCUGUCUGUCAGGGUUAAACAUUUCUGUUUCACCUGUAUCGGAGUUUAAUGUAUGACUUUCCAGAUGGGUUGUCUGAGUUGAGGCUUAAGGAUGGAGUUCAUACUAUCUUCAAUCACUCUGCACUGUUUUUUUCUUCUUCUUCAUUUUGUGCAUGAAUUGUCAACCUUAAAUAAUUUUUAACUGAAGGAAAAUUAUUUAACAGCUUUAGUAUUCUUUAUUGCUACUCCAGGACUGGUGUAGAAGUUGGCUAAUUCGAAGCAAAAGAGAUUUUAAUUAAUGUUGUGAAUCUUAAAUCACUUUCUUUUUUAAUUUAUUUCUAUAAUGGUAUUCAGAUGCAAGCAUAGCUGCAUGGUUAAGAGGCUUGCUUUGCAACAAUGUGGUUUUGGAGUUCAAUCCUACUGCAUGGCAUGUUGGGCAAGUGUAACCCUGGGCCAACUAAUGCUAGAAAUAAUAACCACAUCUCUCUUAUUACAUUAUACUGUCUUAAUAAUGGUUAGGACAUAUUUAUUGGUGAAUGUAGUCUUAUGUUGUCUGUACAUGAAAACAAGUAGAAUCUGAAUUUUUUAAUCAGCCAGAAAAAAAAAGGAACAAAGUUAAAUGCCUUGUCCAAGGACACAAUAUAGUAAAUGUUAUAAGAUUUGAACUCGUGACAUUGUAGUCAGUGGUCCAACGCCUUAAACAAACAUUGUAUAAAGUAAACAAAUUAUAAAAAAGUCUGCUGUUUACUAUUCUUUCUUUUAAAAUUGCCAGAAUCAAAACUGCUUCAGAUUUAGAAUUGCAUCAAUUUAUUGUUGUUACCUUGGAUCAGCUCUGACUGAGUAGACAUUUGAUCAAAAAUACUCCGCCUAUGACUAGUAUGUUAGGAAUUAUGUUAUCAGAUGUAUCUUUCUUUUUUAGAUAGUAAGAUAUAAUUUGGCUACUACUUUUAGCAGGUCAAGCAGCCACAUAAGGGUUCUUUUGUUUUUUGGUUGGAGUGAACCAUCCGAUCUUGGCCGUUGCCAGCCUCACUUGGCCCCCGUGCUGGUGGCACGUAAAAAGCACCAUCCGACCAUGGCCGUUUGCCAGCCUUGUCUGGCACAUAAAAAGCACCCACUACACUCACGGAGUGGUUGGCGUUUGGAAGGGCAUCCAGCCUUAGAAACAUUGCCAGAUCAGACUGGGCCUGGUGCAGCCUUCUGGCUUCCCAGACCCCUGUUGAACCGUCCAACCCAUGCUAGCAUGGAAAGCAGACGCUAAAUGAUGAUGAUGAACUAGUGAAUUCAUAGAACUUACACUAUUUGUGUCCAUUUCUUAUUUUCCUUCUUUGUUGUAUGACCUAAAAGAAGCUAGACUUAUAAAACAAAAUGUUGGGGCACUGCCUUGAAGGGUUAAAUUGAACAAAUCAAGUUAAUCUUAAAUGACUGAAACAAGUAAAAGGAUUUUAAAUAAUGUAUCAAAAUUUUUGUUGCAUCUGCUGACAAAUGAACAGAGAACUAAAUCAAUCAACCAGGAGCUGUUUGAUUGGUUGAAUAUUAAUAAAGAUAUUUUGAAAAGUGUCAUAACACGUGUCAAAAUGAAGGUGUAUAGCCAUGAUGUCAAAACAAAAAGACAGUUGUUGCAACCAGGAAAAAAAUAGCAGAGUAACGCAAAUGUGAAUAUAGUGUCGAUCAUGUUUCUUGAGUGAAAGGCUGUUAUUCAUUGCGAGUUUGUUUCAUGUGAUCCGAUGAUCAAUAAAGUGUUUUACACAAAUGUGUUUGAAGCAUUUGAGAGAGGCAGUGUUAAAGAAGUGAUCUGCAGAUAUAUGGACAGAGAAAAUCUGCAUACUGCACUACAAAAGUGCACCUGCUCAUAUAGUAUUCUUUAUCCAUGAAACUUUGGCAAAGCACAAGAUGACUCUCAUAACAUUGUAUUCUCCACAUUUGUCUCUUGUUGACUAAUUUGUUCUGAGCUGAAAACUACCCUGAAAGGUCACCAAUUUCAGAAAAUAGUGAUCAAAGAAAAUUCACUACUCUGAAAAAGUUGUUCUAGGACAUAUUGCAAAACUGGGAAAAGAUUGUGGGGGUGGUGUAUCAACAGUAGUGGUAACUAUUUUGAAGGAGACAAGUCUGAUUGUAUUAAAAGUAGAGUACUAUAUUUGUAUUUUUUAAAAGUCCAUUUUUCUUUUUGAACAAUCUUCCUAUUUAUAAACAGAUAAUCUUGACAUUUAAUUACAUUAAAUGAUAUUAAAGUUCAGCUUAUAAAGUUCAGCAACUUCUUUCAGAAUUUAUGGUGUGCCAUUAACAUGUGUGUGUGUGUGCAUGCACACACACACACACACACAGAUAAAUUCACUCAUUUAUGAACGCAUUCACACACCCAACAUGUAUAUGACAAAUAUAAUCAGACUGUGCUACUAAUACACUGCUACACUAUUUCUACCUAUUCCACAUUUCAUAUAGUAUUUAUAGUCUUUGUAUACUGUUGUAAACUGUUAGGUCACCCCUGGUCAAGUAGACCCAUGAUUAACACGGUUCCAGCUGUGACCAUCCUAUCUUUUACUAUAUCUGUGUGUAGUUUUGUGGCUGAAUUUUGCAGGUUGAAUGACUGCAGUGAAGUUCUUUUGUCAUGACCAUUAUUUAAAAAUAUACCAUUCAUAAAUAACAAUAUUUCAGUAUUCUCACUGUGUUUUAGAUGUAACUACCUAGGAUGUACUAUUAGGGUCUACAGCUGCGUUUCCUAACCUUUCUACUGCUAAGGAACCCUUGAAUUACAUUACAUGUUUCAAGAAGUUUCUGUAUGAAAAUUAUCAGGUAUUUUAUUAAUCUUUUUAUUACUUUUUCAUUAGAGAUCAAAGAAAUCCUAAAAAAAAUUUUUUGAAAUGUCUGGCACUGCUAAAUACAUUAGACAUCUCAAAGAAGGUUUAACCCUUUAGUAUUUAAACCGGCCAUAUCCGGCCAAAAUAUUUAAUCUGUUUUAUGUUCAAACUGACCAGAUCCAGGCCCUCACACCUACCCUACAAUGUUAUUCUACAUGAAGUAAUUACACCAUCAAGAUCUUGAAGAUAUGAGAUAAUGCAUGAUUAAUUCAAAUCAAUGGGAAUCAAUAAGCAUUAUGUUUGAUAGAAUAAUCUGAACACUAAAGGGUUAAGAAACUUCAUCUUACCCAAGACUGUUUAGAUUAAAUUCCCUUACAAUUUCCCUGUCAAAAGAUCAUUUUUCUUGUAGGUUCUCCUUACUUUGUACAGAUAUCAGGAUUUCCUAUCUUAGGAAAUAUGCUGUGUAAAAAACAAAAUUAUGAAUAUAGAAAUAAAAGAAAAAAUAUUAUAACAUUUAUUUGCAUUUACUCUUUACUCCUUUACUUGUUUCAGUCAUUUGACUGUGGCCAUGCUGGAGCACUGCCUUUAGUCGAGCGAAUCGACCCCAGGACUUAUUCUUUGUAAGCCUAGUACUUAUUCUAUAGGUCUCUUUUGCUGAACCACUAAGUUACAGGGACAUAAACACACCAGCAUCAGUUGUCAAGUGAUGUUGGGGGAGAGACACAGACACACAAACAUAUACACACACACACAUAUAUAUAUAUAUAUAUAUAUAUAUAUAUAUACACGAUGAGCUUCUUUCAGUUUCCAUCUACCAAAUCCACUUGCAAGGCUUUGGUCGGCUCGAGGCUAUAGUAGAAGACACUUGCCCAAGGCGCCACGCUGUGGUACUGAACCCGGAACCAUGCGGUUCGUAAGCAAGCUACUUACCACACAGCCACUCCUUUGCCUUAUUUUAUCACUAUUUCUCAUGGAACCCCUAUUAACAUUUUACAGUAUUCUAGGGCUCUGGGGAAACUCUGGUUGGGAAUCACUGGUUCACAGACUUUAUUUUAAGAUAAGUCUACAAACUUUUCUUCAGGUCAGCAUGAAGUUCUUGAAGAGCUGUGUGUGUGUAUGUAGAAGUGAGUCCUCUACCUAAUUUCUUCUUCAAGAUAGCCUUACUGCUCAUCACCCCUAAUUAUGACACUUCAUUGAUACCACUUGUUUUUCUUGAUCCCUAGAACCGUUUUACCUGUUACUUAUCUUUUAGCCAUUAAUGCUGUUCUCUCCACCCACAUUUUACAUUGAUCACCCCCACCACUGUACCACCAAAUUAACUUUCUUCCUCCAUCACCAUUAUCAACAUUUUUUCAGCCAUCAUGGAGAUGUUUGAAAUACAUACACUCUUCUCCAUACACUUUCUGCAACUUUGCAUAGGCUCUGAGCAGAUAUCGCCAUGACAACUUACUCUGUCAUGGUCAAUGCGACGAUCAUGUUACACAUGUUACUGCGAAGCACUGCUGUAAAUAGCAGAAGUGAGCUAGUACGUUAAAACUUGGUGUACAUGCACAACAGAGGUCAAGGUCAAUCUGUCCCAAAUGGCUUCACUCUGUGUGCUUUAGCUUUGUUACUAUGGCAACAGUCUGGAUACUUAGUGAUCAGACCUCGUAUGUAUAAGUAUGCACUCAUGAAUAUACACAUAUGUAUAUAUAUAAUAUAUACAUGAAUACAUAUAUAUAAAUUUGACAUGGGCGAUUCUUUCUUGUCUUGGGAUUCAUGGUCAAAUGGCUGGGUGGAAUUGCGCGAAAAAUUACACAGAUGUGUAGAAUGAUCCGGUAGUGAUGCUGGGCUUUGUAUUUUUUUCAUAGAUCCCAUGGUUACCGAGAUUAUAUAAUAUAAUAGUACUCUUGUGUUUAUGAAUGAGAAACGAAGGGGUGAUGUCAUACAAAUAAAUCAAACAGCAUUUCAACUCAGUGUGAAUAUAUGUGUGUGUAUGUAAAAGGUGGAGUAUGUGAAUGUAUGUGUGUUUUUGUGUGAGUGUGUGCAUGUGUGCGUGCAAUGGAAGUGGGAUGGUUCAUCUUUGUUCUCUUAGUAUUUGGGUUUAUUUUUUGAUUUGGUUGAAUCUUGGCUUUUUUUUGUUGGUCAGUUAUUUUUAGUGUUUUGACAGAAAAAAGUAAUUCUAAAAUUGUUCUUUAACGUAAGCGUGCCCAAACAAGUCAAAGGCUUACACAGAGCAGGUUUUUCAGUCAUAUCAUCCAAACCAACUGGGUGAAACCUGGCUUAGCUGCUAAUAUAAUAUAUAUAUAUAUAUAUUCCUUACCCAACCUUCCCCACUGGUGCUUCCCUAUAUUACCUGCACCCCCCCCCCACUAUCUCUCCCUCUCUUUCCACUGGUGGAACCUUUCUCAGCUAGACCCCCCCCCCAACUCAACUCUAAAAAAGCUCGAACCGAUCGUGACCGAUGCCGGACCCCCCGGCCCCUGUGCAGGUGGCACGUAAAAAGCACCCACUCCACUCGCGGAGUGGUUGGCGUUAGGAAGGGCAACCAGCCGUAGAAACUCUGCCAGAUCAGACUGGAGCCUGGAGCGGCCUCUGGCUUCCCAGACCCCGGUCAAACCGUCCAACCCGUGCUAGCGCGGAAAACGGACGUUAAACGCUGAUGAUGAUGAUGAUAUAUAUAUAUAUAUAUAUACAUAUACACACACAGUUCUAUAUUUAAGAGAUGAGGAAUUAUGUACAUUAUUUACAUUUGAUGUUUGUUGAUAUACCCUCAAGCCUUCAUCAGGUGUCUCGGGGAAAUUUUGAACCUGGGUUCUCAUUGCUAUGGUAUUUUUUGAUGUUAUUAUUAUUGUUCAGGUCACUAUUGGAAUCAAACUCAGAAUCUUGGGGUUAGUAGGCCGAGCUCUUAACCGCUACGCCAUAUGCCCAUGGUGAAGGCUGGAGGGUAUAUCAGCCAAAAUGUGUUAACAACAAAGAAGAGAACAAAUAUCUGUCAAAUGUAAAUUAUGUAAAUAAUGUAUAUAAUACAUAUAUAUAUACGGUAAAUCCUCGAGUAUAAUCCGCAUUUUUUCCCCCAAAUUUAAAGGUCAAAAUCCCUAGUGCGUACUAUAUACGAGGUUAGAAAUGAAAAUUAUUUUCUAAGCAAUGUCCGAGUCUCUAUUUGCUGUGUGGCUAUGUGUACUCAGAUGCAUUUUGUGAUGUCGGGUGCGAAAAUACCUUUAGCUAAGCCUGAAAGCAAUGAAGUCAUAAAAGGAUCAUCUAUAAUUUGCAGUAAGCAACAUUUAUUAAACGUUAUUACUGUUAUUUCUUUAUUUUCUGCAAACAAAAUGUACAAAAAAGCUACACGUUUGCAUUAUGUUAUAUAUACAAUAAUAAUAAAGGACGUUACCGCCUACAUUUUUACAAUCCAAGGACGUUAUAUAGACCUCCUUAGAGAAGGGGUGCAUAUUAUACACAAGGUUUAGGUUUUUCAGAGGUACAGCCCCCUAAAAAUCCCCUGCAUAUUAUACUCAAGGGCAGACUAUACUCAAAGAUUUACGGUAAUAUAUAUAUAAUAUAUAUACAUAUAAAUAUAUAUAUAUAUAUAAUAUAUAUUAUAUCUAUGGUUGAAGUAUAUGUAUAUAUGUGCAGGUUGUGUUUCUAAAUUAUCUCCAGGAGGAAUUUAGUGUAAUAUGAUAUAUUGCUCAAUGUAAUUCAUUAAGAGAUAAUUUUUGUUAAGUGAUCUUCCUGUGUUUGACAGGAAAUCUCUUAGAGUUUACUCAUGCUUCUUAACAGAGAGAUGUCUGCUUCAAAUAACUGUAGAUUAGAUGUCAAUGUGUACUGUAUCAUAUCUACCUGUAGGGUGCAGUUUUAUAGACAGGAUUUAAAGUUCAUUUCUUUUUCAUCUGUCUAUAUCUUGCUACUUGUUUCUUCUCUCUCUCUCCUUUCACCCCCUCUCUCAUUCACUAUCUUAGUUCUCUUUCUUUCUCUUCUUUCCCCAUCUCUCAUUCACUAUCUUCGUUCACUUUCUCAGUUUUUAUUGGUUUGAGAUAUCGAGCAAAACCGAUAAUCACUAAGUGCAAAUAUCUCUAUUUGUGUCUUUUAUCUUUUAGGUUUUUACUUGUUGUUUCUGUCAUUUGACUGUGGCCAUACUGGGGCACCACCUUGAAAGGCUUUCAGUUGAACGAAUCAACCCCAGUACUUAUUUUUUUGAAGCCUGUUACUUAUUCUGUUUGUCUUUUUUUCUGAUUUAUAUUAUGGGAACAUAAGCAAACCAACACCAGUUGUUAAGCAGUGGCAAAUGACAAACGCAAUGAUAAACAUACAUCGAUAUAUACAUUCAAUAUAAUGUGUGUGUGUGCGCAUAUGGCCACAUACACCUGAUAGGUUUCUUUCAGUUUCUGUUUACCAAAUCCACUUACAAGAUUUUGAUCAGUUUGGAAUUACAAUAAAAGAUACUUGGCCAAGGUACCACACAGUGGAACCAAACCCAGAACCAUAUGGUUGGGAAACAAACUUCUUACCACACAGCCAUUUGUGUCUAUAUAGUUUUAAUUUUAUUGUUAUAUUUUUAGGAUUUUAUCCUGAAUUAUUUAAAAUUUUGUUUUGUAAGUUAUUCAAAAAUGUUAAGCAGUGAUCAUGUUAUUAAGCUUUUCCAAGAAGAACUUUAAUGGCACUCACAGAGUAGUUGAUAUGAUUAUAGUACAUUUGUGUUUGACUUUGAGUCAUGUUUUGUGUUUAUAUACGAGUGUGUUUGUUAACAUUUUAGGUUUCUACAGUUAUAAGUUAGCUUGAUCAGUUAUAACGUUGUAUGUACACAUGUAUUUCAAGCAAAUGUUUGAAGAAAAUACAUCAAUAGUUCAUGAUUCAUACCUUGCUAUGUAACUAAUUAAUCAUCAAAUAAUAUAUUCUUGAAAAAAAAUCAAGGACAAUACGAACAAAAAUCCUGGUGUUGCAUGCUGGGUUAGCUGCACUACUCACAAUAAAUAAACAUUACUAAGAGUGACUUAUUUUCCUUCGAUAAUUACAGAUCAAUAUUAUGUAACAAAAAUAUAUAUGAAGAAAAUCUGGAAUGUUGUGGAGAGUAUAAUGAGAUGAAUGAUGUCAUUAAAAUAAUGAGUGUAUGGUAGUAAAGUUUGAUUGAUAGCUUUAAUUUCCAGAAAUUUUUAAGGCAGCAGCUCGUAAAGGUUUCUUAUUUUGCAAACUGAAUUUGCAGAAUUGUUAAAGUUUUAUGGUUUGAAUCUCUUCUCAGCAUGCAUAAUGCGUGUUUUUCUCCCAGUUAUAGUCUGUAUUGCACAAGGAUUUCCACUUAAUAGUGAAAGUAGCAGCUUGUUCUUUCAAACUCCUGAUAUAACUAGGUAAUAUUGUUGUAAUCCUCAUUUUCACUAUGUCUGAAAUAAGAAUCAUUGCUGAAGUAAAGUUAUUUGAAUUUACCUUCUGCCAUAUCUACAAAGUGUUUAUACAUUGUAUUCAAGUUUUAGUUUUCGAGAAGUGAUUCUACUUUAUAUCUGGUUGCUUCUGCUUUACAUGACUGAUUCAGUUGUGUUUCUGCAUGUGUAAUUUGUCUUAAUUAACUCUGUUGGUUUGAUUGUUAUAAGACUUUUCAUACUGGUUGUCAACUGUUACCCAGUUAAAUUGUUUCUAUUACUUGUAUUUUUUGUAGUUUGUAAUUUAUAUUAUAUAUAUUGUGUUGUAUGUAUAAUUAUUAAUUAGGGUGGUAGUAGUGCUGUGUGUACUUUUGUGUAUGAUGUUACUCUUGCUUCUAACAAGCCCGAAAUAAGCAUGAUGGUCUGAGUUCAUGGACAACAUUGAGAUAAAAAUCCUUUCUAUGCAUUCGCAUGAUCCCCCACUUAGACAAGUUACAGAUGCUGUGCACAUAAUAGUGGUAGAUUAAAAAAAAAAUUAAAAAACAAAAGUAAAUAGCAACAACUCUUCUACCACCAAUACAUCCAGACACAAUAUCAUUCCCACUGUUGGCACCCCUCAGAGUUAACAGUAUUACAAGGAUGAUUACAAUUCAACUUUAAACAAAAAAAUUGAAAUUAUGCAAAAUAAUGCAAUUUAAUGCACAUAAUUAUAACAGUAUAAAUUUUAUGAAACAUACAACAUAAAUGACUUCUCAUUUACACAUAUAAAGACACAUGCUUAUAUGUACACAUAUAUGAUGUGCAUACAGGCAUGACUAUAUACAUGCAUAUGCACAUGUGAGUGUGUGUGUAAAGAUAAGUAUUGGUGAAAAAUAUACCAAUCUCAUUAGUGCUAAAAGCCAACACGCAUGCAUAAUGAAAAACCUGAAAAACUGACAAGCCACAAGCCACUUGACAGAACAGGAAGGUAACAGCAUUAACAGCAAUUACAACAAAUAUGUAUGUAUGUGUGUGUGUAUAUAUAUAUGCAUAUAGUCAUACAUAUUGUUUAUAUAUUGCAUAUAUGCACACACACACACACAUAUAUAUUGUAAAUAUGAAUAUAUUUAUAUAUGCAUGUAUAUAUAUCUGUGUGUGUGUGUGUGUGUGUAUAUACAUGUGUGUAUAUAUGUCUCUGUAUGUGUAUAUAUAUAUAUAUAUAUAAUAUAUAUAUAUAUAUAUAUAUAUAUUUGUAUGUAUAUAUAUGUGUGUGUAUAAAUGUAUAUAUAUAUAUUUGUAUGUAUAUGUGUGUGUAUAAAUGUAUAUAUAUAUAUUUGUAUGUAUAUAUAUGUGUGUGUAUAAAUGUAUGUAUAUAUGUGUGUGUAUAAAUGUAUAUAUGUCUGUGUGUGUGUAUAUAUAUGUGUAUACAUGUCUGUGUGUGUGUAUAUAUCUAUGUAUCUGUAGCUGUGUGUGUAUGUGUUAUAAUUAUGUUAGUCUGAAGAAAUAAAGACAUAGUUAUAUGCAUGUACAGAAAAUCUUCAAAUUUUCCUAGGAAAUAAAAUGAAAUAACCUAAGUUAUUUAUGUUAUUAUGUUUAAGAAUGUUUUGUUAGAUUUGCACACAUACACCCUUUCAUAUGUACAUGUCAAAUAGAUUCAUAUAUAUAUAUAUAUAUAUAUAUAUAUAAUUUAUAUAUUAAUAUAGUUUACACACACACACAAACACAUUCAUAUAUGCAUACAUUCACACAUAUAUGUAUACAUAUAUGCACACAUACAUAUAUAUAUGUCUAGGCCGAGGUUGUUUGAUACUAAAAAAGGAGAACCUUUCUGCUAAUUAGAUUUAAUUAUAUUCCAUAACUAUGCUCAGGCUAUUCUAUAGCCUGUGGCUAUUUAAAAAUAAUUAACUUUUCUUCUCUUGUAUUUUUGCCUUCUCCCUUUCCCUCUUUCUACUCUUCUUUCUUCUUGCACCUCAUCCACCUGUUGUUGUUGUUUGGCCUUUCACUCUUGAAAUAUAUAAGGUACUGAUGUUUUUCGUCUUAAAUACAUUAUAAAAAUAGAUUGGCAGUAUUUUUUCAGCAGCGGUCAAAAUGCUUUGCAGCCAUUAGGUAAUCUGAGUUAAAAUCCUCCCAGGAUCAGUAAAAUAAAGUACCAGCUUAGUACUGGAGUUUCAGCAAUCCAUCUCCUGCACCGCCACUGUUUUUUUUAUUUUUUUAUUUUGAUGUCUGUUUUUUUUUUAACCAGUACUUUGUUAUUGUCAUUGCCAAGUGUCCAGAUUUCAUCACUGGUCAAGUUGACCUCGGAUGCAAUGACAAAAAGUCAAACAAUGUAUUUAGAUAAUCAGUUGCUUCCUCUUUAUUUUUGGUACAUUUUCAAAUUGAUAAGAUAUUGUUGUCACUAUUUAGUUGGUGCUGUUUAAGCAGAUCUUAUGCUGGAUAAUGUAAUCUGAAUUAUAUUAUGUGGGACUGAAAAGCAAGGUGGUUGAAGCUACAUUCUGCUUUGACAUGUUUUGACUAUGGAAGUUAUGCAAGAAAUUUGUUCUUGCAUAACUAUUUGAAACAUGUGUAUUAAAUGUAUUCAAGAUAUCACCAUUUCGUUUGGCUUUAUUAUAUAUUAUAUGAUUCCAUACCAUUUCAGGUUAGCUUGGUCUUGCUUCAUUUACACAGUUAAUGUAACAAGGAUUUAGGAGUGAAAUACUUUACUGGAUCUGAGUCUGAAAUCUCUGGUCAAGUGUAUUGCCUCAAAGCAUAACCCUCAAUGUGUAUGUGUGGUUUGCAUAUAUACAUAUUUCAGUUGUGUCUACCAGAUCCACUCACAUGACUUUGGUUGAUUUGUGGCUAAAGGAGAAUACACUUGUUCAAAGUGUCACACAGUGGGACUGAACCUGAAACUAUGUUGUUGGGUAGCUAAGUUCUUACCACACAGUCACAUCUGUGCCUCUCCAUCCCUUAUCCCAAAAUUCUGUUGUCUGCCAUAGAUUUGUCGGUAGUAGUGGCGAGUGGUAUAGACUGGAACUUACUUAUCCAUAACUCCUUAUUAUUGUUCUGGUUAUGUUUUAGUCUGCUCUAUAAUAUUGGUUUCAAUGGCACAAGGAUUACAAUUUCAGGAGCGGGGGUGGGCUAGUUGAUUACAUCAACCCCAAUAUUCAACUAGUACUAAUUUUCAUGGUAUGUUGCCAACUUAAUGUGGCAGUCCCAUGAAAAGGAAGAAUGCUACUGCUAUUUAGCCCUAGGAAACACUAUUUUCAGUUGGCCAUGAUACAUCUUCUGUGUCCUUAUGCUUUCAAAGGGGAGAUAAGAAUGCAGAAGAUGUGUCAUGGCAUUCUUCACUUUCAUGGGACUGCCACAUUAAGUUCGCAACAUACCAUCACUUUAUCAUACUGCUACUGUGUAAAUCUCUCUGAGAGAUUUAGAAAUGUAAUAUUUCUAGUACUAACUUUAUCAAUUUCAUAAGGAUGAAAAGCAAAGUCGACCUCAGUAGAAUUUCAACUCAGAAUUUAGAGAUGGACAAAAUGCUGUUAAGCAUUUUGCACAGUGUACUGACAUUUCUGUCAGAGUCUACUUGAAUAUAUUAAACAAAUGAAAGUUUGGAAACCUCACUUCUUGAAGAUAUCCAUUGAGUAAGAAAAUCUAUGCCAAGUUUAUUCAUGUGAUGAAUUAGUGAAGAAAAAUAAAACUGCAUUCAUUAACUUAUGCUGUAUUGUAAAGUUAUAUAAGGUAGCUUUUAACAAGAAUUCAAUGAAUUUGGCAAAUGUUGAAUGACAAGUCUUUUUUUUUCUUUGCACUUCUCUUUUGAACUUAAUUAUUAAAGGAAGUUUCUGUUUUUUGGGUCAAGUUUCCUUGUUCAAGUUUGAUAUUUUUCAUGCUUUUGCUUUUCAACAGAGUAAAUUCUUAUCAGCUCUGAUGUUUUUGUACAUGAUCACUCCCCACCCUAUAGUGAAUACUUCACGGUAUUUUUACUAUUUAGAAGUGAUUAUUGUUGUUGUACAAUUUAGUUUAUUGACAAAGCUAUCUAUUUGUGUCAAAGUUUUUGUUUACAUACACACAAAAAUAAGAAGAAAAAAAACACCCACAUCUGUUUUUAACUCAAGAUAUUUGUAUUAUGUGUUAUCAAUGAUAGUAAACAUGACUAUUUAGCUGUGUAUGUAUUUAGCUGUGUAUGUAUUUAGCUGUGUAUGUAUAUUUAUUUUACUACAAGUAGUAGUUGUUGUUGGUGGCCAGUGAUUGGAGUAGUAGUAAUUUAUAUAGAUGUACAUAGCUCUACAUAGCUAGCGCAAACAAUGAAGAGAAUAACUUAUGUUGAAGCCAAUAUAAUGGAAAUAUAUUUCAGUUUGAGAAAUUCAGGAUAAAUUUACUUUUCACUCCAACCUUCUUAAUGGAUAUUAGUCUUCAGGUACAGAAGGACAUGCUGACAAUGCUAUUUUCUGUAAGUAGUAAGGUGGAUUUCUCAGUUUGAAGUAUAUUUGCUUAAUGAACUAAUGCGUGUGUGUGUGUAUUUAUAUGUAUCAUCUAAUUGGAAAAGACCAAUAAGUUGCUCAACUGUUACUCUGACUUUCUAAUUAUAUGCGCUUGUUCAUCGUGUUGGGACUUGGAGGUAAACUCUGUCUGGGGAUGGAGUAAAUCAUCCUCUUCCUAUGUAUAUUUAGACUUUGCUACAUGUAUUGAAUACACCUUCUGUUUGUCAUUUGUGUGUGUGAAGGAGUACUGAAAAGUUCCUGGCUUUAAGGGUAUCAUGAAAGGCCUUGCUGGAGGCCCAACCUUCGGAGUUCUUUUACAGGGCUUAUAAAAACUGAGGGACCACUGCAAUAAAUCUGUGAACCUGAGAGGGGAAUAUGUUGAAUAAAAUCAUAAUUAACUGAUCCUUCUGUAUUUUCUAUUACCUAAAGCUAGAAACCUUUCAGCACCCCCUCAUAUUUGUGUGUGUGUAUGUGUGUGUAUAUAUAUAUAUAUAUAUAUAUAUAUAUAUAUAAAUGACUGUACAUAUAUAUGUAUAUUUAUAUAUGUAAUUUGAUAAACCAGCUUUGUAUGUAAUGUGGUGUUGAUCACAGGUCUGUUGGUCACAUUACACAGACAUGUGUACCCUUCAUAUAAUUCUCAGGUAGUUUCAGCAUGACAGACGGUGUGAAAAGAUUGUACUUCUUGGGUUUUAGUAUAUGUAGCAUGGCUGAAUGAUUAAGAAAUUUGCUUUGCAACCACGAAUUCUCUGGGUUCAAUCCCAAUGCAUGGCAACUUGAGCAAAUGUCAUUUUUUUUAUAGUUCCAGGUUGAUCCUUACAUUGUAAAUGAAACUGGGCAGAUAGAAGCUGCAUAGUAGCCCAUAGGAUGGACACACACACAUGCACACACACACACACACACACACACACACACAAAAUGUAGUUUACAAACAUAUAUAUUUAGCUAUAUUUAUUUUAGUGUGUGUUUGUGUGUAUAUUUAUAAGCACAUGACUACUUAUAAAUACAACACCUACACAAUUUCUGCCUAUCAAAUUUCACUUGGAAGCUAUUUAUCAACUCAGGGCCAAAGCAAAAGACACUUACCCAAGAGGGCAUGUGGUUGCACUACAAAUUUUUAACUCUAUAACUAUUCCUGAAAUGUGUUAUUUUGUAUUUUCUGUGCUUUUUAGUGUUUGAUGAGUUUACAAGUUCAACACCUUAAUUCAGUAUUCUAACAUUUAAAUUACAAAUUAUAUUCAGAUGCUACUCUUCAUAGUAAUUGUUCAUGAUAAAGAGAGGGUGACAGCUUUAUCUCCUGUACUUGGUGCUUUGACUAAGGAUUUUCCCGGACCAAUACAGGAGCCUCAACAGACAUUUACCUUACUUGAAAUUGUUGCCUAUCAUGACAUCCUAUUACACUAAAAUUACAUUCUACCAUCUUCAAAAAGAAGGACUUUAAGGGUCAUCUGUUCCUAGUCACACAGUGCCUGAAAAAGACAAGACAGGCUGGUUACAGGUAGAAAUUUGUUGAUCACAGGUCUGUUGGUCACAACUAACAAAGGCAAAAUAACAAUGGUUAAGGAUUAUGAGCCAACAAAAGUAACUCUUAGGUUAUCAUUUAACUUGCUAGAAAUAGAAGCCAGUUUUCUUUCAAACUCUUCUUUCAGUCUUCAUAAUGGUUGAGCAUGUUAGAUAAUUCAGUCUUGGAUAUAUGACAUAAUAUUCUACAACAUACAUUUUAAGGUAAUAAGGAAAUGUUUCUUACUGAUGUGGUAGGGUUAACUUUGUGGGUCUCAUAACUGUCACUACAUCAGUUAUAAUGGUGAGGGUUCUAGCUGAUCUGAUUAAUGAAACAACCUGUCCCUGCUUGAGAUAUUAAUGUGCAAAUGGCUUAACAUAGUUCUCAGGGAGGGUCAGCUUGACACAGAAUGCAACAAGACUGACCCUUUGAAAUACAGGUACCACUUAAUUUUGUCAGCUAAGUGGAUUGGAGCAAUGUGAAAUAUAGUGUCUUGUUCUAGGACAUUAUACAUCACUGGAAAUUGAAAUCAUGACCUUAGCCAUUAAGCCAUGCUCCUUCAAUCGUGGGUCUCAUAACAAAUUCAUCUUAGCACCUUUUUUGAAGCAGUGUUUUGUGAUUGGAUGUCCUUCUUAGCAUCAACUCUUUCCUUUCUUUUUGUAUUGUAUGCAAGGAUGUAGUGUACCUACUCUAAAAUCAGGAUGUAUUUGUAUUUUUUCACACUGAGAUACACAUAGCAUACUAGGGUACACAUGAAAUACAUACCUCAUAAUAUGAUAUAUAUAAUGGCUGUGAGGUUAAGAAGUAUACUUCACAGUCAUAUGAUUUCAACUAUCAAGAGCUGUGGAUUUGGCGCAGGAGUGGCUGUGUGAUAAGUAGCUUGCUUACUAACCACAUGGUUCCAGGUUCAUUUUGAUUGCGUGGCACCUUGGGCAAGUGUCUUCUACUAUGGUCUUGGGCCGACUGAAGCCUUGUGAGUGGAUUUGGUAGACGGAAACUGAAAGAAGCCCAUCAUAUAUAUGUAUGUGUGUGUAUGUUUAUGUGUUUGUGUUUGUCCUCACAACAUCGCUUGACAACUGAUGGUGGUGUGCUUACGUUCCCGUAACUUAGCAGUUCGGCAAAAGAUACUGAUAGAAUAAGUACUAGGCUUACAAAAAAUAAGUCCUGGGGUCGAUUUGCUCGACUAAAGGCGGUGCUCCAGCAUGGCCACAGUCAAAUGCCUGAACAAGUAAAAGAGUAAAAGAGAGUCAUUUAGCUAUCUACUUACAUGACCAUUGGUCUAUUUGUUGAAGGCUAACUGGGGGCUAUGUGACUACAGAAAGAACAACAAUGAUGACAGCAACAAUGAUGGCAACAAGUAAAAAUUAUAACUUAAUGUUUAAGGCUAUAUUUGAUUCUUUCAGAUUUAUAUUUAAUUAAUUUUAAUUAAUUUACAUUCUGAAAUUUCCUUGAACAGAAUCAAUCAUGAAGAUAUUGAUUUUUGUUUUGUUAUUGCUCUAAGUGUAAUUUUAAUUAACUAAAGUUUAUUGGCUAACUACAUCAAAAAUGUUGGCGACACUUUAUUAUGAAAUUGUAUUCUUUGUACUCAGUACUUGAAUGUUCUCGUGCUGUAUUUUAUCUGUUUAGCUCCAGGUUCUAAUUGAGUAAGCAGACCUGUGGUGAAAGGCUUUGUAGCUGUAACCAUCCUGCCGUUUUGUAUUUCUGAUACUUAAUUUAUCAACCCCCACGAAAGGAUGAAAGCCAAAGUCGACCUCAGUGGAAUUUGAACUCAGAAUAUAAAGACAGAUAAAAUACCACAAGCAUUUCACCCGGUGUCCUAAUGAUUCUGCCAGAUUCCCACCUUUAAUAAUAAUAGUAAUAAUGAUAGUGUGUCUGAUUUAGGCACAAGUCCAGCAAUUUUGAGGGGAGGGGGAUGAUCCUUACCAUUGACCUCAGUACUUGACUAGUACUGUAUUUUAUCGACCCUAAAGAGGUGAAAGGCAAAGUUGACCUUGACAGAAUUUGAACCGCAGAGAUCAAAAGCAAAGGCACUUGUUCUGACAUCUGCCAGAUUUGCAAACAAGUUUGUGUAUGUAGAUGUGUGUGUAUUGAGGGUGAUUAUAAGUCCUUGUGCAACAGUAACGUCUGUCUGUGUUAUAUUGAAUGUUAAACUAUUUGUUUCUACUUUGUUUAAUGAUAGUAAGUGCAGCUUUCAAUGGAAAACUUUAGUGCCCUAUCACAUGCAUAUGAAAAGGGCUUUAAUUAACUCUUUUAACACUAACCAGCUUGAACCCUUUUUGUUCCAUGAAAGAAAGACUCAGUUUUAAAUUGUUCAUAUUUAAAUAAUGAAAACAACUCGCCAUAAUUUUGAAUAAAUCCUUUUAUUUAACUACAUUCCCAACACCAACUUAAUAAUGAAAAUUUAAUUAUUUUAGUAAAUUCUUCUGAAUUCUUGAUUAUUUUCAAAAUUAAUUAAAAAAUAUAAUGGCUGUGUAUUCGUGUAGGAGGUUUUGUUGUGGAAUGGUUAAUGUCCUGAAGGUUUCAUAAUCAUUCUAUGCUUUUGAGUUUGGUGGACAAUACGACUCUAUAGCUAGAAGGUCUGCAUACCAACUCUAUGUAGUUUCGGAUUCACUUCUGCUGCACAGGAUUUGGGGCGUGUGUGUUCUGCUAUAGCUGUGGCCUAACCAAAAUCCUGUGGUUAAAAUUUGGUCAACAAAAAUGUGGUGAAAGCCUGUUGGAGGCACCUUUCCUAUUUUGUAGGUAGUAGACUUAAUGUGAUGCCUGUUUAAAUACUACUGUUUAGCUUGUGUUGGGUCUGAAGAAAUCUUUCUCCUUCCUUCCACCAGUCUCUCAGAACCAUGGACACUGAAUCACCUCUUUUGCUUGUGCUGGCCUCUUUUGACUCUUUUGUUUGUGUUGGUCAUCGAACUGUAGUCAUACUCGAGCUCUGCCUCAAGGGCUUUAGUUGAUUAUAAUAGCUCCAAUUCUACUUAUAAAGUCUGGUACUUAGUGAUUUCUGUUUGUUGAACCACUAAAUUACAGGAUGUAAACAAAAACACCGUCUUUUCAAGUUGUGUGAAUUUAUAUCUAUUAUGUAUAUAUAUAUAUGGUUCAAAUGAACAGAAAACAUAAGACAGAGAUAGAUAUGGGAACAACAAGCAGGUGUAUUAGUCUUUACAUUUCAAACCUAUGCUCUUUGACAGAAAGGAAUGAGAGGGAAAAAAAUGGCCAGAGAGAGAGGAGAAGAAAGAAAAAAAAAAUGCACACGCACAUGCAUACACACAUACACACACACACACACACACACACACACUAUAUGACUAUGCUUUAGGUCUGCACUUAUGAUCAUAAGAUUGUUGUUUCAAUUCCUUGACCAAGUGAUGUAUUGUAUUCUUGAGCAAAACAAUUUAUUUCACAUUGCCCUACUCCACUUAGUUGCUAAAGAUUAAAAAAAUCUUGUGAUGGAUUGGCAUCCUGUCAAGGUGUGUAUGUGCAUGUGGGGGGGGUGGUGGAAUAUAUACUCUACAGAAUCUGGGAAACCAGCCUUAUAAGCCUACAUCUUGAGAAGGACCUUUAACCCUUUUGAUUAUACUAUAUGUAUAUAGAUGCAAGCGUGACUGUGUGGUAAGUAGUUUGCUUACCAACCAUGUGGUCCCAGGUUCAGUACUACUGCAUGGCACCGUGUUUUCUACUAUAGCCUCGGGUUGACCAAAGCCUUGUGAGUGGAUUUGGUAGACAGAAACUGAAAAUAAGGCUGUUGUCUAUAUAUAUAUAUAUGUGUGUGUUUGUUCCCCCACCAUUACUUGACAACCAAUGUUUGUAUGUUUACAUCCCUGUAACUUAGCAGUUCAGCAAAAGAGACUGAUAGAAUAAGUAGUAGGCUUACAAAGAAUAAGUCCUGGGGUUGAUUUGUUUGACUAAAGGUGGUGCUCCAGCAUGGCUGCAGUCAACUGACUGAAACAAGUAAAAGAAUAUAUAUAUAUAUAUAUAUAUAUAUAUAUAUUGUGUGUGUAUGUGUUUAUGUGUACCCUUGUUUAGACAUCACUUGAUGGUUGUAAAUGAGCAUUAUUGUCAUACAAGCAAGGCUGUUCAUUUUCAGUCUUCCAUGAAACAAAAAAACAAAAAAACAUGUGUAGCUAUGGGAAAAUAACUUGCUUGGAAACAGGUGAGGGUUGGCUACAGGUAGGGUAUCUGACUGUAGCAGAUCUGCCUCAAAAAAUUCCAUCUGAGCAAUGCAAGCAUGGAAAAGUGGACAUUAAAUGAUGAGGCUAUCCCAAACUCCUGCACAUUUUUCACCUACCGGUUUCACUUAUGCAAACUAUUAGCAGCCUGAGACUGUAAUAGCUUUUGUCCCAAGAUGUUACACAGCGAGAACAAAAAGGAAAGGUUCCUAUAUGACUUUCACAUUGUUUAUAAACAAAGCAACCUAUUAUUACCCUCUCCCAUUCUCUACAUAUUUAGCUUGCUGCUUACUCUAUUACAUUGAUUACUGUAACAUUGCUGUGUGUGUGUAUGUUUAUUUGUACUAGUGUGUAUAUAUUUAUGUAUGUAUGCGUUUCUGUGUAUGUGGUGGUGGUGUAAAACUUAACACAUCUUUAUAAUGUCCUUAUACAAAGUUUAGCUUACAUCCAUUCAAUACAGUUGUGUUCUUUUCCACCUACAUUGUGAUUUCUUCAACCAUCUCUUUUUUUUUUUUUUCUUACAAAGAAAUAAACAAACUCACAUGCAGAUCAUGCAUGAAUGCUUAUUUUUCUUGGAAAGUCUUCCUGCAUCUUGGUUCUAUUCUACUGAGCAUUAAUUACUAUCACUUGAGAUUUCAAUAUUGGACAGAGAACACCUAAAAUAACUACUGUGAAAUAGAUUGAUUAAAGAAACAUUAUCCGAAGCUUCAUUCAUUAUUGCUUUUAUUUAAUUAAUUUUUUUUUUCUAAUCUGUAUAUUUUUUGUUCUAUUUUUAUUGAAUUUUCCAUUUAGAUGUGUGUGUGUAUGUGUGCAUAUAUAUAUAUAUAUAUAUAUAUAUAUAUAUAUUUCUUUUCCUUUUGGUUUCUGUCUCAUUUCCUUGCAAUUUUUCUUUGGUUUUGGCAUCUUUUACAUUCUUUAUUUUGAUUCAUUAUUGAUUGUCUCUAGGUUAUGUGUAAUAUUUAUUCCAAUGUGAAACACUACAUCUUUUGGAAGCCUCAAUCUGCUGAAAAAUAACUGCUAAACACUGCUUAAAAUCGUACUCCACUGUCUCAAAUUGUUGGACACACUGGAUUAUGUAGUCCUAGAUACACAAUCAUAGAGAAUAAAAUAACCAUCUAUGUAUCAUAUUUAAUGCAUAUGCCCUGCUGACAGGCACAUUACUGCAGUUUUUGUCUGAGAUAAUAUCUCUUAUAGAUGUGCUGUAUUAAAAACUCAGUACAUAUUGGAAGAAGAUGAAAAUUCUUCCCAGCAGUGUCCAGUGAAAAUACAAGAUACAUUUCAGCCUUGUUAAGUCUUGUCAGUGAUGUGUAGUGACAGCCAGCUACAUGCCGAGAUGAGAUUUGUCACAUCUGAUUUAGGAAACAGUGAAUAAAGCAUUCACUGGUAUUGUGAACAGCUGCUGGGCUGAAUAAAUAAUUUGGUGUAUGUUAAACAGCUUAUCUCAGAUGAAAACUGCAGUAACUUUCCUGUUAGCAGUGAUUUUUUUUACAUUAAGUAUGACACAGAGAUGGCUAUUUUAAUGUAAUACCACUUCAGUUGCAUAUACCAGAAAUAAAACAUUUUGUUCUCUCUCAAACUGUAUAUGUCCUACUUUUAGGAAAGAUAUACCAUUUCCAUGCAUGAAUAAAAGGCAGCUAAAAGGAUAGCCCUCAGGAAAAGAAUUUGACCAUAAAAUACUACUUCGGAAAGGAAAUCAUGAUGAGUACAAUCAUUUGCAUAGCUGGGGUAGGGGAAGUCCACCCUGGGCGGCACUUUUGGGUCUGCUAUAAGCAAUAUAUGUCUUUUUGUGGGGUCCAGGGGCAAUAAACGGAAGGGCCACCCUGGGUGGCACACACUUUAACUAUGCUAGUGAGUACAAUACAAAAUGAGGAAGACUGUCAUAGGUCCUACAAAGCUAAUUCCUGCCUUACAAAGGAAAAUAGCCAAAAAUAUUUGUUUUGUUGCUUUCUCAGACAGAGAGUUUAUCCUGAAUUACCAGAUUUCUCUUUUCCCCUGCUGUAUAUGAAUUCAUCCAAAUUGACGAAAUUCCUUGUGUCAUUGUUACUAUCAUAGGCCACUACAAGUUUCCUCUGACAUUUAAAAAUUUUUUUAUUAUUAGACUGAAUAAAAUACUGGAUGAUCUUUUCAUUACUGGUUAGGACUGAGAAUGAUCCUUCAAACCCAAAUUGAAUACAUCUAUUGUUGCAUGUCAAGAGUCUGGUUAUUAUGUUGAGAUACAGUUUAUUACUAGCUAAGAUUGAAUAAUGUUUCAAAGCUGCUUUCAACCUAAACAACAACCAACAUUCUUGAAACUGGAACCAUGAAUAUUGCAUCAGAAUAUUUCUCAGGUGUCAUGUUAACAAUCAAGAUAACUGACUAACGUUUCUCUAAAAUGAUUUCAUUUUCUUUUAUCUUUGCAGCAGACUUGCUGUGGUAAUAUUCUUAAAUUAGCUCUGAACAGCUUCAGUUACUUCUGCCGUAUUAGCAUAAUUUUGCUACAGAAAAAUUAAAUUAGAAAUCACUAAUUCUAUUUUAAACUCAUUUCUUUGUUGUCUGAGUAGAUCUUUAAAAAUAAAAUUUUAUCAUUUUUAUUGAUAUAUUGAUGAUGUUUUCUGCUGUGAAGAUGAAGUGUCAAAAUUCAGUGUAGCUUAUUUUUUCAGUGCUGCUGCAACCAGCAUAUAAUACAGAUCACACAGAAAGUACUAGAGCUUUCUUCUAAAAGCUAUCAGUUGUAGCUGUUUGUUCAGUAUGUAAUCUGUGUAAACUUAUAGCUAAGUGUAGGCUAUCAUCAUAAUAAUAAUUAUUAAUCAGUUAAAAUUAUAACUGCAUUUGUAACUACAGUCUAACAAAAAGAAAAAAAAAAGAUUCCCAACCACUAUUGUGGAAUAUACUCUUGUAGACUGACAGAGACAUAGAAGCAAGCUGCUUAUACAUGGUAAUCAAAGAUUUACAUGAUCUCUGAUAGAUAUUUUGAUCUGUGCAAACAUUUCUCUGAAGGAAGUUGAAGAGCUAUAAAAAUUCAAGAAAUAGAAAUAAGAUGUUAAGCAUGAGAGUAAGGAUGAUGAUCAUCAUCAUUGUUUAACGUCUGCCUUCCAUGCUGGUAUGGGUGGGAACAGUAGUAUUUAGUAUGAUGAAAAAAAUUCUAAGGUCUAUACUAGAUCUCUUCCUACCCUUUCUCCCCCACUCUCUCUCUCCUCUCUCUCUCACACACAGUUUAAAAGAAAUUUAGUAGGCAUAGCACACAUUCUGCUUAAUAAUUUCAAUGUAACUACAAAACUCUUAAAGUACAUAUCAUCAUACAAGUGAUUUUUUUCAGUAAAUUAGUACUACACAACAUGUUCUCUACAAAAAUUACUUCUAUUAUUAUAAAUGCUUUCAUAACAAGUUGGAAACUUGAAAAUCCUUACUGUAGUAUAUGUUAGAGUUUAAGUAUUUUUACUUUUAUUUCUAAAAUUUUAUUCCAAUUUAAAAACUUCUCUACAAAAAAAAAAAAGUAUGUAAGAUUCUAGAACCAAUAUUUUUGUUAAAUACUAUUUCAUUAUAUCCCACAUUUGUAGGUGGCAAACUGGCAGAGUCUUUAGCUUAGCUUAGCUGCAUUUCAUCAUUCUUCACAUUCUGAGUUCAAAUUCUGCCAAGGCUGACAUUGCCUUUUAUCUUUUUGUGGGGGUUGAUAAAAUUAGUACCAGUUGAGCACUGGGGUCAGUGUAAUCAGCCAGACCCCCUCCUAUGAACUUGCUGGCUUUGUGUCAAAAUUUGAAACCAAUGUAUCCCACUUAUAUUCUUUUACAUCUCUCCCUGUCAGUUGACUUCAACACACAUACACAUAUUUCAACCCUUUUGUUACUGUAUUUAUUUUGAGAUGCUUUGUGUUUCUUUCAAUUACUUUAAAUAUAAUAAAGAAUUUAGCAAAAUAACUUGGUUAUCAUUCAGCUAGUGUUAGGAACAUAAAUUAUGACUAAGGUUUGGUGGAAGAUUUUAAUUCAAAACUUAUGAAAACAAGACAAUUGUACUACAAAGCCAGAGCCGGUUUCAGCCGGGUUGGUAAUGAAAGGGUUAACUUACAACCAACUACAAACUAAUUACUCAAUCACAUGGCUGAGUGCCUUGAUCUUUUGUUAUAGUCAUUAAAUGAUCAGAAAAUCUUUAAAUGACUCACAAAUUCAAAUGACUCAAAUUCUUACAAUUUCUGUUUUAUAUUAAUUUUUAAAAAAAGUCUAAGAAAUAUGUGUUAUAUUUUAUAAUCAGCUUUCCUGAUAAAUUAUUUACUAUUUCAAUGAAUCUCACUUUAUGUUUCAAUAAUCCUACCAUUACUACUACUUCUUUAAUACAACAGUUUCCAUUUCCCUGAUUCAUCAUAAUUGUCAGUUUUCCCUCCUACUGUCUUUGCAAUGACAGCUAUCUUCUGAUUUACAACUUGUUUACAUCUACAUAGUAAAAUCUGUGUUAAGUAUGGCAGUCAUAUUUUCUUGCUUGUUUUUUUUUUUUUUUCUUAUAGUACAGAAAAACAAUCUUCUAUGAGUGUUGGACUCAUUAGUUUAACCCUCCUUUUCCAUCCAACAGACAACACCUUAGGCAAGUGUCUACCACUAGAUUCAAAACCUAUUAGUUGAAACUGCAGAAAUCUUGUUAUAUGUAUAAUUGAUGAAACUUAACAGGCUUCACGGUUUGAGACUAAAAAAAAAGUUAGGUCUAUGAUCUUGUUUAACUCCUGGCCAGCUGUGAUUGACUUGGCGUUCCAGCUUUGUACAUCUCAUUUUCUCUCAGACAGUCUCUCUUGAACUACAUUUUUAUUAUCCAAUGUGUUAAUUUUUAAGAUAGUAGGUUUUAGUAUAAAGGAGUUUUGGCUACAAUUUCUAGCAGGUUGAGCAGCCUCAUAAAAACUUUGUCACUAGUUUGUAAGGAGUUUUCUUUUUUAUGUGUUUGGAGGAAUUGAUUGGACUAAAGUUAGGAUAAUCUGAAUAGAACAUGUCUUAUCAACGACACCUCUAGUAUGAGAUAUUGCUAAAUUUUACAAAAUAAACCAGUGUCAGGAAGAGCAUCCAACCAUAGAAACCAUGCUGAAACAGACACUGCAGCUCAUCACAGUCAUUUUAUUCACUGGAUUCUGUCAAAACUGUUUAACCUAAGCUAACAUGGAAGAUAGAUAUUAAAUAGAUGAUGAUGUUGAUGAUCAUGUUAAUGGUGAACUAACCUUGUGUGUCAUGAGAAGAAAGUUGAAAUGUUUAGGGGCAGGGACAUCAUCAAAGUAUAGAUGUGUUUGAAGGGUUAAUUUAUGGUUACAGGUAUAAGGAAGGUGUAAAGGAGAAGACCUGGUAGUAUUGUUGCUACACACAAAAGCAUCUUAGACUAUAUCCAAAAAGGGGUCUUUUAACUGAAAGGUAAAGAUGCACUCAUUGAUCUACACCAACCACCAAGCUUUUGCUACUGACAAGAAGAGUUAAUCUCUUGUGAGUACCUUUACCAAAAUCUUUAACUUUGUGUUUAGUUGAGUGAUGGGUCUCUUAUUGUCAACUACAUAUACCUUGUAUGGGCUUAUCUUAGCAAUGUCACCACUUCUCAGUUCUAUCCAGGUCUAGAAAUAUCCUCUUUAUCUGGAGAUUUACCCCUUUUCAGAACAGUGCCACUUCAUCAAUCUGGAAUGAUUGCAUGAAACAGAAAUCUUGUAGUAAUUCAAAAGGAGGGAUUAUAAAUUUAUUUGGGUUUAUUUGGAGUAGUCUUUUUCUCAGGAAUUCACUUUAUGCCACAACCUCUCAUGAUAGCAUUUCUGUAUCCCACUUUGUAUAACUUUUCUUACAAUGAUAGCCAAAGUUUCUAUAUUCUAAAUAUCAGAAAAAUUUGUUCACAGUGAGGAGCAAUAUUUAGGGUGAAAACAUUGAUCAUGUGACUAUAUCACCAACAUUGUUAUUUUAAUGUUCACUUUUCCAUGCUUGUAUGGGUCAGACAGUUUAUUGAGGCAGAUUUUCUAUGGCCAGAAACCCUUCAUAUGGCCAGCCUUAAUAUGUUGCUAAGAAAGGUAAUAUUUACCUUUGGCUAGACAUAUUUUUGCAUAAUAUUGGAAAUGGCUUACUUGGCUUGUGUGACGGUAUUAUUCAUUUAUAACUACUAUACAACGUCAACAUACACGUGCACACGAGUGUACAACAAAUGUCUUUCGGUUUCUCUGUCGGUUCCAUACAUAAAUCUUUGUUUGACCUGGGGCUGUAGUGGAAGACACAUGUCUAAGAUGUGUGGCUGGGAAGCAAACUUCUUCACUCCGCAGCAAUGCCCAUGAUCAUAUAUAGAAUCUUAUUUUAUAUUUUAAGAAGUAAAGUUGAUUCAGCUCCAAGCAUCAUCAACAAUAACACAUGGAGCAACUAUUGUUAUAUUGUUUAGCUAUAGUUCUUCACUUCUUGAGGAGAUCUAUGAUUAAGGUGGUCUGUUUUUACUUUUUAAUUUUUUUUGUCUUGGGCAAGUGUCUUCUACAACAGCCUUGGGCCAACCUUGUGAGUGAAUUUGGUUGACAGAAACUGAAAGAAGCUCAUUGUAUCUGUGGAUGUAGGGUGUAUGGAUGCAUGCAUGCAUAUGUGUGUGUGUGUGUGUGUGUGUGUGUGUCUUUUUGUCUGUUUGUCCCACACCACCAUUUGACAACCAGUGUUGGUGUGUUUACAUUCCUAUAACUUAGUAGUUUGGCAAAAGAGACUGAUAUAAUUAGUACCAGGCUUAAAAAAGCAGUAUUAAGAUUGAUUCAGUUGGCUAAAAAUUCUUCAAGCAUUGCUGCAUAGCUGCUGGCUAAUGACUGAAAAAAGUAAAGGUAAAGGAGAGUGUGUAUCAAGUGCUAAAAAUAGUUGGGUGAGUUUUAAGGGAGAUUUGGUGGCUAUUUUCAUUUUAGCUGAUAUCUAGUGACCUUGCAAAAAUUUCUUUAUUUGCUCAUUUGUUUUGUUAUUGUUGUUUUGUUCUGUGUAUAAUUGUAUUUGCGUCAAAUGGAAUCUUCAGGUUACAUUGAGAUAAUCUCAGGUUAGUGAAACCUCUUUCAGAAAUCUUUUUUAAUGCCAGUCAUGUGUAUUAAGCUUGAACACAUUGAAUAGUAUAAAAAUAUCUUAUCACACUUGAAGUUAUUGCAUAUUUGGAAUUUUAUAAAGUAAUUAUUUUUCUAAAUAUAGUUUUAUAUAAAAAAAAAGAGUAUUAUGUUUUGAUAAUUUAUAUCUUCAAAAAUAUAUUAGAAAAAAAAAAAAAAUGAAAUGAAAGAAGUUUUCUUCCUCAGUUCAGUAUAUUAGUUUCAUAGAAAAUAUUACAAUCUGAUAAAAGUUUUUAUUCUCAGAGAAAAAAAAACAUAACAACUAUGAUCGAGAGCAUUUAAUUUAAUCUGCAUCUAUCUUAGACCACAUAAUUCAAUAUAUUUUCUUUUCUUUUUAAAAAAAAGAGAGUAGGUAUGAUUUGAGAGAAAUUUGGCUGUUAUUUUUAGCAGGUAAAAUAACUAUGUAGAGGCUUCCUUCUUACAUUGGUCAAAAUGGUUUUCUUAACAUUAAAAAUGGAUAUUGCCAAUAUACCAGAAUGACAGAAAUUCUAAUAUUUUAGGGAAAGGAAAUUCUUCAUAGAACUUUUUAUCAAACAAGUUGACCCUAGUACUUAUUUUAAGUAUUUUCAUUCUCCAGGUCUCUUUUGCUGAACUGCUAGGUUAUGAGACAUAAACAAACCACUGUUGGUUUCCAACUGAUAUUGGGGGAUAAACACAGGUACAAAGACAUACAUGCAUACAUCAUCAUCAUCAUUGUUUAACGUCCAUUUUCCAUGCUAGCAUGGGUUUGACGGUUCGACCAGGGUCUGGGAAGCCAGGAGGCUGCGCUGGGCUCCAAUAAAUAUAAAUAUAUUUGAUGGGCUUCCACACAAUUUCUGUCUACCAAAUUCAUUCACAAGACUUUGAUUGACCUGGUGCUGUGCAGUGGGACUGAACCCAAAACCAUAUGGGUGCAAAAUGAACUUCAUAAUGACACAGCUAUGCCUGGAUAACAUCUUAUCAAAAUAAUCUCAGAAAAAAAGAUCUCUGUCUGAGAUAGAAGAUGGAACCCCUGUGGUCAUGAAUGCCCAUGGGGUUGCACUUACAAAGUUCCCCUCUGAGGCACAAGUCCAGACAAGGUUGUUUAUGGAAGACCAGCAGUUGCCCAUGCAUACCAGCUUUUCCUCUCCUUACCUCCAAUGUUAUCCAAGGGAAAGGCAAAAGUGGAUACAGCUUGACCCCAGUGAUGUCACAACUCAUUUCUGCAGCUGAGUGAAUUGAAGCAAUCUGAAAUAAAGUGUCUUGCUCAAGAACACAAUACACAGCCCGGUCCAGGAAUCAAAUUCACUACCUCAUGAUUGUGGGCCCGACACUCAAACCAUUAAGCUAUGUGCCUUCAUGUGAUAUAUAGUAAAAGUGGGUGUAAACAUACCUAUAGUGACCCAUGAUGUUUUAUUCAGUUAAAAUUACGUAUGUAAUGAGAAUGUAUCAUUGACUUAAUGACUAAUUCUAGGAAAGGCAGAAUUAGUCUUGAAGUCAAUGACAAGAAAAGGAAGGAGACAACAGUGGAAUUUAAAUUGAUUUAUAUUGUCUCUUGUGACAUUCUUUAACUAGUCUUAAUCUUUGUUAAUGCUUUUGAUACGAAUCCACUUAAACCUGUCUUUUGUUCUCCGAAACAAAUUUCCUCCCUGUUUUAAUGUGAUCCAACUUAAAACCUUACAUUUAAAUUUUUUAUGUUAAUUUAUGUUCUUAACACCUGACUAAUAAUGACUAAGUUUUUUUACUAAGUUCUUCAUUAUUUUCAAAGUUAAUUGAAACAAAGGCCAUAUAUUUUAAUAUGAAUGUGAUAAUGAAAAAGUUAAUAUUCUAUUACUAUUGAGCAAUAAUAGACAACGGUGCACCACAUGAAAUACACUGACAUAAAAGUAGUUGAUUGCUAUUGACAAUUUGCAUUUUCUUCAUUAUCAUCAUCAUCAUCAUCAUCAUUGACAUCAUCUCAUAUGUGAGAGAAAAAGAGAGAGUGAGAGAGAUCAUAUUUUGACAUUUCAGCCAAUAUAUCACUCCUACGUCUUUGACAAAGAAUUAAAAGUGUAUCUUUUAUUAUGGUGGUUUUGUUAUAUUUCUUUUAUCUUCUGCUUGUUUCAGUCGUUGGACUGUGGCCAUGCUGGGGCACUGCUUUGAAAGGUUUUAAUUGAACAAAUCAAUCCCGGUACUUGUUAUUAUUUUUUUUUAAGUGUGAUAUUUAUGCUGUUGGUCUCAUUUGCUGAAGCACUGAAUUAAGGGGAUACAAACAAACUAACACUGGUUGUCAAGCAGUGAUUGGAGAGUGUGACACAGACAGGAACACACACACACACACACACACACACACACAUAUACACACACAUACACACUAGUCUUCCCAGUUUCUAUCUCUGCAAUUCACUCACAAGUCAUUGAGUAGUCUGGAGCUAUAGUAGAAGACACUUGUCCAAGGUGCUGCACAGCAAGGAAGAUACAUGAUUCAAAAUGAGCUAAUUAUCUAUGCAACCAUGCCUGCACCUAUAAACAGGUUUUUUUAAUCUAUUCAAGCGCAAUCCCAAAUAUCAAAUUGAGAUAAGAAUUGUAUAAACAUUGUUUCUUCCAAAUUUCAUCACCCAUUUCUCCACAAUCAUUGUUACUUUAUAUCUUCAACAUACAUGUUUGCGAAACAGUGAUUUUGUUACUCAUACUUGUAUCAGCUUGCUUCUCGAAACUAAAAAGUACAGAGUAAUAUCCAUCUAAAUUUAGCCUGACACCGAAGCUUAUGCCGGCAGGGUUGUUUUGGCAGUUUGAAACAAGUAUCAACAUUAUUGGAGUUUGCUGUGUUUUACAGGUCAUAAAGUAUCACUUACCUCUAAUUCCCAAGAUGUUGAUGUAAAAUAAUGGGGCAGUUACUCUAUUAAAGUGUAAAGUAAACUGUGCCAGGCAUGAGAGGAAAUACGCUUAUGACACUGUAUUGGCACCAGUAACUAUUAUCAGGUUGCCAAACUUGUACCAUUAUGUAAAUGAAUUGUGGAGUUGUGCUGACUUAGGGUUGGGAGGGCAUGUCAUUGAUGAGGUUGUGAAUGGUGAUGAAAGGACUUUAACAAACCCUGCUUGAUUGACUAAAUGAUGAAAGGACUUUGACAAACCCUGAUUGGUUGAUUGAUUAAAUGAUUAAUCAAACUGUUUUACUUAACUGGUUAAAUGUUAGCAAAUUGAUUAAUAAUAAUAAUAGUAAAUAAAAUAAUAAUAAUAAUAGUAAAUAAAAUAAUAAUAAUAAUAGUAAAUAAAAUAAUAAUAAAUAAAAUAAUAAUAAUAAAUAAAAUAAUAAUAAUAAAUAAAAUAAUAAUAAUAAUAAUGAAUAUAAUAAUAAUAAUAAUAAUAAUAAUGAAUAUAAUAAUAAUAAUAAUGAUAAAAGAAGUGAAAUAGAAUUUGUGUGAAAUUAUUGGCAUAAUGAUCCACCCAGGAUACAACUAAAUCUGUUUCAACACAAGUUCACAUCAAGAGUCUUACAAACCAAAUACAAAAAUGAAAUAUUUAAUAAGUAACAUUCUGCUAUUUUACCUUAGCAUCUUGGGAAGAAAAGUGAUUGGUUUGAUACUAAUCUAAAUGACUCCAUAUAUUCAUUUAUCCAUUACCAACAUUGUAUUGGUUCUCUAAAGUUUCAAGACGACAUCUCUUACCAGUUUUACAAAAAGUUAAGGGGUCCAUAUUGCCUUGUGGCCACUGUUUAGUUUGUGCCUAUGAGUAAUGCUGGUACCACAAUGAAAUGCACCCAGUUCACUCUAUAAAGUUACAGGCAAAAAGAAUGGUGAUGAUGUAGGGUUUAGAAUACCAUUUUCUUAAUCAUCUUAGUGAUAUGGCAAUCUUUUGAGUACUGGUGCCAUAAAACGUACCCAGUACACUCUGCAAAGUGGUCUGUGAUAGGAAAGACAUAUGGCUAUAGAAAACAAAACAAAAAUGAAAUAUUUAUGUUUCACAAAAGCAAAACAUAAAUGCGGUAUUUUCAUCCAUCUUGGAGGGCUGAAGCUCCAGUUAAGAACUGGCUCAGGUUAUGACAACUUGUUCAGUUGUAGCACAGAAAGUAGAUAGAAAAUAAUGGGGGGUGUGUGUAUAAUAUAUAUCUUUUAUUUUCUUAUACGUGUUUCAGUCAUUAGACUGUGGCCAUGCUGGGGCACUGCCUUGAAUUUUUAGUCGAAUGAAUCAACCCCAGUACUAAAUUUUUUUUGCUAAACCUAGUACUUAUUCUAUCGAUAUCUUUUGUCAAACCUCUAAGUUAUAGAGAUGUAAACACACCAACACCAGUUGCCAAGCAAUGGUUGGGCACAAACAUGAGCACAAAGACACACAGAUAAAAAUAUAAAUAUAUUACGGACUUCUUCGAGAUUCUGUAUAACAAAUCCACUCAGAAGGUGCCAUGCAGUGAGACUGAACCUGGAACCAUGUGGUUAGGAAGCAAGCUUCUUACCACACACACAUGCGCACACACACACACAUACAUGAGAGUGAGAGAAAUGAUUUUGUAUGUACAUUUAGGUAACUGGACCAUAUACUCUUUUGUUGGCCAAUUUAGGAAUAUAACAUUAGUAAACAGUAAUAUACUAAGGAUAAUGUUCGCAUUGAUCAUAGAUGUUUUGUACUGACAUCAAUAACUCAAUAAAGGUUAAUUGAAAGGUGAUUUUUCUAUCAAAGAGAUUUUAGUCGGACAACUACAUAUGCAAACAAUUUAUGAGCUGCUAUUAUCAGGAGACAUUCUAUAGUGGAGUAGUCUCUAAAUGGAAGUUUUUCUUUCUUCUUUAACAAUUCAUUACAAAUAAUUUUCUAUGAAAUGCUGUUCUAUUCAGAAAUAUUAAUUUUCUCUUCUUUAGAAACUUGAAAUAUUUCUCGUAUCACUUAUCAUGCUAUGUAUGUUGGUAUCAUUAUAUUAUAAAUGCUUCUGAGGAAAUUCUUUGAAAUACUUGUCACCUAAUAUCAUAUAAAAAGUACUCGUGAAACACACACACACACACACACACACACACACACACACUCUCUCUCUCUCUCUCUCUCUCUCUCUCUCUCUUUUACUCUUUCAUGCUCUCACACUAGACUUCUCUCUCUUUCCAUCUUCCUCUCUCUCUCAUACCCUUGCUUUCUGUUUCUCUCACUCUACCCCCACUUUUCUCAAUGUGUAUUUAAAAGUCUGCAUGUGUCUCUCUCUUUCUCUCUCUCUCUCUCUGAUCCUUGCUUUCUCUUUCUGUCACUCUCACUUCUCUCUACGUAUAUCUAACUCAGUCUGUCUGAGUCUCUUCUCUUCUCUUUACUCGUCUCUGUUCUACCUCUCUCUAUUUUAAUAUCCAGUUAGUGAAAGAAGAGAGAGAGAAACAAAGUCUUAAAACCAGAUUAAAUAUCUGAAGUAUAUUACAUAAAAGUAAAUUAUUUGAAGCAUUUUCUUAUUUUUUUUUUUUCUCAAACAAUACUUUCUUGUUGCUGACAUUAGUAUUUGCAAUGUUCAGCAUGAAAUACCAAUAAGACUUUCUUCUCAGAUGUAAGUAGCUUUAAGCAAAUAGAAUGCUAUCACAAGACAGCAUGCUAUUUGUCCGGUAUACUUUCUCAUAUAUCACGAGGAUUAUAACUUUCUUGUCAUGUCAUGCAAUAUCUUCAAAUAUAUUAUUUAGUUAUAAAACCUAAUUUCAUUUGGAAACAUUCUUAAAUAUUUUACAUGCUUCUAGCUAAUCAAGAUUUUAAUAUCGUCUUUUAUCUAACAAUGAUAUUUAAUUUAUAGUUGUUGUGUUUUUUUUGCUUUUAAAAUUCUAUUCAUAAUUCAUUAUAAUUCAUAUAACUUCUUUUGAUGAAUAGUUGUUUUUUAAUGACUUAGUCAAAGGAGAUAUAUGAAAGGCUAGUGGCUUUGUGGCUAGUGGCGCAAUGGCCCAGUGGUUAGGGCAGCGGACUUGUGGUCGGAGGAUCGCGGUUUCGAUUCCUAGACCAGGCGUUGUGUGUGUUUAUUGAGCAAAGACACCUAAAGCUCCAUGAGGGUCCGGCAGGGGGUGAUGGUGACUCCUGUUGUACUCUUUUGUCCCAAAUUUCUCUCACUCUUUCUUCCUGUUUCUUGAGUAAUGCUGCAAUGGACUGGCGUCCCGUCCAGCUGGGGGGAACACAUAAGCCCGGGAAACCGGGCCCAUGGGCAUGGCUUGGCUUGAAAAGGGUGCAUAAAUAAAAAAAAAAGUGGCUUUGUAGUUAGGUUGUUUGGCUCACAAUCAUAAUGCCAUAGUCAUUUCCUGAAUUGGACGGCACAUCAUGCCCUUGAGCAAGGUUAUGCAGCUCUCUCUCCCCAUCCAUCUGUCACACCUGUUAUACACUGUUGGGUUUAAAAGGGUGGAAGAAAUGAGAGCAUGUCUGUGUUUGUUCAUGGUUGUAGAAUCACCUAAAACAAUUAAUGAAAGCAUGGUACUUGUUACCAAGCCAUACUCAGCUUCUAGUGAUGACUGGCUCUUACCGUCAAGGGAGGAAGGAAAGUUUCCAUGUUCCUUUUCAAGAUCUCUCUGAAUUGUAGGAGGAAGUUGCCUUCAGACUAGAGUCUUGGCUUGGAUGCUUGCUUGAGUACUUAUAACCAAAUCCACAGAGUGGAGUUGGUUAACAGUACUCAAGAGCCAGGUGUUGGCAUUAAGCUUAGUUUAUUACCCCCAAACUGGAGCAAUCACUUCUAAGGUAUUUUGACUUUUGAACAAUUUUUGUGAACCAAAUUUCACUUGUGAGGCUUUGAUAUACCUAAAAGCUAUAGUAGAAAACUAUGAUAGAAGGCUGUUACAAAAAACCACUUGCUGAAGACACCAUGGAGUAGGAUUGAACCUAAGACACAAGGUUGCAAAGUAAACUUCUUGACCAUGCAGUUGCUUCUACAGCCAUUAAUUAUCAUCCUCCUCAUCAUUGUAAUAUUUAAACCACAAUAAUUUAACACUACUCAUCACAUACCUUAAAUGAUACUAUCAUUCCUUAAUACCGGUUCCCAUAUGCUGCUCAUAACUGCACUCGGUCUGCUUAGGAAGUUGUUGUAUCCUAGCAUAUGUGCUGCUUCUUUUAGUUUUUGUAUUUUCCAGUGGUGUUCUCUGUCUAUUAUUUUAACUUCAUCCCACAGAGGGAGGUGGUCUCCAUUUUUCCAUACAUGAUCAGCUAUACCUGAUUUAUCAAUAUCUCCUUGUGUCACAGCUUUGCGAGGUUUGUCUACCCUUACUUUGAGGGGGCGGCAUGUUUCACCUUUGUAUAACCUACCACAGCUGCAUGGGAUGGAGCACACACAGUCUUUGGUCAUAUUCUCUUCUGUUGGUGGUUUUACUCGAAGGAGAUAUUUGUGAAGUGUUGUAUUACUCUUGAAUACUAUCCUGAUGUUAUAUGGGCUGCAUAUCUUUUCGGAGAGGCCUUUCACAUAGGGUAGACAGACUGUGGACAGUUUAUUUGCCUCAUCCUCUCUCUUCUUCAUAAUUGGAGUGGAUAGUGAACUUUUGGGGUACUUGUUGCUUAACAGAUCGUUAUUGAGCUUGAUCAUUUCUUCGUGGUGUGUAUCAUGAUCGCUACUUAUAUUCUUUGCACGAUGUUUGAGGCAUUGAGCAAUCCCUCACUUUACACUGUAUGGAUGUUGGGAAUUGAAGUUGAGGUAUUGUCCAGUAAAGUUUGGCUUGUGGUAUACGGAUGUCAUGAAUCCAUACUUGAUGCGUGUUAUUAAUAAGUCCAGGAAUGCCAGCUGAUUGUCUUUUUCCUUUUCCAUUGUGAAUUGUAUGGAUGAGAACCUUAGGAAUGAGAACCCAGAUCUGAAAUUUCCCCAAGACAGCUGAAGAAGGAGGGUAUAUUAGCCAAAACAUUGCGUUAACAACAAACAAGAUGAAGACAAAUAUCCGUCAAAUGUAAACAAUGUAAGAAAAAAUUAAGUUGUAGAAAAAAAAAAGAAAAAACUCAAAGGGAGGUGGGGGGGGUCGAUAAAGUAAAAUAAAAUUACUUGCUUCCCCAAAAGCAAAAACUAAAAGGGGAGAUGUUGUAGUGGAAAUGGUCCCCACCCCAUGGGAUAAGUGGUAUGAAGGAGCCACUAUAAAGCAAAACUAUGUCAACCAGUACAGGGAGUUGUGUGUCAGUUGUUGUAGAGUUGUCGUACAAGUUCUCAGUUGGAGUUAAGUGUCACUUAUGUGUUAUAGUCGAGUUUGAGUUACAGUCAAGGUAGUCAGUUCAAAUUUGGUGUCUAGCACUAUAGACGAAGUGGUGUAUUACCAUUCCGGAAUAGAAGAGAUACACUGUAUCUGAUACUAAGAAAAUAUCAUGGCUACAGUCACAACAGUGGCCACAUAUAUAACUGUGGAAAACACCAAAUCAUAACAUAAAGCAUAUUUAUUCAUAUUAUUUUGAAUUAAUCAUAUAUUAUCUCAUAGAUUUGAGAUUUUGAUGAUGUUAUUGUUUAUAUUUAGAAUGACAUUGUAGUGUCGGUGUGAGAGAUUAGAUCUGGCCAGUUUGAACAUAAAACAGGGGCAUAUUUUGGCUAGAUGUAGCUGGUUUAAAUACUAAGGGGUUAAAUAGUGUCCCAAAUUUUACAUACAAGGCUUUUGCUGCAUUGAAGCUAUGGGUACUUAUGACAACAUUCAUCCAAGAUGGGUUGAUCUUGCUCAAACAAAAAGUUCACCAUGUUCCUCAUGAAUGCUGACCACAUCCAACGGUCAGCCAAUAGCUAUAGCAAUCAUUUGCUGUUGAGGUGUAGAGUUCAUGUUUGGAUUAUCAGUAGGCAUGCAAGUUCACUUGUGAUCUUUGGUCACAUGCAUGAGACUAUUGAUAAGAACAGUUAUCCAAAGUACAAUACAGUGGAAAUGAACAUAAAAUCAUUUAGUCGUAAAACGAACUUAUUAACUGCAUAAUUAUGCUGCUACUCUGUUGCACACAUUUGGGUCAGGUCUUUGAUUCUGAGAAUAACUGUCUUUCGUCCUCACACCAUCCUCAGAGGCCUUGAGAAAAGGUUAUGGGUACUGCCUUUCUUUUUUUGACUGAAUCACAUUAAAAAAAGUGAUUAUCAAACUCAUUAAUAUGCUAUUUAAUACUCACACCAAGACACUAAUACACACACACACACACACACACACACACACACACACACACAUGGAAACUCUAUAUUUAUAACUGAACACAAGCACUAAGAAUAUAACUGUCUGCCUUCUUUCCUUAUGGGAUCUAUAUAUAUAUAUACACACACACACACAUAUAUAUUUAUUGCUACUUCUUCCUCAUUUUUCUGAUAAAAAUCAUGAAGAUAUUACUGAUAAGAAAUAAAAAAUAGUCAAUUACUCCUAAUGAAGGGUAAUUUGCUAAUGUAUCUUUUGCGAUCAAUUUUUCUUAUCCUGACCGAUUUUUAAUGAAACAACGAAACAAAAGUAAUAAUAACCACUUCCAGUUAGUAUUACCUGUUAUUUCUUUUACAAGACAGAAUUGAAUGAUUAAUUUUAAGGCUUAUAAGUCAAUGUAUUGUUAGUAGGAAGACCAAAAAAAACAACUAAAAAAAUAUACACCAAUUCAUUCUUUGGCAGUUCCUCAUUACCAUCCUCAUUGAUACAGCAGCACCGCCUAUUAUCAUCAGGAUUGUUGCAAUCCUCAUCAUCAUUGUCAUAUAUAUAUGUGUGUGUGUGUGUGUGUAUAUAUGUGUGUGUAUAUAUGUGUGUAUAUAUGUGUGUGUAUAUAUGUGUGUAUAUAUAUGUGUGUAUUUAUAUGUGUAUAUAUAUAUUUGUAUAUAUGUGUGUAUAUAUGUGUAUAUAUAUGUGUGUGUAUAUAUGUGUGUGUAUAUAUAUAUGUGUGUGUAUAUAUGUGUGUGUAUAUAUAUAUGCGUGUAUAUAUAUAUAUGUGUGUAUAUAUGUGUAUAUAUGUAUACACAUACACACACACACACAUAUAUAAUUUUAUUUGUGUGUGUAUAUGUGUGUUAAUUUAAAGGUAUUGAUUCUUUAAUGUCUGUUUAUAUUGCUUUUGGCUGUGCACUAUUUAGUUAAUGGCAAUACACUUGUGUAUAUUUAGUGAUGUUUAUCUGUUUGGUGGCAAUCAUCAUUUAAGCAGCAACACCACCACCACCAUUACCACAACCUCCAACAAAUUGAUUUCACCAAAACUGAUCUCCUUUAUAGAUAGGACGUCCUUUGGUAAUAUCCACAUGGCCUUGGAGUUCUACAUGCAUACAUCCGUGUGUAUUUGUAUGUGUACGAUUAAAACAAACAAAAAAGGCUUGUUUUGUUUUCAGUUUUGAUGCCAAUGUUGCAUGUGUAUUUAGUGUACUUAAGUACUUUCUCAGCAUCUGUUCUCAAUGACAGGGCUCUCAUGUGGUUAAUCAAGGGUAUAGCUUCCCAUCUGUUCCUUUUAACAGCUGGACUUCUUGUCCAUCUGAAAGCUUAGAUUGCAAUGGAUAAGUGAAGAGCAAAUGAGUUACUGUAAUUUGUCUCUGGGUGGUCGUUGGUUUGACUACUGGGAAAUUGAUAACAUUUCAACUGUUAUAUCAUCUCAUCAUCAUCAGUGACAUCAUCAUCAUCAUCAGCAGCAGCAGCAUCAGUAGUGACAUUUUCAUUAUCAGUGAUACAUCAUCAUCAACACUAUUACUCUUGACGUCAACCAGGGACCUAAUACAUGGUUGUUCAACCAGCUAAAAAUAGCUGCCAGAUCUCUUUAAAUCAUACCUUACUGUCUUAUAUGUUUCACCUGGGUGCAAACGACAACAACAACAACAACAUCGUUAUAAUCAUCAUAAUUAAAUGUUCAAUCAGCUAGAAAUAGCAGCCAGAUUUUCUUAAAUCACGCCUUACUAUCCUAUAUGGUCAUUAUUGUAAGCCCCAGGUCAGCCUUGCUUGGGGAGAUCUGGAACUAAACAACAAUGAUGUCAUUACACUAGAAAUAGCAGCCAGAUCUCCUUAAAUCAUGCCUUACUAUCCUAUAUGGUCAUUGUUGUAAGCCCCAGGUCAGCUCUGAUUGGGGAGAUCUGGAGCUAAGCAACAAUGAUGUCAUUACACUAGAAAUAGCAGCCAGAUCUUCUUAAAUCAUGCCUUACUAUCCUAUAUGGUCAUUGUUGUAAGCCCCAGGUCAGCUCUGAUUGGGGAGAUCCGGAGCUAAACAACAAUGAUAUCAUUACAUCUUGAUAAUCAUCUUAAUUGUCAUCAUGAUACUUGUUUUCUCAAUGUUUUCUUUACAUUGUAGACUUUGAUCAGAUGUAUGAAUUAACAAAGCCAUCAGUAACCACCUUGUUCUACUCAAUACAUUGGUCAUAGUGUCAAAUGCUAGUGCCAUAAAUUUAACCAACGCAUCUUUUUGGACACACAUUCCAGCAAUUGAUGAUCACUCUAAAUGACCCGUCGAACACUUCAUCAUCAUCAUCAGUUAAUGUCUGUUUUCUAUGCCGGUAUGGGUUGGAUGGUUUGACAGGCAGGAUCUGGUUAGCUAUGAAGCUGCAUUGAGUUCUUUAGUUCUUUUGUCAACUUCGGCAUGGUUUCUAUGGCUGGAUGCCCCUCUUUGAUAUCAACCCUAUUUAAAUUUAUGUAAGUUUUACCCUUACCUAUUCAUAAGUUUGUGAACAUGUAUAACAUGGUGGUUUAGGUGUUGGGCUCACAGACAUAAGGUCAUGAGGUCAGUUCUCAAAGUGUGUAGCAUGUUGUAUCCUUAGCAAGGCACUUCAUUUCAUGUGGUUUCAGUCCACUCAGCUGAAAAGCAUUACAAGUGAAAGCUCAGGCAUUAAUAGAUCAGCCUUUCAACAGACUGUUGAGUUACUGUAAUUUGUCUCUGGGUGGUCGUUCGUUUGACUACUGGGAAAUUGAUAACAUUUCAACCAUUAUAUCAUCUCAUCAUCAUCAGUGACAUUAUCAUCAUCAUCAACAGCAGCAGUAGUGACUUUAUCAUUAUCAGUGAUACAUCAUCACUUGUUGAUGGGGGAGAAUUUAGUAUGUUCAGUUAUGUAAAUACCAUAGAAACUAAGGUCUCUAGCCAAAAAAGGCUUGUGGCUUGAGACAGAGUUUGACCAUCAGCUUAGACACAAGAUAUGUAUCAAAUAAAUCUUAUCUGAUGAAUAUUUGCAGUGGAACUUCACUUCUUUGUUAGAAGCCAGCUUCUUCUUUGAAGGAAGAAUUCAAAUAAUAAAAAAGAAAACGAUACAUUCAUGGAUACACACACACACACACGCACACACACAUGUUCAUACAUACACUUAUACAUACAUAUGACCAAAGACAUAUGCAUUCAUUUUCAUUCAUUCAUGUAUAUAAGCAUAAAUUUAUAACUGUUUAUUGGGGCACUCUCUUAUGUAACAAAAUGCCUCAGAACUAAAUUUGAGAAGCUGGGCCUUACAAACAGAAAUGACAUGGCUAAUUAGAAAAUUGCAAUUACAAGCCAUUAAUGUAAUUGUAAAAACAUGUAAAGCAUUCCCGAUGUUUUACAUAUGUAGUAGGUACAUACAUGCAUGUAUGACAUAGCAGCAAAUGUGUAUGUAUGCAUACAUAAGCCAAAACAUACAGAUUCACUCUUACAAUGACAUGCAUUCAUGCCUACACACAUACUCACCCCCUUCACACUCAUUCACUCACAUACAAACUCUGUCACACAUACAACUUCUCUCACACACAAACUCUCUCUCGCACACAAACUCUCUCUCGCACACAAACUCUCUCUCGCACACAAACUCUCUCUUGCACACAAACUGUCUCUCACACAUAAACUCUCUCUCACACACACUCAUUCACUCACAUACAAACUCUCUCACACACAAACUCUCUCACAUGCACUCAAACUCUCAUGCACUCAAACUCUCAUGCACGCACUCAAACUCUCACGCACGCACUCAAACUCUCACGCACGCACUCAAACUCUCACGCACGCACUCAAACUCUCACGCACGCACUCAAACUCUCACGCACGCACUCAAACUCUCACGCACGCACUCAAACUCUCACGCACGCACUCAAACUCUCACGCACGCACUCAAACUCUCACGCAUGCACUCAAACUCUCACGCACGCACUCAAACUCUCACGCAUGCACUCAAACUCUCACGCAUGCACUCAAACUCUCACGCAUGCACUCAAACUCUCACGCAUGCACUCAAACUCUCACACAUGCACUCAAAUUCUCACGCAUGCACUCAAACUCUCACGCACGCAUACAAACUUUCACGCACGCACACAAACUCUCAUGCAUGCACGCAAACUCUCACGCACGCCAACAAACUCACACACAACAUAUACUCACAACACUCACAACACACAAAUUCACUCUCACUCACACACACACACACACACACACACACACACACACACACAAUUACCUAAUUGAUGUUUUCGAAAUUUCAGUGAAAGAACCUUGUUUCUGGAUUGGAGUCUUUUUUUUUUCUUUUUGAUGGAAAAAUUUCAAAACUGAAACCAGAAUUAUAUACAUGCAUAAAUUCCUCAAAAGUGGCAAAAUAAUAGACUGUAGUUCUGGAAUCCCUGUGUAUUUUCAAUGUACAUACACUGUCUUAAAGCAUUUGCACCAUAGACACAGAUACUUUGAAGAACAACCACUAUGGGGAUUGAACUUGCACCUCUUCCUCUAUACUAAUUAAAUUCACUAGUGACUAAGGCCUAGAGGAAUAGGAAGAAAAAAAAAUCCUUGAAAAUAUCCCUGAAAAUGAGAAAAUGUGGAGAAAGAGAAUGAACAUAAACCUAUAAUUUGUAAAGGGUGAUAAAUUAUCACCACUGUAAAAAGUCAUCUCUAUAUAUAGCGUUAAAGGCAAGCUAUUCUGUCUAGAUGAAUAUGAUAUUGCAAACUUUGCUUGUCAGUAGGUAAAAAAAUCAAUCUGCAACACUUAUGUAAAUGAAGAUUUCUUCUUUUUAUAGCUUUAUCAUUAAAAGCUUUGUCUAUGUUACUCAUCACUAAAUUAUUAAUGUCUUUUUCAACCACCACUAACUGUAGCUGCUAUCAUCACUGUAGCUGUUACCACCACCAAUAACCACCAUCUUAUCUUCACUAGUAGCUGCUACCACUACCAUACAACUAAUGAACUAAUGAAGUAUCUUUUGAUCAUGUGUCUCUUGGAUCUUUGUUGACCCCCAGGUUAAACAGCAGUCACAACUGUCAUAACAACCACCGUCACCACCACCACCGACCACAUCACCGCAGUUGUCACUGCCUCUAACACAGUUAAGUCAGUGCACUUACAAACAGAAACAGCUGACUGUUGUGACUUUUACUUCCAGUGUUAGCUAACUUCGUUUCUACAUAAAUUAGGAAGUUAUUUAUCUGUCAACAAAGUUGAAAGUGAGAAUCUGUAGCAUUCAAGCCUUUUUAAAAAAUAUUAGUGAUAUGUCAAGUGACUUGGUUGUUCAUGAUAUGCCUAUAUAAUAUAAUGGAUGUCAAAGGAAGAAAAAAUAUCCCUUCUAUAAUUUGUUACACAUAUAGGAAAGAUGACUGUUGUUGUUUAACCACAAGUCAACCCCAGUCAAGGAGCCAGUCUGCAUAAUAAUCUCUUGUGUUCCAGGCUACUUAAUAAUCUCUGACUGCUCUCUCCCAUAAGUAAUGCAUUCUGUUGUUACCUACCCCUAACCUUUUGAUCUACUUUGAUUUACAAAAGUUUUCUUCUUUAUUCAUGAUGGGGUUAUUUAGUAGGCUGUUAUUAAAACUUAUGUCAGCUUCUUACAAGUUGUUGAAUAAUAAUGUCUCGGAAAGGUUACAUGUUGUGUAUAUGAGAUAUUCAAACUUCAUUAAUUCAGUAGUUUAUUUCAUGUGAUUCAAUCUGCACAUUAUUUGGAAGAUGGAAUGUUUAACAUUUUGGUUAAACAGAACCUCAUUUUGGUUCUGGCUUUGCAUGUUCAUGAGGGGUUGUUGAAUUUACUUUGAAUAUAAUAUUACUGCCUACUCCAAGCCAUUAUAAAUUUUAAAUUUUUGUAGCUUUUAACUUAAGUAGGAAAUGUCACACUUGCUGCAGUCAGGUUUAAAUCAAUGACCCAACAGUCAAAUUAGCUAGUAUAUUGAUCAUACAAUUUCCAUAUGCCUGUAACAUCUAUUUAAAAAUUGAAUGAACAGAGACACUGUAGAGUGCUCUCUAGUUUUCUGAUAGGAAAGAGUGAGGCUUAAGGUAACAUCACUAGUGCUGGUACCAUGAUAAAAUGUACCCAAGUUCCAUCUUUAAAGGGCUUGACAAAUGAGCAGAGACAUUGAAUGUUCAUGAGGGCCCUUUAGCUUCACCAAGGGAAUGACAAACUUUCUAGUGUUGGUGCUAUGAUAAAAUGCAUCCAGUGCACUCUGUAAAGUGGUUGAUAUUAGGAAAAACACCCAUUCAUACAAAUUUUACCAAAGUGGAACAUACUAACGAAAUGUAAGGUCUUUGACCUUUCUAGAGUGCAAUAAUUCCAAAUAUGAACUGAUUUAGACUGUGCCUAUCCAUCCAACCCAUGCUGUCAUGGAAAGUGGUUGUAAAAUACUGUUGUUCAUCUUUAGUUGUUUUAUAUAAAUAUAUAUCGAGUUCUACAAAAUAUUAGUCCUUUCUGUUUGUUUUGUAAUUUGACAAGCAACUUCUGUCAUGAAAAUAAAAAUAAUAGAUUAUUUUUAUUAGGUUACAAUACAGAGACAAAGAAGUAUAACUAAUUGAGUCAAAUUCAGCUUAUUAUUGGUGCUGUUACUUAUUUCAUUAACUCCUUGUUUGACACCUCACCAUUUCUGACCACUCACUGCUCUGUGGAACUUGAAGUAAGGAUUUCUCAGUUUAAUAUAAACUCAUAGAUUUAUAAGAGUGUAUUAUAGUUAUUUAAAGCAAUGUCAGUAUAUGCCUGGUACAUUUUGUGUUAACCCUUGAGUGAUGAAAGUCAAAUUCAAUUUUGAUGGGAUUUGAACUCUUAAUGCAGAAGAAUAUUUCAUCUGGUCCUUUACCCUUUCUGCCUCUCUUCUCUCCUCAAAUUUGAAGUAAUGUUUUUCUCAUUUUACUGAUUAUUUCAACAAGUAUUAAAAUGUUUUAAUGGGUGCUGAUGUGAAUAAUGAGAUUUAAAGUCAAUUAAUUUUAAUAGGAUGUUCAUAGAAAUAUUUGUGCUGCUGUUGCUGUUGAUUCUGACAGUAUUACAAAGUCUUGUGUUUUAAAAAAAUACAAGUGAAGCAAUUGGUGUUUCAUAAUCAGCAAUAUGAGCUCAACAAUAACAGCAGCAGCAAUAACAAUAUCAAGCCAGCGAGGGAGGCCUCUGCACGAUCAGUUUCAAGCUAGAAAUAGCAACCAAAUCUUCAAAAUUGCAACCCUUACUGUCGCAGAAAAGAUUGAAUACAUUAGGCAAUAUAGUCUUAGAUGCAUUGUACCUAGGAAAAAAGACAAGAUGGUCAUUACUGAAAAUGAGGUCUACAGAAUCAGGGCUGACUUGGUCUUGAACAACAUCCAUUUUUUCUAUGCUUCCAUGUGUUAGAACUUACUUUUGUAAACAGUUUCAGCAUUUGCACUGGUAUUUUCUUGUCUCUGACAAAAGGCUGAGCCUCUUGAGAUCAUCUUUUGUUAUCUCACACAUCUUCAAUCUUGCUUUUCUACAGGUUUCUUUCACUUGAGUCAGCUUUACACAGUUUUAACCCUCCAUAUGCACCACAUGCCCUUAGUAGUGUAAUCUUUUCUGCAUGCUGUGUCUGAUUCCUUUAAUACAGCUGGUCUUAAAUUCCUCUAUUAUGACCUAUAAUAAGCAAGAAGGGCCUUAAAACUGAGCUUUUCCUGCAUGCUAAAUUCUUAGAACUUAUUGCAAACUCUCACUUUGCUGGUUGACAUCUCUGUGGGCCUCUUGCUGGCCAUUUUGGUACAUUUCCUUUUUUGUUUUACUGACCACCACACUACAAAUUAUGGUGUCCUAUCAAAUGCCUUCCCUGGAUCAGUUAAUGCAUAAUAUAGUUGGUCUACUCUAAGGUGAGACUCUCCUUGCGUCAUUAGCAAGGGGCAUUCUGUGGUACCCUAUCUUGGCACGAAUCCAAACUGCAUUACAUCUAAAUGAAUUCUCUUUUUAACGAGAUAUUAUAAUACUUUCUGUUACUUUCAUAACCUGAUAAUUUGAUGCCUCAGUAGUUGCUUGUUUUUAGUACAUCUCCUUUGCCCUUAUAGCAGUUAAGGGUGAUACUUCCCUGGCCACCUAACUGACUAUGUGAGUGAUCAAUGUACAUCCUGCUUCACCAGAUAUUUUCAACAUCUCAGUAACUAUUCCUGAUAGUACAGUUGCUUUUAUUGUCAUUGUAUUGUUAAUUACACUUUUAACCACAUAAUUGUCACCUUUAAUAGCUAUUCCACUGUUCCUUUGGACAAACCUUUGCUCACACAUUCUCUUCAUUCUGUAGCCUUUUCUAGUGACAUGUAACGUUGUAGCAACUUGUUUCUCUCUCUGCAGUAUCUAUUAGGGCAAGUGUGCUACUCAUAUUUCAUUUCUAACAAUGUCUUGAUUCACACAGAUGUAUUAUUUUGCUGGGGCAUUUCACACCACUACUUACUUUUACUUGUUUCAGUCAUUUGACUGCGGCCAUGCUGGGGCACCGCCUUUAGUCAAGCAAAUCAACUCCAGGACUUAUUCUUUGAAAGCCUAGUACUUAUUCUAUUGGUCUCUUUUGCUGAACCGCUAAGUUACAGGGACGUAAACACACCACCUAUUUCUUUACUACUCACAAGGGGCUAAACACAGAGGGGACAAACAAGGAUCAACAAACGGAUUAAGUCGAUUAUAUCGACGCCAGUGUGUAACUGGUACUUAUUUCAUCGACCCCGAAAGGAUGAAAGGCAAAGUCGACCUCGGUGGAAUUUGAACUCAGAACGUAACGCCAGACGAAAUACGGCUACGCAUUUCGCCUAGCGUGCUAAUGUUUCUGCCAGCUCGCCGCCAUCGGUUGUCAAACGAUGCUGGGGGACAAACACAGACACACAAACAUAUACACAUAGAUACAUAUAUACAACGGGCUUCUUUCAGUUUCCGUCUACCAAAUCCACUCACAAAGCUUUGGUCGGCUUGAGGCUAUAGUAGAAGGCACUUGCCUAAGGUGCCAUGCAAUGGGAAUGAACCCAGAACCAUGUGGUUGGUAAGCAAGCUACUUACCACACAGCCACUCCUGGUCGUCUUUUUGCAAAACAUUAACAAACCUCUUACUUUUAGCUUUUCUCCUUGCUACAUAUACCUGCCAUUCUAGCUUUCUUUUUACCUGAUAUUGUUUCUUGCUCAUGUCUUUCUUCCAAUCAUCCCAUGCCUUGCUGGAACCUUACCCCCAACCACAUAAUUAGUCAGUGGAGUGCAGUAGGUUAUCUCAUAUAAUCUAAUUGUUCUUCAUGCCCUAACUCUUUUAUGAUACUUCUUGUCAUACACACCAGGUAAUCAUUCUUGGAACUUUCAUCAUAUUAAGUGAUCUUUCAUCUUCCAGUAGCUUGUGUGUGUGUAUGUGAGAGAUUGUGUAAAUGUGUAUAUGUUUGUGUGCACACGUAUGUGUGUGUGUGUGUGUGUGUGUAUAUAUAUAUAUAUAUAUAUAUAUAUAUAUAUAUAUAUGUGUGUGUGUGUUUGUGUGAUUUAGUUGCAGAAUCUUACAUUGUCAACGAAGGUAUCUUAUCUGCCACUGGAUGGAUGCUGAUAUGGAAUUUGUUUAGUAGGGGAUGACAAUCUGUUGCACAGCAGCCUCUGCAUGCAACCUGUUACAGAUUAAAAAGAAAAUUGAGAAAAUUCAAUAAAAAUACAACACUCACACACAAAAAGUAAGGUAAAUUAAAUUGUGAAAAGGUAACAAUAGUUUGUAGUUACUAACAGUUUUUCAAAAUGGAACAAGGUUUUCAAAUGCAAAACAAAAAAAAAAAAAGAAUGAAUCUACUGUAAGAUUAUAAACAUAGUUUUUACUAUCAUUGUUGUUAUAUAAGGUAACACUACCCCCUGUAUUUGCCCCACCUAUAUUUGUAACAAUGCUUGUCUGUCUUAAGAAUCCUAAGAGGCAACAUCAAGUCGCUAUGUCAUAUUGACUUCUGUUUUCAAACUUAACUCUGCUUUCAUUUCUCCCCACAAUAAAUUGUUUUCAGUCCUGAACACAAUAGACUCCCUUUGAAAUUUAUUCAGCAUCAAAUUCUUCAAUGUCUUUUGAAUUGUGGCAUGUUUCUUUCCCUUUUUUUUUCUUCUCUUUUUCACCCCCCAUGUCCCUCCCUCCCUCCCUCUCUCUUUCCUUCUCUCUCUCUCUCUCUCUCUCUUUCUUCUCUCUCUCUCUCUCUCUCUCUCCCUGAUUUCGACACAAGUUUUUGCAAUGAUACAGCUAGCUAUUGUCUUCUUUGAAUAUAAUGCUCUUCUCCUAUUCAGCUACAUCUUUUAUUUGCAAUCAACUUCAUCUAAUUGUAUACCACUGCUUAUCUCCUUCACAAAAGCUCUGUAAAAUUUUAUUUUAUUUUAUUUUUCUUUAUUUAACAAAGAAAAGAAAUAACAUAAAAAUUUAUAUUAACUGGUAAAUAACAAUAAAAAUAGAUCUAAAAAACAUUUUAGUGUUUUUUCCCCCCAUCUUUUUUGUUGGGCUUUAUUUUUACAUUUUUCUUUUAUCCUUUAUUAUUCUUUUUUUUUUGGUUUAUUUUAUAUUUAAAUUUCUGAAGCCAAAGCAUAAAGUGGUAAAUUGUACUUGAUUAAUUCUCUAUUUCACUGGAAAGAGGCUGUUAGUUUGUGGACCUUUCUUGCUUUGUUAUGGAAUCUGUUAGACAGCUAAACCAGCUUACUUUUGUAUAUAGCCACAAGUAUGAAUAUUGAACAAUUAAUUUAGUAAAAGAAUAAUAAAUAAAUAUACAAGAGCAUGCUAUUUUAUUUUAUUUUUUUGCCUGUUUUUUUUUCUAACAAUUUGAUAUGAACUUUUCUGACUCUAAAAUUUCAAACUUGAAACUUGUCAUCUAAGCUGCUCAGGUGCUGUCUUCCAAUAUAGCAACCAUCCAAAUGGUAAGACAGGAAGCUAUAACUCUAAUUUAAAAAAAAAAAUUAUUGAUUCUAUGUGUUUAGAAUAAGUACACAAUUUCCUUGUAUCAUAAAAGGUGAUUAAAAAAGUUGGUGUCAGGAAGAAUAUCAUCAUCAUCAUCAUCAUCAUCGUUUAGCGUCCGUUUUCCAUGCUAGCAUGGGUUGGACGGUUCUACUGGGGUCUGUGAAGCCAGAAGACUUCAUCAGGCCCAGUCAAAUCUGGAUGCCCUUCCUAACGCCAACCACUCCGUGAGUGUAGUGGGUGCUUUUUAUGUGCCACCCGCACAGGUGCCAGACAGAGCUGGCAAACGGCCACGAACGGAUGGUGCUUUUUAUGUGCCACCGGCACGAGGGCCAGGCGAGGCUGGCAGCGGACACGAACGUAUGGUGCUUUUUACGUGCCACCGGCACGAGGCCAGUCGGGGUGGCGGUAGCUAUAAAAACACCACCUCACAGUCCAACUCAUGCUAGCUUUCAAAGGUGGACAUAAAAAUGAUGAUUGUGUAUUUUUUUAAAAUUAUAUUAUUGGAAUUAUAUGAUUGGAGAUGAAAUUUUCAAAGUCCUCCCUAAUAGGGGAGAUUGAUAUAAGUUCACCUUGUACUUCUGUCAGUUGAUGGCUGUGGAUAAAACCUGACCUGGAACAAGGCAAUAAUGAGAACUGCUGUGUAGUUAUCUUUUGCCUUUUACUUGUUUCACUCAUUAGACUGUGGUCAUGCUGGGGCACCACCUUAAAGAGCUUUUAGUCAAAUUAAUCAACACUAGUACAUUUUUAAAGCCUGGUACUUAUCCUGUUGGCUCAUUUGCUGAACUGUUAAGUUACAGGGAUGUAUACACAUCAACACCAGUUGUCAAGUGGUGGUGGAGGACAAACAGACACAGACAUAUGCACACACACACACACACACACACUCAUAUGUGUGUAUAUAUAUGUGGAGAGAGAGAGAGAGAGAAAAAUAAGAUAGGGAUGGAUGUACAUUUGUGUGUGUGUGUGUGUGUAUGUAUAUAUAUAUAGAUAUAUCAUUACUUUUCAUAAAAAGCCUUUAUUUUUUGAUUUCCAAUGUGCAUUUUCACUUAUUUUUCUUCUUACUUUCCCCUUACAUUUCCACAUGUAGUUUCCAUUUUCUUUUUGUAACAUAUUUCUAUGUUUUGUAACAUAUAUAUACACACACACACACACACACACACACACACACACACACACACACACACACACACCCACACACACGAUAGGCUCCUUUCAGUUUCUAUCCACCAAAUCCACUCACAAGGCUUCGGUCGUUCUGAGUAGAAGGCACUUGCCUGAGGUGCCACUCAGUAAUACUGAACCUGGAAACGUGGUUGGGAAGCAAGCUUAUUAUCAUACAGCCACGCCUCCGCCAAUUUUUAAGCUUGGUGAAAUAGCAACCAAAUCUCUUUCAUAUCACUCCCCCUAUCUAGGCACCACCUUUUAUCAAAGCAGUUUAUGUUCAUGAGUGGAAUACCUCUUAUUAUAUGUCUACUUGGUCUGGUCUAAUUUGAAGUUAGUUAACAAUAUGAACAGGGGAAAGAUUUUUCAUGGGGUUGCAGCUCUGAGAAGGAAUGAUUGAGAAAGUAUUUCCUGGUGGUUGGCACUGUUAGACAUAGUAGGGAUGACAAGAGGAAGAGUGUUUGUAUCUGGUGAUGAACCACAGCUUCUUAGUUCAAAUGGUUGGUGAUUAUUGUAGUAGUUAUAGAAUAUACCAAGAGAAACUGCUUCAGUAGGCUAGUGGGUGAAGAAUAUAUAUUAGUGGUUGUAGUGUGUUAGUCAGAGGUGGUAGAACGGUUAUACAGAUCAGCAUAUUAAUUAGCAGUUCUAUAGUAUUGGUUAGUGAAGGCCCUCAGUCAUGAGGUAGUGAGUUCAAUUCCCAGACUGGGCUGUGUGUUGUGAUCUUUAUUUCCUGUUGCCCCAGUUCACUUAGCUGUAAAAAUUAGUUGUGACAUAACUGGUGCCAAGCUGUAUUAGCCUUUGCUUUUCCCUUGCAAAACAUUAGUGGUGUGGAGUGGAAAGUCUGGUAUGCAUGGGCAGCUGGUCUUUUCUACUCUAGGCACAAGGCCUGGAAUUUUGGGGAAGGAGGCCAGUCGAUUAGAUUGACCCAGGCCAGUCGAUUAGAUUGACCCCAGUAUGCAACUGAUACUUAAUUUAUCGACCCCGAAAGGAUGAAAGGCAAAGUCGACCUCGUAACAACCUUACCUGGAUUUGCAUCUUGAAGGGUAACUUUCUAGGUACAAUUCCAUGGUCAUUCAUGCCCAAAGGGAGUCUUUACCUUUAGUAUUAAUUAACUGUUGUAGUGUAUUAGUUGAUGCAGAUAGUAUGUAAGUGAUAAUAGUAUGUUGUGCUGGUUGCCGUGUGUUAGUAGUGGUAUCACCUGUUUGUAAUAUAUUAAUGCUGGUAGUAUGUUAGUAGUUGUGCAUUUGUAGUGGCAGUGUGUUAGAAUGGUAGAAGUUGUAGUGUAUUAGUGAUGAUUAGUUAGUAAUUAUAGCAUAUUAAGUAUUAAUAGUAUUUUAGUUUGUGGUGGUAGUAUGUUUAUGAUAGUAGUGUAUUACUUAAUGGUUGUAGCAUGUUAGUGUAGUGAUAAUGGUAUGUUAGUGAUAGCAGAAUGCUAGUUAAUUGUUGCAGCAUGUUGGUGGUGCCAAAAUGUUGAAUAUUCACUUCCUCAUGUGCGAUUAUUUUUUGUAUAUUUUUAGUAACAAUCAUUUGACAAAUAAAAUGCUUCAUCAGGUUUUCCCAUUUUAAUAUAUAUCAAUUAAACCUAAAGAAAAGAACAAAUGAUGGAGAUCGCUAUACAUAGCAAUAAGAAUAUGCACAUACAUACACAUGGAUGUGUGCCAGCAUACACGUACACAUUUGUAUUUUCAUUACUACUUUUUAUACAAACACAUAGAAUAGAAUGAGCUCAAUCACCAAGGGCAAACACAUGCACAAAAUGUAAACAAAUAUGCAAUAUAAAUGCACAUGUACACAUUAGAUACAAAGCAAAAUCAGAAAUUAUUCUGCUUCUAUGAUUCUAUAUGUAAUGCCUUCUGGAGCUGAACUUUCACAACAUGGGUUUAAUAUGGUUGAUUGUAACACAUAUAUAGAAGUUGAAAAGCAGCAGAAAUAAUGUCUGUCUAACAUCAAAGUAUUGGCUCUUUAUUGAAUUAUUCACUGAAUUCCAUGCAUUUAAUUAGAAGGUUUUAAUGAAUUGGAAAUCAUCUAUUUUUAUAUAUUUAAUAAUUCAUAUUUAUAGUUUUAGUCUGGCAGGCACUACCUAUCUUAUGCAGAAGCUGAUCAUUGAUAGAAACCUUGAUAGUUUACCGCAUUAAAACAAAAUUUUGUGAUCAUGGUGAGCUAAAACGUUAAAGAAUUUAAAUCCUGAUUUUAAAAUUAAAUUUACAUUUAGCACUAUUCCAUGGCUUCAAACAUCUGAUGUUUAUCAUGUAUCAUCCUUACACUAUGAUCAACAUGGGUAAGACUCAUGUGCUUGCUAACAAGGGAGAACAUAAAAUUCCGGUCCAAUCUGGAGAGUGACCUCAAAAUAUAGGGAGUAGGAAAGAAACCAAUGUCAUUUACUUGAUGCAAGUAGCUUCAUCAUCAUUUGACAUCCACUUUUCCAUGUGUUAACCCUUUCGUUACCAACCCGGCUGAAACCGGCUCUGGUUCUGAGUACAAAUGUCUUGUUUUCAUAAGUUUUGAAUUAAAAUCUUCCAAACCUUAGUCACAAUUUAUGUUCCUAACACUAGCUUAAUGGUAACUAAGUUAUUUUACUAAAUUCUUUGUUAUAUUUAAAGUAAUUGGAAGAAACACAGAGCAUCUCAAAAUAAAUACAGUAACGAAAGGAUUAAUGGGUCAGAUGGAAUUUGUUGAAAUAGAUUUUCUACAGCUAGAUCUCCUUCUUUGCCAUCAACUCUCACCUGUUUCCAAGUAAGGUAAUAUUCCCCAUGACCAAAUAUGUUUUGCAAGAUUGGAAAUGAAGACAUCACUUGCAUAAUGGUGAUAUUUGCUUUACAACUAUCAUACGAAGGCAAAGCAAGGAAACAGUAAAGCAUUUGCACACUCUCUCUCUCUCUCUCUCUCUCUCUCACACACACACAGAGUUAUAUGUAUGUGCUUAUUAGUUCUAUAUAAUGUAUAUGACAGUCUUCUUUCAGUUUCUUUUUCUUUGUUGCCCACAAUGGGCUAAACUUAGAGGGGACAAACAAGUACAGACAAAUGGAUUAAGUUAAUUACAUCGACUCCAGUGCAUGACUGGUACUUAAUUUCUCGACCCCAAAAGGAUGGAAGACAAAGUCAACCUCGGCGGAAUUUGAACUCAGAACGUAAUGGCAGACGAAAUACCGCUAGGCAUUUUGCCCAGCAUGCUAAUGUUUCUGCUAGUUUGCCUUUCAGUUUCUGUCUACCAAAUCCAUUCAUAAGGCUUUAGUUGGCCUGGAGCUAUAGAAGAUACUGGCCCAAUGGGACUGUACCCAAUGGGACUGUGCCACCCAAUGGGACUGUGCCACCCAAUGGGACUGUACCCAAAACAAUGUGGUUAGGGAGCAAAUUUCUUACCACAUAGCCAUGCCUUAAGCAAUGCUAUAUUAAACUAAUAGUGAAUCAAGAUUUCCGAUCUGAUAUUGGCACAGUGGUAGCAUUUGUUGCAGGAGGAGUUACGUAAUGAACUCCAUGAAUUGCUCUGCUAGUUUACUAGACAUAAUUAAUAGUUUCUGUUACCUACAUUAUGAAAUGUGGUUGCUUACCCCCAGAUCAGUCCUGAUCAAGCAGACCUAUUAUCAGUGGCAUUCCCACAGUAACCAUCCUAUUGCUAUAUUCAGUCAUGGUGCAUCCACCACUACAUUAUCUAAUGUAACCUUCCUUUAUAUGUGUUUGUGCUCAAAUGUGAAUAAUGUAGUGAUCAUACCUACUGUUGCAUGAAAUCACUAGCAUCACUACUCAUGCGUGAACUUGUUACUGUUGUAGAUCUUUUGAUGCUGCAUCCUACCCAUCACUUGCAUUUUCAUCAAACAGCAGAUGAAUAUGUAAUAUUCUUUCAAUUUCUUCCACUUUAUGAGAAAUGCCAAUAGCAGCAGAUUCUUCGAUAAACAGUGCCAAAUAUAUUGAAUGUAAUCAAGAAAGUGAUCUUAAUCAUGAAGGAACAGAGAUUUUCUAAGAUAUGAUGACACCUCUAAGAACUUACUAGCUCUUGAUAUUUUCUUAUUCAAACUAUCUUUGGAUAUAUUAAAUAUACAUAAUAUGAAAUAUAUAUUUUCAAAAAAAAAAAUCUAUCUUUGAAUAAAUAUUUGUGUUUUACUGGCAUUCAGAUUACACAGUUUAACACAUAUUUGAAAAUAUUGUAUGGAGUUGCAAAGAAAAUAUUAUGGAUAUUUUAUGUAAAAACACAAAAUGUGGUUGUGUACGUGUGGAAAAUGAAACGGCUGCUUGUAUAUGCCAUUCCAUCAUCUGAGAAAUAUGGCAUGGCUGUGUGGUUAGGGAGCUUGCUUCCUAGCUGCAUGGUUUCGGGUUCAGUCCCACUGCGUGGCACUUUGGGCAGGUGUCUUCUACUAUAGCUCCGAGCCGACCGGAGCUUUGUGAUUGAAUUCGGUAGGCGGAAGUUACUGCCGUGUGUGUAUGUGUGCGUAUAGCUGUUCAGUGCCUUUCCAAAAGAGAGAGAGGGAUAAUCAUCAUCAUCAUUGUUUAACGUCUGCUUUCCAUGCUAGCAUGGGUUGGACAAUUUGACUGAGAUCUGGUGAACUAGAUGGCUGCACCAGACUCCAAUCUGAUCUAGCAGAGUUUCUACAGCUUGAUGCCCUUCUUAACGCCAACCACUCCGAGAGUGUAGUGGGUGCUUUUACGUGCCACUGGCAAUAGGGCCAGUCAAGCGGUACUGGCAAUGGGCAUGCUCAAAUGGUGCUUUUUAUGUGCCACCUGCACAGGAGCCAGUCCAGCAGCACUGGCAAUGACCUCGCUUGAAUGUUUUUUGCAUGUGCCACCAGCACAAGUGCCAGUAAGGUGUUGCAGGUAAUGAUCACGCUCGAAUGGUGCAUUUUACAUGCCACCGGCACGGAGGCCAGUUUGUUGCUCUGGCAACGAUCACACUCAUAUGGUACUGUCUUUAUAAUUUAUAUAUAUAUAUAUAUAUAUAUAUAUAUAUGUUACCUGAGUUAGAGGUUAAAAUAACCCUCUAAGGGAUAGAAGUAUCCAUUACACUACCGAUAUAUUACCUAUGUUUAACCAUGUGCAUACAUACAUACAAACAUAUUAUGCUCAUAAAUUAUAGGCAAAGACAAGGAUAAACAUGAGUUUACCAAGAAUCAAAAUUUAACAAACAGAAAAUGGAGAAAUACUGAUGAACAACAAUUGAUUUCAAUUAUUAUUUAUUUAAUUCAAUAUAAAUAGACUACAUCCCAUCUAACAGCUGUUUCUGCUUCCAAUGUUUUAUGAUAAAUAUUUUUAUCAUAUCAGUGACAAUACUCUACAACAUUGUAAGCAGAAACAGCUGUUAGAUGGGAUGCACUCUAUUUGUAUUGAAUUAAUAAAUAAUAAUUGAUGUAAGUCAAUUGUUGUUCAUCAAUAGUUCUCCAUUUACUGGUUUCUUUAAAUUAUAUAUAUAUAUAUAUAUAAAUAUAUAUAUAUAUAUAUAUGUAUGUAUAUAUAUAUGGCAUUAGGAAGGGCAUCCAUUUGUUGAAACUUUGCCAGAUCAGAUGUGAAGCCUUCUCACUUUCCAACCAUCCAACCCCCAUGCCAGCAUGUAAAACGGAUAUUAAAUGAUGAUGAUGAUGAUGAUGAUAGGUGCAGGCUUGGAUGUGUAGUUGAGAAGUUUGCUUCCCAGCCACAUGAUUUUGGGGUUUGGUCCCACUACUUGACACCUUGGGCAGAUGUUUUUUUUUUAUUAUAGCCCUGAGCUGACCAAGGCUUGACUGGAUUUAGUUGGCAGAAAUUGAAACAAGUCCAUCAUAUAUAUUUGAGCAUGUGUGUGUGUUUAUGAGUGUUUGUGCUUCUGCCUCCUUGUCUUUAAAUCACAUGAUAGUUGUAAAAUGAUUGUCAUUGUCAUACAUGCAAUGUCAUUCAUUUCCAGUUUCCAUGAAAGCAUGUUUGGCCAUGAGGAUAUGGGAAGAUGUUACUUUGCUUGGAAACAGGUAAGGGUUGGUGACAGGAAGGGCUUAUGACUGUAGAAAAUCUGCUUCAAUAAACUUUGAUGAAUCAAUGCAAUCAUGGAAAAGUGGAUGUUUAAAUAAUAUAUAUAUAUAUAUAUAUAUAUAGGAUGAUAUAUAUAGGAUAUAUAUAAGGAUAAUAUUCUUCUUAUGCCCUCUUUAAUAAGAAUAAUAUACUGUACCUAUUGGUAGCUGAUUCUUAUGUGUAUAUAUGUGUGUGUAUGUAUAUAUUUGUGUGUGAGUAUAUAUAUAUAUAUAUAAUCAGCCAUCAGGAAUCACUGCUGAGAUGCUUAAAACAUCUAGUGGUGUGGGCUAUGGCUUAGUCACCUGCAUUGUAAACCAGGUAGUUCAUGAUGGAGUCAUACCCAAUGACUGGUAUAGCAGCACCAUAGUCAACUGCUGAAAGGGUAAAGGUGAUGCUCUACAUAGAAAUAACUACAGGGGUAUCAAACGGCUGGAUCAGGUAAUGAAGGUCACGAAGAGGGUCAUAUCCCAUCUCAUCAGGGAGAGAGUCUGCUUAGAUGAGAUGCAGUUCAGUUUUGUGCCAGGUAGAAGCACCACUGAUGCCAUAUUCCUGGUUCGACAACUGUAGGAGAAAUACCUUGCCAAAGAUAAACCCCUAUACUUAGCUUUUGUGGAAUGGAGAAAGCCUUUGACAGGGUCCCCUGAUCCCUUAUCUGGUGGGCGAUGUGGAAACUGGAGAUUGACAAAUAGUUAAUAAGGGCUGUACAGACUCUUUACAGAGAGGCUGUUAGUAAGGUUAGGAUUGGCAAUGAGUACAGUGAAAAAUUCGGGUAGAAGUUGGCGUCCACCAAGGCUCAGCCCUCAGUCCCCUUCUAUUCAUCAUAGUCCUCCAGGUAAUAACAGAGGAAUUCAAGAUGGGUUGCCCCUGGGAGCUCCUCUAUGCUGAUGACCUACCUAGCCCUUGUAGCAGAAUCACUACCGGAACUAGAGAAGAAAUUUUGUGUGUGGAAGGUAGGUUUAGAAUCAAAAGGCCUUAGAGUCAAUGUACCAAAGACCAAAGUUCUAGUAAGUAGGAAGACAAACUCACCACACACCCCUUCAGGUAGGUGGCCCUGCUCGAUCUGUAGAAAAGGUGUAGGUAGAAACUCCAUAAGAUGUACCCAGUGUAAGCUAUGGACGCAUAAGAGGUGCAUCAACAUCAAAGGAUAAUUAACCAAGAAGAUAGCUUUCGUGUGCGGCAGAUGCACAGGGGCAAUAGACACCACUGCUACUCAGAAAACAGAUUCCAUUACACUCCUGGGGGAGAAACUAGAAGUAGUUGAUAGUUUCUGCUACCUAGGUGACCAAGUUAGCGGGGGUGGAUGCUCAGAGAGUGUUACCACUAGAAUAAGAAUAGCCUGGGCAAAGUUUAGGAAACUUCUUCCCCUACUGGUAACAAAGGGUCUCGCGCUCAGAGUGAAAGGUAGAUUGUAUGACACAUGUGUGCGAACUGCCAUGCUUCAUAGCAGUGAAACAUGGGCUGUGACUGUGGAGGACAUGCGUAGGCUCGAAAGAAAUGAAGCUAGCAUGAUCAGCUGGAUGUGUAAUGUCAGUGUCCAUGCACGACAGAGUGUAAGUGCCCUGAGAGAAAUGUCGGGCAUAAGAAGCAUCUGAUGCAGCAUGCAGGAGAGAUGUUUGCAUUGGUAUGGAUAUGUUCUACAGAUGGAUGCGGAGGGAUUUGUGAAGAAGUGCCACUCCCAAACUGUUGAAGGACUCUGGGGUAGAGGUAGACCCAGGAAGACAUGAGACGAGGUAGUCAAGCAUGACCUUUGUAUGUUGAGUCUCAUAGAGGCUAUGACAAAAGACUGAGACCUCUGGAGAUAUGCUGUGACUUCGAAGACCCGAAAAAUGAAGUGAGUUCAUGUCUUGCAGGAUGUCAAGUUCAUAAACAUCAAAUAAAAAUCGUAUGGAUAUUGUAGUUGUGAUACCUGUGCGGGUGGCACGUAGGGCCUCACAGAGGAAAUGAUGAAGACCGAGACCUCGGAGAUAUGCUGUGACUGUGAAGACCCAACAAAUGAAGUUAGUUUGUGGCUCGCAGGAUGGCCUGCUGUGCUAACCUUGGAUCGUAUAGUGACCCGCUAUUCUCGAGGGGACCUAUUAGGUCAAGUACGUCAACACCAACAUCAGAAUAAAAAUCAAAUGGAAAUUGUAGUUAAGAUACCCGUGCUGGUGACACGUAAAAAGCACCGUCCGAACGUGGCAGAUGCUGGUGCCGCAUGACUGGCGUCCGUGUCAGUAACACGUAAAAGCACCAACCGAUUGGUUACCUGUUGUAGGUAAUGCCACUUGGAUUAACGUGCUCAAAGUGUUAAUAUUGAGUGCUAACUUCUGGUCAUUUUCAAUUUUUUAACCGUUCAGUGUUCAGAUUAUCAAGUGUAAAGCAUUUUUAUUCACAUUGUUUCUAACUAGUUAUCUAUUGUCUUGUAGCGUUGAGAAUUUGAUGAUGUGAUUGUUUAUUUUCCGAAUGACAUAGGGUAGGUGUGAGAGGUAUGCAUUGUCCAGUUUGAAUAUAUAUAUAUAUCUCUCUCUCUACAAAAUUUAACCAUUAGGCUGCCUCAAGCCGUAAUCCCAUCUCUUCCCAUCUUUCCGCCAAUUCAACUUACUUUCUUCUUCAAUUUCAACUCCUGGUCGAUGCCCGCAGCAAGUUCUUAAAAAUUUAUCUUACUCUUUUUAUUUGUUGUUACUACGUUUAUUCAUACACUGUUACGAAAAUUUAACCUUUUUAGACUACUUUCAAGCCUUCGCCAUAACUUGAUUUAUCUUUCCUAUCUCUCUCUCUACAAAAUUUAACCAUUAGGCUGCCUCAAGCCGUAAUCCCAUCUCUUCCCAUCUUUCCGCCAAUUCAACUUACUUUCUUCUUCAAUUUCAACUCCUGGUCGAUGCCCGCAGCAAGUUCUUAAAAAUUUAUCUUACUCUUUUUAUUUGUUGUUACUACGUUUAUUCAUACACUGUUACGAAAAUUUAACCUUUUUAGACUACUUUCAAGCCUUCGCCAUAACUUGAUUUAUCUUUCCUAUCUCUCUCUCUACAAAAUUUAACCAUUAGGCUGCCUCAAGCCGUAAUCCCAUCUCUUCCCAUCUUUCCGCCAAUUCAACUUACUUUCUUCUUCAAUUUCAACUCCUGGUCGAUGCCCGCAGCAAGUUCUUAAAAAUUUAUCUUACUCUUUUUAUUUGUUGUUACUACGUUUAUUCAUACACUGUUACGAAAAUUUAACCUUUUUAGACUACUUUCAAGCCUUCGCCAUAACUUGAUUUAUCUUUCCUAUCUCUCUCUCUACAAAAUUUAACCAUUAGGCUGCCUCAAGCCGUAAUCCCAUCUCUUCCCAUCUUUCCGCCAAUUCAACUUACUUUCUUCUUCAAUUUCAACUCCUGGUCGAUGCCCGCAGCAAGUUCUUAAAAAUUUAUCUUACUCUUUUUAUUUGUUGUUACUACGUUUAUUCAUACACUGUUACGAAAAUUUAACCUUUUUAGACUACUUUCAAGCCUUCGCCAUAACUUGAUUUAUCUUUCCUAUCUCUCUCUCUACAAAAUUUAACCAUUAGGCUGCCUCAAGCCGUAAUCCCAUCUCUUCCCAUCUUUCCGCCAAUUCAACUUACUUUCUUCUUCAAUUUCAACUCCUGGUCGAUGCCCGCAGCAAGUUCUUAAAAAUUUAUCUUACUCUUUUUAUUUGUUGUUACUACGUUUAUUCAUACACUGUUACGAAAAUUUAACCUUUUUAGACUACUUUCAAGCCUUCGCCAUAACUUGAUUUAUCUUUCCUAUCUCUCUCUCUACAAAAUUUAACCAUUAGGCUGCCUCAAGCCGUAAUCCCAUCUCUUCCCAUCUUUCCGCCAAUUCAACUUACUUUCUUCUUCAAUUUCAACUCCUGGUCGAUGCCCGCAGCAAGUUCUUAAAAAUUUAUCUUACUCUUUUUAUUUGUUGUUACUACGUUUAUUCAUACACUGUUACGAAAAUUUAACCUUUUUAGACUACUUUCAAGCCUUCGCCAUAACUUGAUUUAUCUUUCCUAUCUCUCUCUCUACAAAAUUUAACCAUUAGGCUGCCUCAAGCCGUAAUCCCAUCUCUUCCCAUCUUUCCGCCAAUUCAACUUACUUUCUUCUUCAAUUUCAACUCCUGGUCGAUGCCCGCAGCAAGUUCUUAAAAAUUUAUCUUACUCUUUUUAUUUGUUGUUACUACGUUUAUUCAUACACUGUUACGAAAAUUUAACCUUUUUAGACUACUUUCAAGCCUUCGCCAUAACUUGAUUUAUCUUUCCUAUCUCUCUCUCUACAAAAUUUAACCAUUAGGCUGCCUCAAGCCGUAAUCCCAUCUCUUCCCAUCUUUCCGCCAGUGGCGGUGCGCCCGCCCCCCCAACCCCACCACCAAUACCGAUGAACAUUGUUCUCACCCCCACCACCAAUACCGGUGAACACUGUUCUCACCGCCACCACCAAUACCAUUAUACCCAGUUCUCACCAUCUACACCGGAUACGCCUUACUCAUCUACACCGGGUACGCCCUACUCCCUCCUCUCCCCACUACCCCUUCUCCUCAUAUGCUUUCACUGUGAAAAGACAAGCUGCUAGCGCCAUAGCUCAUCAACUGCCCUGCUAGCGCCAUAGCUCAUCAACUGCCCACCGAUCUUACGCUUCCUCCUGACACUGCCUCAUUCCGACCAUCCCCUUUAGUACCCUCCCGCCUCGUAAUAUCCUACGUUUUUAUUUCUUAGGAACCUACACCAACCCUUCCUGCCAUCGUUCCUCCUUACCCCAACCUUCCCACUGGUUGCUCCCCUAUAUUACCCGCCUCAACUGGACCCCCCUCCCCAACUCAACUCUUAGAAUAUCUGUAUUUCUUUCCUCUACCUAAUUACGUUACUCAGUGACGAUAAAUGCUGUGACUACAAAGACCCGGGCUGCUUUCUGCAGCAAUUCCACAUACCCCCUACCCAUUCUAAGUACCCCGGAUCCCCAAAGUACCCUGGAUCCCCAAAGUACCCCGAUCCCCAAAGUACCCCGGACCUCGUUGCCCCCGUGCCGCUGACACGUUAAAAUGCUCGAACCGAUCGUGACGAUGCCGGACCCUCCGGCCCCUGUGCAGGUGGCACGUAAAAAGCACCCAAUCCACUCACGGAGUGGUUGGCGUUAGGAAGGGCAUCCAGCCGUAGAAACUCUGCCAGAUUCAGACUGGAGCCUGGUGCGGCCCCUGGCUUCCCAGACCCGGUCAAACCGUCCAACCCGUGCUAGCGCGGAAAGCGGACGUUAAACGAUGAUGAUGAUAUAGGCGUAGGAGUGGCUGUGUGGUAAGUAGCUUGCUUACGAACCACAUGGUUCUGGGUUCAGUCCCACUGCGUGGCACCUUGGGCAAGUGUCUUCUGCUAUAACCUCGGGCCGACCAAAGCCUUGUGAGUGGAUUUGGUAGACGGAAACUGAAAGAAGCUCGUCGUAUAUAUGUGUAUGUUUGUGUGUUGUGUUUGCCUCCCUCCCCCAACAUCACUUGACAACCGAUGUUGGUGUGUUUACAUCCCCAUAACUUAGCUGUUCGGCAAAAGAGACUGAUAGAAUAAGUACUAGGCUCAGAAAGAAUAAGUCCUGGGGUCGAUUUGCUCGACUAAAGGUGGUGCUCCAGCAUGACCACAGUCAAAUGACUGAAACAAGUAAAUGAAUAAAUGAAAAAAAAAUGAAUGAAUAUGUAGAAUAGUUGAGCCAGACAUAGCUGGUUUAAAUGGUAAAGGGUUACGAACAUAUUAGUAUAUAUAUACGCACACACACACACACACACACACACUCAAACACUAAAGGUAGUGUUGGGCUGAGUCAUUUGAGCUUUGCAUAGAAUUAAUUUCUUGUAUUUGUUCUAUCUGUCUGGACUCUGAUUCCAAAUCCUGCUGAGAUCAUUUUUGCCUUUCAUCUUUUUAUUUGAAAUUGAUUAGUGGAAUUGUUAGUGUAAUUGUUAGUGUCAGAAGCGAUGCCUUUCAGUACCUGUUCAAGCUUUUCACAUUCAUGAUUUAAAUUCAUGUCACUGGCUUUCUUUUGAUUGAAAACAGAGCAUUCAGUCAAAAGGCUUCCAGUAUAAGAGGAUUGGAACAUCAGUUGGAGCAACAUCUCGGUUGUGUCAGUCUGGUGAAUGAAGCCUGCUCAAAGCAAGUCGAUAAAACAGUGGAUCACAGUACUAAGCUUGAGGAACCAACAAGGAAGUGUCCAUGUUUUUGUUUGACCUGCUUAGAUAGCUGUCAAAUCUCCCUCAAAUCACACCUUGUCAUUUAAAAAUUUUUACAUAGGGUGGACACACUGGAUUUACAAAAGUAAGGGAUGUUAUGCCUAGAACACCUUGAUCAACACUAAGUGGUGAAUAAACUACAACAUAGACAAAUAAACUUAUUUGCACUAGUUAAACAAGCUUGUGAAUUUACUACUGACCUGUUCAGUCAAUACUUGUACAUUUAAAUAUAUAUGUAGAGGCUGUUAAUGAUGACAAUAAUUAUGACAAACAUUGUAUUGAAACUAAACCAGCUGUCCGUUAUUAUUUUGGCCAUGACCGUAAUUAUUUUACCAUGACAAUAAUCAAUACUAAUUAUUUCAUGAAAUAACAGCUUUAUUUUCAUGUAAAAUAUAUUCUCUGUAUUCUUUUCUAUUUUUCCAUGUUUUGUUUACGACUGCUUUUGAUUAACAAAAUAAUUUGGUGUCUAUUUAAAAGCAAGUACAGUAUUGAAUUAACAGCUGGUUCAUGUUUCCAACACUGUAUCACCUAAUAACAUCAGGAUGGGAAAAUAACACAGAAUGGUAAAUUUUUGAGGUAGUCCAAAACCCAGCAGUGAUUGCAAGGCUGAGAUACUGAAAGACCCAGGCAUCCACAUGGUACCUUGUUGAGAUGGGGCAUCAGUGAUGUUAUAAACUUCCUUGUCUGAAUAUAUCUAUAGAUAUUAGUCAAUAUUGUAAAUACCUUUAUUUAUGUCAUCAUCAUCAUCGUUUAACGUCCGCUUUCCAUGCUAGCAUGGGUUGGACAAUUUGACUGAGGACUGGCGAACCAGAUGGCUGUGCCAGGCUCCAAUCUGAUCUGGCAGAGUUUCUACAGCUGGAUGCCCUUCCUAAUGCCAACCACUCUGAGAGUGUAGUGGGUGCUUUUACGUGCCACCGGCACGAGGGCCAGUCUGGCGGUACUGGCAAUGGCCAUGCUCGAAAAUGGUGUUUUUCAUGUGCCAACUGCACAGGAGUCAGACUAGCAGCACUGGCAAUGACCUCGCUCAAAUGUUUUGUUCAUGUGCCACUGGUACAAGUGCCAGUGAGGCGACGCUAACAAUGAUCACAUUCAAAUGGUGCUCUUUAUAAGCCAGACAGCUGCUCUGGUAGUGAUCCCGCUUGGAUGGAGCUGUUAGCGCUCCAAGCUGUUAGAAUCUAUAGAUAUAUUUUCGGCUCUAGUUUAGCAUUGAAAUAAAGUAUUGUUAAUAAACUGGUGUUUGGGCAUAAAUUAACAUAAAAUUUUGAUGGAAGGUUUUUUACUUUGAGAAUUUUGAAUGUAAAGUUUGUAUCGUAGAACUUGAUGUGGCCUCAAGAGGAUUGAUAUCAAAAGAUGUAAGACCUUAGAAAUAGUCAACUCACUUUUUAACUUUCUUUUGAGACACUGUCCACAAGGUGGUGUUGAAAAAUUCCUGGCUUUAGGUAAAAGAAAAUACAGGAAGAUCAAUUAAUUAUGAUUUUGUUCAACAUAUUCCCCUCUCACAUUCACACACACAUUGCAGUGGUACCUUCAGUUUUCUAAACCUGGCGUCACAGUGUCAAGCAUGGUGCCAUGACAGCAGAGAACCUGAGGACCACUACUGCCAAACUAAAGAGAACUAGGCAAAAGGAGCAGCAGCAGCAACCACAGCUCUCAUCCCCUUUCACUUACACCAGAUGUGGUAGAGACUGCUACUCGAUGAUUGGUCUGCACAGCCACACCAGGAAGUGCAGAUAAACCCACCACCUUUUCCGAGCUACACCAUCGUCUCUCGAGACGGAAGGAUGCCAAAAAAAUUCACCUUCAGUUUUCUAAGCCCUGUAAAAGAACUCAGAAGGUUGGGCUUUCAACCAGGCUUUUCACGGUACCCUUAAAACCAGGAGCUUUUCAGCUCCCUUUGUAUAAACCUUGUCUCAGUAGACAGCCAAAGAGGCUGCUCACUUGCUGAUGAAAUCCCAACACAGGAUUUAAACUUGUCCAAUUGACCCAUUUUCUUUUUCUGUCCAUGAAGAUAUUGAUUAUUGAAGGUGUUAUAUAUUGAUGUGUAAGGCAUCACUCUAUACAUACAAUAUAUUGAUAUCUCUUAUGGUAUUGUAAUACAUAAAUAAAAAAAAAUACUGUUAAUUUACUUGUAAUUUAUAUAUUGUAAUGACUAUAACAUCAUUCACACAUGCUCACACUCACAUUCAUAUACAUACACACUCAAACACCCAACUACAUACAUAUACAUAUCCAGCAUUGUCAUUAUAUCUAACAAAGGUCAUUUCAAUUUUCCUCUUCUACAUUCAUAUCUUGCAAUACAAUUUGAGAUCUUAGUGUAGUCAAAUCAUUAAAAACUUUUUUAUUUAUAUAUAUAUAUUCACCCUUUUACUUGUUUCAGUCAUUUGACUGCGGCCAUGCUGGAGCACCACCUUUAGUCGAGCAAAUCGACCCCAGGACUUAUUCUUUGUGAGCCCAGUACUUAUUCUAUCGGUCUCUUUUGCCGAACCGCUAAGUGACAGCGACGUAAACACACCAGCAUCGGUUGUCAAGCAAUGCUAGGGGGACAAACACAGACACACAAACAUGCACACAUAUAUACGACGAGAGCUUCUUUCAGUUUCCGUCUACCAAAUCCACUCACAAGGCUUUGGUCGGCCUGAGGCUAUAGUAGAAGACACUUGCCCAACAUGCCACGCAGUGGGACUGAACCCGGAACCAUGUGGUUGGUAAGCAAGCUACUUACCACACAGCCACUCCUGCGCCUAUAUAUAUAUAUAUAUAUAUAUAUAUAUGGAGCUAUUUCUCUUUAUAUUUGGGUGGAUUUGAUCAAUGAUCCAGUAUUUACUUCUAAUACUGAGUAAAGUCUAGAUUGGUUAAAGUAUUGUUAUUCACUACCUAAAAUUUGUUAGCAUCUACUAUAUUCACAUACUGUGACAUAUGUAUACAUAUAUCUGUUGUUUAUUUCCAGAUUUUAACCUAUAAUAUUUAUUGUUUAUUUCCAGAUUCCAACAGGUGCAAAAGUGUGUUUCUAACCUGUAGCAGUGUGAUGUUAACAUCCUUACCCAUAUUUUAAGUGUUCAACUGUUGUAGUUGGAACUAAGAAAAAGGUGAGUCUUGUAA